rnacentral:lncRNA from 1 species
ACCACGGCACCUGAGCUUGCCAUCUUUUCCUGCUCUAUCUCACUCAUUUGUCCCGUAGCUACUAGCUAAGCCACCAUAUCAUCCAUGGCUUCUGGUGCCUCCACCACGCUGAAGAUGGCCUCUAUCGCCGCUUGCAUCCUGCUGGUCCUGCUGUCCAAUGGCCACCCUACCGCGGCGGCCGUUGAUUGUAUUGCGGCUUGCAAAGAACCGUGCCAGGGUUUUUCUAACGGGCUCUGCGCGGGUGGAGCCACCAGCGGUUGUACGACUACGGCAGCAGCUACAGCAUGCCGCAAUUUGGCGUUCUCGCAGUGUGCGAACACCUGCUUCACAGUUUGCACUGCUGUGAGCAUCGCGCCUUGCACUUGAAGAUGCAUUCGUGUUCCUACUUCCACAUUAUUGUUACUGCAGAAUAAUAUGGGUCAGUGCACACAAGCAUACAUGAUGAGCCACUGUCGUUUUUCCAUUUUGUCAUUUAUUUAUUGAAGGCAAUGUACGUUUUUCCAUUUGAUCAUUUACUUAUUGAAGGCAAUGUACGUGUCUAUCUCCUGUGUGGUUGAGCAUGUCAUCUUGGAAUUCUGUCCAAAGUUUUACAUACCACCUUGUAUUGUUGUGUGUGGGUAUCAAUAUAAUUUAUGAACUAUCUUCCUUUACCAUAGACAUAUCUAUGUUUAUUUGCAAGCGUUAGCUAAAUUUUUCCUUGAUUGUGUAUUAACCCAUACUGAACAGAUCAACUUUCCACUGCAAGAAACUAUUUAAUCUGUGACGAAACAAAAUUGUCACGUAUCACUAAAAAAUCGUCAUAAAGCAAUGCCUGUGAUGAUUUCAGAUAACGUCAUGUAUUGAGCAUCACAGAUUAAAUCGAUGACAUGGAGAGGCUUCACCAUAGUAUUUUGUAUCGACGUUAGACCUAUCGUUUAUUUCCGCUGCUUUUGAACUCUGAACACUACUUUUAUGCAUGUGAACUAUCGGCUUGUAAUAACUUAAUGUGGGACCUGUAAUAAUUUAUCUGGAUUGUUGUAAUCUUUGGACUCGUCUUCGUGCGAGUAUACUUUGUUUCGAUCCGAAACACGUGGUUGCAUCGGGUGAAACCCGACAGACUACCAGUUUAAUUCGAUUAAAGUGUCUAUUCACAUUUAAGGCAAUGUUGAAUAUACUUUAGCCGGGUUAACUUGGAUGGUUCUACCACACUGGCGCAUCCCUGAGGAUUCCUAUCUGCUUGCUCGAUGUCAUCUGUAUCUGGCCCUGUGAUAAGGGUGAAGAGUUCAUUGUCUAGAGACAGGCUUCCAGAACUUUGGGUGAUGACUUAUGUAGAGUCAUGAAGCGUGAUUCGUUGUCCUGGGCGAGGGCAGGUAGCCUCAUGCCAGGCCAGUAGAUGAAUCUGCCUUGAGGGGUUGAGGUGAUCACCAGGCCCUGCUGCGAACCUGUUAGUGGAGUCUCCUCGUCGGAAUCCAAGUAGUGAUCGUAGUUGUGGUCCUUAAUCGGACAUGAGUUAGAUUGCAACCCGGAUAAGGCUGCUUGAUAGGUGGAAGCUGCGUUACGGAGUCCGAAUGGGAGUUUGCUCGGAAUUUGACUUGAUUCGGACGAUGCAGAACCCGAUGGGAUAACCUACUGGGGUAUUACGUCAAUAGAUCAACCAAAAGAAUGCGCAAUAAUAUCUACCACCAAAGGCAACCCAAAAGCAUUAUCUACCUUCAGUGCCAGAUCAGUCAUCAACAAAGAUCUAUGGAGACCUUGUUUUCUCUUGCUUUGGAUUUGGAGAUAGCAUAGAACAAAAGCCUUGAACCUAAAUAAACAAAGAAAAAAAGUACUGCAGUGCUAAAAAUAAGAAAUACCUCGUAGAAAAAUACCAGUAAUGGGUUUAUGGGUUCCCACUCAUCCUUGGGUAGCCACUUCUCUAGAGAGAUUCUUGUGUGUUCCGGUGUUGUAGUUUUCUGCGCAUGAUACAUAGCAACAUAAGGGCUAUUCCCCAACCUCAUAAUCGAUAGUAAUGUACAUCUUCUGGAAAGGACCUCUUUCUGUUGCAAGUGUGACUGCCACGCUCAUGCCAUUAAAGAAGUUAGCAGUUCGGUUAGGCAAUUAGUUGCCCACAGGAGGAAAGUAAAGCAACCGUGGAGAGUGAAGAGGCGUCUUUCUAGCUCCAGCACCAAGCACACCACACCAGUCAUCAGCUAAUCUGAUGACAUGGCAGGAAAUUUAAGAGGGGAGAGAAGGAAUUAGUUUCAUCUAGAUGAAAUUCUUCUCGCACAAAACCAACUCUGAAUGUGUCAUGAAAUUAAAUGUACCCCAUGCCGCUUUUUAUGCGCUCUUAUUAAUGUUGCUUUGUCUAAGUUCAAUACACUUAUCAAGACUAUCGCAUUUGGUGACUGGCAGUCCACCUAAGGGUACCAAGAUGGUUGAUUUGUAAACAGAGAGGAUCACAAGACCAUGAACUACUUGAUGGUAAUGCAAGGCACAAGACAUAGAGAUUUAUACAUGUUCGAGCCGUUAGUGUAGCGUAAUACCCUACGUCCUGUUUUGGGGGAUUGUAUUGCGCUCUGCACUUGGGUGUUGGUUGUUAAGUUGAGGGAUUGGCCGUCCUCCUAGGGGUACCCCUACGUACCCUUAUAUACUCCCCUAAUAACUCUUCUUAAUAGGAUAGAUUACCAAGUAGAAUUAAUUAUGCAUGCACGCUUGCAGUAAUUGUCGCACCUAUUAGCCUUCCUUAUUUAGCGAGACUUCCUCGGGCAUCGAUGGUGUGCCGUUUCUAUAGUGAACGGUAAUGAAUGUGGACACUUUUAUGAGUGCUGACAUGAAAGGUUCAAUUUGUAUGAAUGAUCUUCUAUAGGUACACUAACCGCGCUUAGGUUACGUUAACAAAAGGUUAGAGAAUUGACUAGUUAUUAUAGGAAGAGCCGUAAACUGUUGCCUCGCCACCAGCACUAACCCCGUAAGUCCAAGUAAUUGGCAGUUUUUUCAUUUGUGAGGACGCAUAGGUCAUGCAUGCAUCAUGUUAAAAACUUGCAAAUUGGAAAUUGGAACAACUUUCCUAUAGAUGAUUGGGAGGACUAAUGUCACUCUCAAAAAAAAUUUUGCCAAAUCACCUAAGGAUUUUCUAGUUGUCUCGAACUGCAGCUAACUACUGUCAGAAUUUUUUUUCUCCGAGCUCUUAAAUGGUCUUGGUUCCAGAAUUUAGUAAAUGAUAUGCUGUAAAAAUUUCAUAAAUUUUGGUCAAGUGAAACUCGAGUUAUGCUUCAAUAAAUUCCCGGGUUGACUCGUACCCAAAGGAGGAAGUUGCAGAGGUUAAGGCUGCAGGAGAAGAGGGAACAGAAGCUGGAGAAGCGAAGGAAUGAGGCAUUCAACACGAAUAGACCCAUAGUCCCUCAGAAGAAGGAGUGGAGAGUUAAGGCCGAUACUCCCAACUCCACCAGUCAGACCUGCAGAAGGACCGGUCGGACCUAGUGCGGUCGGCACGGUCAGGGCGGUCACUGGCGCAGUCGUCGUGGUUGAUGACUCGGUCGGCGCGGUCGUCGGCGCAGUCAGACCGGUCGAGGGGUCGGCGAGGAGCGGCAGCGGGGUGACAAAGUAACUGCGAGCGCGGCGGGGCGGAGCUUGAGCGGCGGAGGCGGAUGGGAGGGGUGGAGGUGGCGGUGGAUGUGGAGGGGAGGUAGCGGAGGGGGAGGAGGAGGAGGAGGCAGAGGAGGCCGGCGGUGGGCGGAGGAGGUGGAGGAGGGUGAGGAGGAGGAGGAGGCGGAGGGAGGUCAGGGCUGGCGGGGGAAUUUUCUUUUUUUAAGAACGUUUAGCCUUAUUAUCACCUAGCGGAGGCGGAUGGAGUUCCACAACAUGGUGUAUCGGACGGGCAUUUCAUUGAAGUCCCUAGGGGCGUCCAAUGGGUGGCUGUAGUGGGUGUACAUCACGACGAGCGUCUGUAGCCAUUGCGACAGCCUAGAGCACGACAACGAGGCGGAAGACCCCGUCACGGGUGCAGAUGGCCAGCGUUUUUUUAAAAAAAAACUUACAGGUGGCCAGUGUGGUGGGCGUGAUUGGGCUUAUCACCAGUGGCGGAGGAGGCGGACGCACGAAGCGACAGGAAUGGCGCCGAGUUUGGUCGAACCAUCUGGAAACUAGAGUUGUAACGCUUGCACUGGACGGCUGAGAUUUACGAUGCUCGAUAUCUGACAGGCGAAAAAGGGAGAGACUUGGCCCAAUCAUUGCAGAGAAACUUCACCGGAGUUAGGUCUUUAAAGAAGAUUGUAAGGCCUGAUUGGUUUGGGGAUCAAAAUGUAUCAAACCAAAAUCAGGGUAAGCCUAAUAAUUUUGGCAGCUGUGUAUAUUUAGAUGCAUAUAAACAUUUAUAAACCUAAAAAAUUAAAACGACCUGCAAUUAAAAAUGGAGGGGUAAAAAAGAAGGCCCCGACAAACGCGUCAGCACAUUCCUGCCUUUCUCCCCCGAAUGAGUAAACUCCAAUCCAAAAUUUGACUGUAUUUUGUUAACGGUUAUAUAUCAUAAGUUUCAUAACAAUAACCAGCUAGGGCUAAUGAUGAUAUGAAUUUGGCCACAAUUUUUGUUCUUGGGAGGUAUCUGUGAGGUGAGAAAAUGGGCAACAUGUGUGGAAAAUGCUAAUACGCCUACUGUGUGGCAUAUUUUGCGUUGUAUCAUAUACUUUCCGGAACAGUUGUAAUUACCACAUCUUUUUUCCCCAGCGGAGUCGCCAAAAUGUGUUGGCGCCUUUUCCGACCAACACAUGAGUGCGCUAGCUCGCGUGUAGAUUGGAAUUCUCCUCGUUGAAGCUCCUGCACCUGGCCGGUCAGAUCGGUCAGGGGGUCCGAUCGGGCCGGUCCUCGUAGGGGCACCAUGAAAACCUACGUCCACCACCUCGGGAGGGACCCUUUCGGAGAUGGCGAACCUAGGGUUGCUCUGAGAUCGGCAGGCCAAUUUAAACGUUCUCAAACGCCGCCGGGACAAAAGAUGAAAGCAAGUGGGUUGGAAAAGCUAAGGUUUUGAGAUAAAAGGGUAAAAAGAUAUGUUUGACGAUUAGGUGAUGCCCCUCAAUCCAACUUACCAAUAUUGAUACAAGAUAUGCUCAACUUGUGAACUUAACUGAGGUAUAUGCUUCCUAUGUUCGUCCGUUCCAGUAAUUGUCUAAGGCAACGCGAAAUCCAGUUACUGUGGGCUAAUAACAACCUAUCUGUUGGUGUUUCUUGGUGUCUAUGGGUGUGCUUCUGAUUUGCAUGCUUUUUUUGUUUGUUGUGUGAUGAAAUAAGGCACUAUGUACAUCUUUGCUUAUUAUUUCCCACUGAUAUAUGGGUACGGACGUGUAAUCAUUAAUUGUGCUAUUCAUUCAGCUGACGACAGUCAGUUGACAUCACUUGAAAGUAUGCUUGAAUUCGUAAGGUGUCCCGUGCAAGUAGCGUGGCUACAACCGCAGCAAUAUUUUUUUCUGAUCAAAAUCGAUCGUCCUUUUUUGUUGAAAACAUAAGUAUGAUAUACUUCACGUGAUGUUAGACUUGAAAAUUUUUGAGUGCAAUAUAUGAGUAAGUAUUCAAUACUAACAUUUUUUCUCUAAACAUUAACUACCAACAUAGCUUAUCAGAUAAUGCAGCAUUGUUUAUCCGACAUGCAUAACCUCCUAACACUCAGACACUGAGACACACCAUCCAUUACCGUCACUGAAUCUAUGUCAGCGUGCUGAGCCAGGGUUAGGAACCUCCACUAACUCGUUAGAGGCAAACCCAAGAUCUAGACUGCUUCUGCUUAAUUCCAUCACUAGCUUAAUCCACUAUGAAAUGUAAAUGCACAACACUCUUAGCAAUUCGCUCAUAAGAUUCUUGAAUUUGGCAAAUUUUUGGUGCAAUCUUCACUGCGAGAAAAACGACCUUUUGUCCAACAUAUUAGUACCGGCCACAUUUCAACCCGUACUAAUACCAACAUUAGUAUCGGAUCCAAUUUAGUAGCCACCGGAGACCUUUUAGUACCAGGUCAUAACACCACCCAAUACUAAAAUGUUGAAGAUAGGUUGCCAAUGGUGAGGUGGAGCGUGGGGUCGAUGACGGUAAUAGCGGCGGGGAACUUCAACCCCCAGCCGAAGGGGCCAUGGCAGGUGGCAGGGAGAGGUUGAGGCUGUAGAGGAGAGGGUGUUUGAGCUUUGGGGGUGGCGAUUUGGAUUUGUUGAAGGAUAGCGGUGGGAUUUGCUGCUCAUUGUGGUUCAGGUGGAGGAACAAAGUAGAAAGAAAGAGACGAAAAUGUGGCCAACACUUUCAAGGAAAAGCAUGAGGUGACAUGGAGGAAUGCAUGAGCGAGGGUGUGGAUAGGCAACCCUUGAAAUGGAUUUCCAAGGACGGAUCACGGGAUGAACCAUCCCUGGAAAUGGGGCUAUUUUUAGGAGCGGAGGGAAACAUGGCCUGCAUCUAUAAAUAAGUAUUUUUAGGGGUAGGUCUUGUUUCUGUUCGUUCUAGGAAAUGUACAUUUCUAGGGGUACCCCACCCCAUAAUUGUAACACCUGGUUUUAAAACAAAACCAAGUGUUACCUAUAUGUAUGCCAGGAUCUAGUUUCAUAUAUAUAGUGAUAUCAUCAGUGAAUAAUAGUAACAAUAUCACGUAAAAAAAUAUAAAUAAUGACUUACGAGUCUAUCAGAGAUAUACAACUUAAUCAUGGAAAUCAAGGCUCCAAACUUCACAAGCAAUCGACUGUGGGUUGCGUACAUCUAGAACUCAGCAUCAUCUUGAGAAAACAUCACACACCUUCUUCUGAGCAGCAGUAAGUAAGGGUGAGUACACUUAUGGUUGGUACUCAGCAAAACCAUAUUGUGCCAAUCAUGCACUCAUCACACUACCGAGGUGUGACUACAUAGGGACACUACAAGAUCUUUACAAAGAUUCCCUAAUAAGUGGUAACCCGCUAAGGUUUCAUGUCGAAGUAGAGCAUAAACCUCUCUCAAGAUUGCGAAGCUAACAUAGAGCAGAUCAGACUGAGGGUCGGGUUACACCUCAUCAACGCCUCCCCUCUUGUCCUUUCGGUAAGAUUACCUCAAGCUGGAGUCUCUAAUUAAUUAGCCAAGACCAGAGCCAUAUAGUCCUUGUAGUUGCACUAUUUUCCUGGGUGGUUCUUCAUGUUCCAAUUAAUGCAUGGUAUUCUUGUAAAAUAAGAAUAGAUAGAAGGAUGGUUAAGGACACCUACCUUUAUCCAACGAAAAGUUACUCUUACUGCUCUUUAGCUCUUGCUCUCUUGAAACUCUUAAUCUUCAAAUCUUUUGAACAACUAUCCUUCUAUUUGAAGAAAUCAUCGGCACAAACAUAUAAGCAAACAAAAAAAGUACAAUUAAGAACAAUACACCAAAACAAAAAAAAUCUUGAAAAGAGUAUAAAGGAUAUGGCUCAAUUCUAAGAUCGCGAGGAUGUAAGAAACGCUUAAAACCAAACUAAGGUUGAAAAGACAAAGCUAUUGAGAGAUUUGAAUUAUAAAAGAAAAAGAAAAGCCUACGUGCUUCAUAUAUUUUAAUAAAGAAAACAAUGUAAAGAUAUUUUAGAGAAAAAUCCUUAUCAAGUUAUAUUUAUAUAUGAAAAGAUCAAGGUAGAACUUCGUCAAAUUUUUAUUUAUAAACAUUAAAGUACAAUUUAGGCAAAUUAAACAUUUAAUUUGAAAAUAAAGUAAGAGCCGCAAGACUCAAGGAACAAGCUAAACCAUUCAGUGGAUCUUCGGGGGUCUAGAUGCAAAAAGCUCAGAGCUUUCUUCCUCAUGGCCGACGGUAGCUUGUACUGCCAUGAACGCCGCCAUGCAUACCGCUCAACCAGCCGCCGGCGCCAUAGAUGGUGGCAUUCCGGUUCUUUCCCCAGUGUGGCAGGCCGCCGUACUUGCCCAUUGCCAUCUGCAUCUUGAUCUCGUCCACGACGUCCAAGUUUUGCACUGCACCAUGGACAAAAUAGUGCCCAUUAUCGUGCAGGGUUUUCCAUGUGAAUUGGCCCAAGGUACAUUCAACUUAUUUUGGCUGGCUUGGUCCCAUAGUUUGAACCCAGAUUUUGGAUCUUUCCGCAUUUAAAUUGGUGCUGCUGCUGCAUUUAUUUGAUAAUGGUGCAAGAUAUGGAACCAUACAACAAAGGUAACUCAUCAUUAAUUUAGAAGGGUGCACAGAUUCAUGUAAUAAAUAAUCUACACCACCUAAGAUGUGUCUCUACCUCUAUAUAAACAAGAGCAAUCAAAGCAAUAUGUGCAUACUGGAACAAAAUAUCUACAGGCAUACCAAUAGUGUUCCUUUUCAUAUGGCAGUGAUCAAGAGCAACGCAGUGAGGUCUAUGUGUGCUGCACUUUGCAUUCUUUUGAUAAUGUCUUCAGCCCUCUCGGAGCUGGUGGAAGUUGUGUAUCUAACUGCUUUUCUACUUCCCAUGGUUUCAUUAUAUUCGUGGGGUUUACUAGGUGCGAUGUGGAUUUCAUGCACAUGAUCACGCUGAGUGUGACCCUAUGGACUGAUGCACUGAUCCGAAAUGCUAGGAUGAAUGUCAGAACAAAAAUACUGACCUACCUAUUGAACCUGAGUGCACCACACCUAAGGAGUGUUGCUGCACAUUUUAUUGGGAGGAAGAUAAUUCACUUCUUUGAAUAGAUUAAAAUGGUUGCCGAUGGCUAGAUUCAUUUCAUGGAUGCAGCCGAUACCAGAAUACUACGCUUGCAUGUAAUGCAUCCAUAAUAUGUUUCUACCCAAAUCUAAUAAAAUAAAUGUGUCCCAUUUGUCCUCUUUUCCUCUAGUGUUUUUUUUACUCCCAAAUUCCAUGCUAAUAAAUGCUGUAUACAUGAUUUUAUUUUAAAAACAUUUCUGAAUACAUUUAAUUUGAUAAGUUCAAACACCGAGUGAGUCUUCUAUCUAUUGUAGGCUUAUGUUUAGUGAAGUGUGCCGGGCCUACUACUUCGGUGUUGGGCUGAGCCCACAUGAGAGCAGCUCCAGCGUUGCUCUUUUGAGGGUGCUCCAAGGAGAGAGAAAAAUAUUCUCCGGCAGCUUCACGCUGGAUCAGAGGGUGCUAGGGAGGUGCUAGGGAGCAGCUGAUGAUGAGUUUUGCACCAGGCGCUACGCAUUCAAUAUAUUUUCUGAAGUAACGUGGUUGGAUGGAUAGGUGAGAUAGUGGGAAGAAAAGCUAGAUCAAUGAUUCUUUAUUCAGCUGGAUCAAUGAUUUCUGAGAUGAGGUACUAAGCAGAUUGAACCGCCACAAGUGCCCUUCUCUUCUUAUCAGCCCGGUGUGCCUUGGUAUUGUCUUCCUGAAUAAUGGCCUUAUUAACCAGAUUACUAGAGCUGUCGUAGUAACAACCAAACGAACUGCAGCUUAGUACCGAGGCCCCUUCUCAAGCAAGCCUACUUUUUAGCAUGACAACUGGCGUACCGAGCAAGUUGAUUAACACUAUUAGCAUAUUGGAACACAGUUUGAUUUCUUUGUUUAAGUGACAUGACCUCUGACGGUUUUCUUUAGGCUGUGGAAAACGGCUCGUACCAACUCUGCCCGUUGAGAUGACCACACCCUGUUUCCAUUACCCCGUUAGGAAUGGAAACACAAACCAUUAUCUUGUACCCUAUCUUAACUCUGAAGUCUUCUUGGAAUAAUUUUCCGAUAAGGGCAGUUUUAUUGAUUUAAUAAAUGUUACAUCACGGUGAUAUAAUAAACUUGAAAUCCUCCCAGCAUGUGCAAGCACAGAGCCUUACAGGCAGAAACAAAUGCAGAUGCGCUAAUGACCAUCAAUCCGAGGACUCCGCCACCCAUGCACUUAGGUAAAAAAAUUCCUCGACCACUUUCACCAAGCACUGAGAUGAGAUGCCGCUGCAACGGAAACAUAUGCCGUAGACUUUUGGAGCAUAGCCCAUGUACGAAGCUAGUGGAUAACUCUAAAGAUAACCUGCAUUGGAUGAGAUAAGGGUUUGUUUUCAAAUACCAUAGCAUUCUUGCAGAGCAACAAUAACAACAUAGUAGCAAUCACCCCAAGUAAAUAAUGCCCGUCAACCAAGUGCCGAAAAUAUUUUCUAGGCUAAGGGGCUUGAGAAAGACUUCAGUUGCAAACAUAUCCGUAUUAUCCUCACUGAAUGGUCAUAAGUGUUUCCCUUCCGUUGCCGACACAAGACCAUCCGACGGCGAAGGGUGACUAACGCCACUAGCUGGUAAACUAAGUAUGCUGGAACUUGUCCACUAAGGUUAGAGUCUAGCUAACUCAGCAUGGGUGCCCAUAUUUCUUAAUUAUGUUUCCGUUGGUUGAUAACAUACCCAUCGGCAUCCUAUCGUCAUGACUUAAUGAAUCCCAAUAUCUUCUAGACUAACGUUUACUUACAUGAGUAGGGUGUGUAUGCAUGUGUGGUUAACAGGUAUUUACUUUAAGGUCGGCUGGGCCGGCUUUCUCGAUGUGUCUAAUUAUGCUUAAGAAAAAGAACCACUAGUGGAAAACUGAGUUUUAGUCCCGGUUGCAGACACGCAUAGAUCUCAAAAAUCCAACCGGAACUAAUCAUUCGGACUGUAAUAAUAAAAUUUGUUUGAAAUUAAAUACAUUGCAUUUAAAUUUUCAUGGGCAUUUAAACCUUUUUCAAAAUAAAUUAAUGAAUCAUAGGAGUUCGUUGUUGCAUUCACGAUGGUGCAUUAUUUUUGGUUGCUUGAAUUCAAAUUUGUGUUUGAAUUCAUCUGUUUGACUCUUUUAAACAAAUAGGAAACCCCUUUUCUUUUCCCUCCCUUUUCUUUUCUUCCUUUCAGCCUGUUUCUUUCUUUGGGCCCACUUCCUUCUCUUUCGCCCAGCAGCAAAACUGAAUAUGCACUUUGAAGAUAAACAUGCGAACCAUCAAAGGGCAGCAGACAACUUACAUACGCGACGGAGCGUUGUAAAUGGCAGAGUAGCCUUGCUGCCACGAUCCACUGAGAUUCAGCCCCACGUCGCACGAAUUCCUCCCUCCCCCCUCCACCCCCGACAACGGCUUCAGGCUUGGACCCGCUACGACGACCAAGGACAAAUGCGCUCAAGGCUUGGGAAGAAAUUAACUUCCAUUGUCGGAACACUUGUUAAGGAUUACAAGAGACCAUAUCGCAAGUUUAUCUUCUUAGGUAUGGUCCACAAUGGAAGAGAGAUCUCCUAACUUGACCAAGCGGAUGUACACACUAUCAUUUGGCACGAAUCAGUCCAAGUCAGAUAGGUGCUAGUGGAGUUCCAUAUUCCACUACGUCCGGUAUGUAACUCAUAAUCGACCACCGGGGAGGGACAUGUGUGGGAUGGAUCGAAGACAAGACAAUGGCCAACAAACGCGUGGACAUACCGGCCACAGGGUACCAUUACGUGUUUGUUGGACCCAACACAUGAAAAUAGGUGCGUUGGCCAUGAAAAUGUUUCCUAUAGGUCACACCUAGUGGCAUCAAAACCAUUUAGUGCCACUAACUGGUUGUGAUGAUUGAUGUCACAAACGGUUCUUUGUGCGUAGCCAGUUUAUAGCUGUAAUUCAAUUGAACCUGUUCUAGUACCUUGAACAACUAGUUCUUGAUGAGUAGCCAGGAGUGACGUUCCAUUUGUAACUAUUUAUUCUCUAUUAGUCUAAUGUUGUGAUAAAUGAUUUGCGUUGUCAGUUUAUGCACUUUGGCAGCCUGGAUGUAUGUCUUUUGAAGUAUGUGUAACUUUCUCUAGAAUUGAGGAACUUUAAUUGACUAAGUGGUCUUGGAUUUACAGCAUCAACCACUAUAAUUAGCCAUUGCUCCAAUGGCACAUUUUUUCCGUUAAUGCUAUAUGAUCCGACACCAAUAUGUGUACAAACAUAAGAGCAUCUGACGAGUAUCAUUUUACGGUGAAGACAUUGGAUCCCCACUCGCACUAACACAUUGCAAAUGCGAAAAGCAGGACCGGGUCUCCCCCCUGCAAUAAAUGCCAUUUUAACUGGUCCUAUAAACUGUUUUCUAGUGGUGUGAUGUAGUCUGUUGGAAUCAGCACCGUGGAACCAUCUGACAUUCAUACAUUAGCUUCACCAAACAAAUAUUCUUCUGUGCAUUAAAGCUUCAUACUUCAACAUGUACAAGUUCUCUAUGUAGGAUAUUUCAGCUUGAAGAUCUUCCCUUUCUUGAACUAGCCAUUUGAGCAUUAUUCAUUCUCAGGCCCAUUGUUCCAACGGCUUGCACGUUCUUGGAAUGUGUUAUCAUGGAAUGCUAGGGGUAUCGAUUCGUAGACAAGAUGGAAUGUCGUCAAGAGCAAAAUAUCUGAAUCCAACUGUGAUAUUGCCUGUUUACAAGACACCAAAAGGGAGUUUUUUUAUGCUAGAUAUAUUAGGAACUUCUAUCUCCCACAGUUAGAUUCUUUCGAUUUCAUCCCAUCUAUUGGCAACUCAGGGGGAACUAUUAUAGUGUGGAAUGGUUCCAAAUUCAAGGGGGAACCUAUCUUUCAAAAUCUUUAUGCCCACUUUGUAGAUUUUCAGUGCAAGCUAUCAGGGGAACGUUGGAUCCUCACGAAUAUCUACGCCCCAUGUACUCCGGAGGGGAAGCUAUCCUUUAUUGACUGGUUCAAAAGGGUUGAAAUACCAGAGGAAAAAAAUUGGCUAAUCCGGGAGGAAAUGUUCAGGAAAUGCUUCUCUUCAAUGAAGCUAUUAGCAGGCUUAAACUCACAGAAAUUCAGCUAAAGGAUGCAAGUACACUUGGUCCAACAAACAGCAGAAUCCUCUUCUGGAGAGGCACGAUUGGUUCUUCAUAUCUAACCCUUGGACCAUCUCCUAUCCCAAUACUUAUACCUCAUCGCUGUCUAGUGACUCCUCAUAUCAUGUUCCUUGUGUAGUCUCGAUCUCUAAUAGCAUUCCAAGGCCACAAGUUUUUAGAUUUGAGAAUUAUUGGCUAGAACAUGAUCGGUUCCCAACCAUUCUCCAACAAGGUUGGGCAACUCCACUUCUAGGCACAGAUAGGGCAAAGAACAUCGGGGCCAAGUUCAAAAACCUGAGGAAGGUUUUCAGGAUCUAGAAAGCAUAGCUCCCCAGUCUGGCGAAAGCAAUCCAGAGCACCAAAGACACCAUUAAACUCCCUGACAUCAUCAAAGAACUUAGAGAUCUUACCCUGCAAGAAUGGAACUUUAGAGAAGUCAUCACAUCACAUCUGAAUAGCUUGCUCCACCAACAAAAAGUCUAUUGGCAGCAAAGAAGCUCCAUCAAUUGGGCCAAAAUGGGGGAUGAAUGUACAAAAUUCUGCCAUGCAAGGGCCUCAGUCAGAAAUAGAAUCAAUUAUAUCACUUCUUUAGUUGAUGCCAAUGGACAAAUUGUCUCUAAACAUGAAGCUAAAGCCAGGAUUCUUUGGGAAGCUUAUAAGGAAAGGAUGGGGAGAUUUGAAUUUACACAUGUACUUUGAUCUUUCUACUAUCUUGACAUCAGAUCCAAAUUUGGAAUGGCUAGAAUCUCCCUUUAUGAAAGCAGAGAUCGACACAAUUACAGGGGAACUUCCAAGUAACAAGUCCCAAGGCCCAGAUGGCUUGAAUGGAGAGUUUCUCAAGAGAUGUUGGGACUUGAUAGCUUAAGAUUUUUAUAGACUGUCUGAAGGUUUUCAUGACAUAAGUGUGUGUGUUCAGAGCAUGAAUGCUUCAUACAUCACACUAAUCCCCAAGAAAGAUUGUCCCUCUCAAGUGGGAGACUUCAGGCCAAUCUCCCUCCUAAACUCAACCAUCAAGCUAAUAACUAAAAUUCUAGCAGAAAGGUUACAACAGGUUAUGUUAAGACUAGUGCAUAAAAAACAGUAUGGUUUCAUAAAGUUUAGAUCCAUACAAGACUGUUUAGCACGGGCUUUUGAAUAUCUUCACAUCUGUAAAGCCUCAAAGAGAGAAUUAAUCAUCAGCAAGCUGGACUUUGAAAAAGCCUUUGAUAGGAUUGAGCACCAAGCCAUUUUGGAUAUCUUAAAACAUAAGGGCUUUGGGGACAGAUGGAUUGGGUGGAUAAAGGACAUUCUCAACACUAGAACAUCUUCAGUACUCCUCAAUGGUGUGCCAGGGAAAGUUUUUCAUUGCAGAAGAGGUGUCAGACAGGGGGAUCCUCUAUCCCCACUUCUAUUUGUGCUAGCAGCGGACCUUUUUCAGUCAAUCCUAAAUAAAGCCAAAGAAGAAGGAAGCUUACACCUACCGAUCCCUGAAAGAGCUGGACCUGACUUCCCAGUUAUACAAUAUGCAGAUGACACCCUUCUGGUCAUGGAAGCAGAUCCUUCCCUGUUGUUGCAUCUCAAGCAUCUGCUUAAUUAGUUUGCGGAGUCAACUGGUCUUAAAGUAAACUACAACAAGACUGUUAUGGUACCUCUGAACACUUCUGAGGAUAAACUUCGACAACUUUCGUCAAUGUUCGAUUGCCAUGUCGGAAGCUUGCCACUCACCUACUUGGGGCUACCACUUGGUGCAACAAAGCCUGACAUUGAGGAAUUCCUUCCAUUAAUACAGAAGGUGGAGCGAAGAUUGGGAGGCAUCUCUAACAUGUUAUCUCAAGGGGGCAAACUCGAACAGGUAAAUUCAGUCUUUUCUUCCUCACCAACAUUUCAUAUGGCAACCUUAAAGCUUCACAAGGGGGUUAUCACACAAUUAGAUAAAUAUAGGAAACACUAUCUCUGCAGAGGAUCUAAUUUGAAUUCUAGGAAACCCUCCAAGGCAGCUUGGCCUAUGGUGUGCCUACCAAAACAGCAAGGAGGACUUGGGGUUAUUAACCUAAACAGUCAAAAUGAUGCCCUUCUUCUCAAGUUCUUACACAAGUUCUUCACUAGAGCUGAUACUCCCUGGGUUCAUUUAUUCUAGGAUAACUAUUAUUCUAAUGGGAAACUGCCUGGACAGCACAAAAAGGGCUCAUUCUGGUGGAGAGAUUUAGUCAAGCUACUGGACAAAUACGAAGGAAUAGUGUCGGCAUGGGUAUCGGAUGGCUCUACUGUAUUGUUCUGCAUGGACACAUGGAUUGAGCAGGUCCUCUACCUGGAAUUCCCCCAGUUAUUCUCUUAUGCCAAAAACAAACUGGUAUCAUAUAAGGAGGCUACAAGCAGAAUAUCACUGUCUCAAAAUUUUCACCUGCCACUUUCAGAAGAAGCUCAUCAGCAGUUGCUGAUUCUGCAGAAUAGAUUGAGGAAUACUGUGAGAGCUCAAGGCAGAGAUAAGUGGACUUACAUUUGGGGAAGGCCCCCGCUUUUCGGUAGCAAAAACUUAUAAAGUCAUAACGGGCACAAGAACCAUACAUCCAAUUCAUAGAUGGAUAUGGAAAUCUAAAUGCCAAAAGAAGCACAAGAUAUUUUUCUAGCUAUUAAUUAAAUUCAGACUGAGCACCAAAGACAUUCUAAGCAGAAAAACAAUGUAUUUGGAUACUUAUACUUGUGUGCUUUGCAUCCUCCAGGAAAAGGAGACAAUGCCGCACUUAUUCCUGAGAUGCAACUUCUCGAAAGCUUGUUGGAGCACUUCCUCCAGGCCACCCUUUCGGAUUUUUAACUCAAUCAAGGAUAAACUGAACGUUCCCUUCUACAUGGAGAUCAUCAUUUUAAUGGCCCGGAGCAUUUGGUCCGUGAGGAAUGACUGGACCUUUCAACAAUGUCCCCCCUCGGUACAGAGCUGCAAAAGGAAAUUCAUGGAAAAAAUGAAUACCGUCUGUCUACAUAGAGCGAAAUCUUCCCUAGCUCUUGCCAUGAUGGAAUGGUUGUAAUCUUUUCUUUCUUUUUUCUUCCUUUGUUGUUGCCUUUUCUACCUUCUACUUCUGUUGUUUCUUGGACUCGCCUUUCAUUUAAUAUAUUUCAGUAGGAGCUUGCCCCUCCUGUUCCUUCAAAAAAAAACUUCGAGCACUUCUCCAUGGGCUUCAUCACCAUAGUUUCGAUUUGGGCAAUUUUAUUGCACCGAACCUUCCAGCUUGCAUUUUCUUAACUGAAUCUCGAGCAUGGGGCAAUAUUCUGGCAUCUACAACGGACCUGCCAUCAAGCAUUCCAAUGUAUAGAUCUAUCCUGUUUGUUUGCCUAAUAUUCGGAUGCAAUACUCCGCCGUGUGUAAAAAAAUCCAAGGCCAACGGACCAUACCGUGUUAACAAUUUUAGUGCCUAAUCCAAUACAAAAUUAGUCCCAGUUUGUACGGCUACUCAUUCAUUGCAGUCUUCAGACGAACUCUACGGUGACACAUUUUUGGAAUACUCUGGCAUGUGCAACUGACCUGCCAUCAAGCACUCCGAUGCAUGGUUCUAUCCUCUUUGGUUGCCUUAUAUUCUGUAAAAAAAAAUAUUCAAGGCCAACAGACCAUACCGUGUUAAAAAUUUUAGUGCCCAAUCCAAUACAAAAUCAGUUCCAGCACCUCCACAGUGAUUAUAUUGUAAUUCAAUCACCAAAAUCCGAAACUAUGGUCUAGUGAAGCUAUACUGUGUACGAAAUAUCAAUUCAUGGGAUUUGUCAACGAUUUUAUGAAGCUGUAUAUAUGAUACCUUCCACUACGGGAUUUGUGUACAAAAUAUUAAUUCAUGAGAUUUGUCCAUGAUUUUAGGAAGCUACAAUAUCUUCAACUACCGGAUUGCGUAUAUAAGAUAAUCUUCACCAGUUAUCACAGGUGGAAGCACGCGUUAAAUAAUAAAUGACUAAUGCUGAUUCAACUCUGAGAUGAAAAGGAUUCUGUUCUCAAGAAUCGAAAAAAAGGUAACGUGCUCAUAACAAUGUCGACUCUUCACAUCUGAGAACUACCUACCGUAUGUUAUUAAAACAUUUUUGCUGCCUAUAAAUUGGGCAUCAUUUCAGCAGGCCACCACGGCACCUGAGCUUGCCAUCUUUUCCUGCUCUAUCUCACUCAUUUGUCCCGUAGCUACUAGCUAAGCCACCAUAUCAUCCAUGGCUUCUGGUGCCUCCACCACGCUGAAGAUGGCCUCUAUCGCCGCUUGCAUCCUGCUGGUCCUGCUGUCCAAUGGCCACCCUACCGCGGCGGCCGUUGAUUGUAUUGCGGCUUGCAAAGAACCGUGCCAGGGUUUUUCUAACGGGCUCUGCGCGGGUGGAGCCACCAGCGGUUGUACGACUACGGCAGCAGCUACAGCAUGCCGCAAUUUGGCGUUCUCGCAGUGUGCGAACACCUGCUUCACAGUUUGCACUGCUGUGAGCAUCGCGCCUUGCACUUGAAGAUGCAUUCGUGUUCCUACUUCCACAUUAUUGUUACUGCAGAAUAAUAUGGGUCAGUGCACACAAGCAUACAUGAUGAGCCACUGUCGUUUUUCCAUUUUGUCAUUUAUUUAUUGAAGGCAAUGUACGUUUUUCCAUUUGAUCAUUUACUUAUUGAAGGCAAUGUACGUGUCUAUCUCCUGUGUGGUUGAGCAUGUCAUCUUGGAAUUCUGUCCAAAGUUUUACAUACCACCUUGUAUUGUUGUGUGUGGGUAUCAAUAUAAUUUAUGAACUAUCUUCCUUUACCAUAGACAUAUCUAUGUUUAUUUGCAAGCGUUAGCUAAAUUUUUCCUUGAUUGUGUAUUAACCCCAACUGAACAGAUCAACUUUCCACUGCAAGAAACUAUUUAAUCUGUGACGAAACAAAAUUGUCACGUAUCACUAAAAAAUCGACAUAAAGCAAUGCCUGUGAUGAUUUCAGAUAACGUCAUGUAUUGAGCAUCACAGAUUAAAUCGAUCGACGUUUUCUUCGAAAUCGUCACAGAUCAACACAAUCUAUGAUGUUUUUUACCUGUCACAAAACACCCUUAGGCCCGUGCAGCAGCCCAGGCCUAGUGUUUGUGACGAAAAUAAACAUAACAGAUGGUUGCCACGUGGCUGGUGACGUGGUUGAUGACGUGGACGAUGACAUGGCUAGUGACGUCAUUGAUGACAUGGCCAGUGACGUCGAUGACAUGGAGAGGCUUCACCAUAGUAUUUUGUAUCGACGUUAGACCUAUCGUUUAUUUCCGCUGCUUUUGAACUCUGAACACUACUUUUAUGCAUGUGAACUAUCGGCUUGUAAUAACUUAAUGUGGGACCUGUAAUAAUUUAUCUGGAUUGUUGUAAUCUUUGGACUCGUCUUCGUGCGAGUAUACUUUGUUUCGAUCCGAAACACGUGGUUGCAUCGGGUGAAACCCGACAGACUACCAGUUUAAUUCGAUUAAAGUGUCUAUUCACAUUUAAGGCAAUGUUGAAUAUACUUUAGCCGGGUUAACUUGGAUGGUUCUACCACACUGGCGCAUCCCUGAGGAUUCCUAUCUGCUUGCUCGAUGUCAUCUGUAUCUGGCCCUGUGAUAAGGGCGAAGAGUUCAUUGUCUAGAGAGAGGCUUCCAGAACUUUGGGUGAUGACUUAUGUAGAGUCAUUGUCUUCAUGGAUAGAAGACAAAGGUGAUCCCUCCUAGUACGGAAGAACGUUGAGAUGGGCCAUGAAGCGUGAUUCGUUGUCCUGGGCGAGGGCAGGUAGCCUCAUGCCAGGCCAGUAGAUGAAUCUGCCUUGAGGGGUUGAGGUGAUCACCAGGCCCUGCUGCGAACCUGUUAGUGGAGUUUCCUCGUCGGAAUCCAAGUAGUGAUCGUAGUUGUGGUCCUUAAUCGGACAUGAGUUAGAUUGCAACCCGGAUAAGGCUGCUUGAUAGGUGGAAGCUGCGUUACAGAGUCCGAAUGGGAGUUUGCUCGGAAUUUGACUUGAUUCGGACGAUGCAGAACCCGACAGGAUAACCUACUGGGGUAUUACGUCAAUAGAUCAACCAAAAGAAUGUGCAAUAAUAUCUACCACCAAAGGCAACCCAAAAGCAUUAUCUACCUUCAGUGCCAGAUCAGUCAUCAACAAAGAUCUAUGGAGACCUUGUUUUCUCUUGCUUUGGAUUUGGAGAUAGCAUAGAACAAAAGCCUUGAACCUAAAUAAACAAAGAAAAAAAGUACUGCAGUGCUAAAAAUAAGAAAUACCUCGUAGAAAAAUACCAGUAAUGGGUUUAUGGGUUCCCACUCAUCCUUGGGUAGCCACUUCUCUAGAGAGAUUCUUGUGUGUUCCGGUGUUGUAGUUUUCUGCGCAUGAUACAUACCAACAUAAGGGCUAUUCCCCAACCUCAUAAUCGAUAGUAAUGUACAUCUUCUGGAAAGGACCUCUUUCUGUUGCAAGUGUGACUGCCACGCUCAUGCCAUUAAAGAAGUUAGCAGUUCGGUUAGGCAAUUAGUUGCCCACAGGAGGAAAGUAAAGCAACCGUGGAGAGUGAAGAGGCGUCUUUCUAGCUCCAGCACCAAGCACACCACACCAGUCAUCAGCUAAUCUGAUGACAUGGCAGGAAAUUUAAGAGGGGAGAGAAGGAAUUAGUUUCAUCUAGAUGAAAUUCUUCUCGCACAAAACCAACUCUGAAUGUGUCAUGAAAUUAAAUGUACCCCAUGCCGCUUUUUAUGCGCUCUUAUUAAUGUUGCUUUGUCUAAGUUCAAUACACUUAUCAAGACUAUCGCAUUUGGUGACUGGCAGUCCACCUAAGGGUACCAAGAUGGUUGAUUUGUAAACAGAGAGGAUCACAAGACCAUGAACUACUUGAUGGUAAUGCAAGGCACAAGACAUAGAGAUUUAUACAUGUUCGAGCCGUUAGUGUAGCGUAAUACCCUACGUCCUGUUUUGGGGGAUUGUAUUGCGCUCUGCACUUGGGUGUUGGUUGUUAAGUUGAGGGAUUGGCCGUCCUCCUAGGGGUACCCCUACGUACCCUUAUAUACUCCCCUAAUAACUCUUCUUAAUAGGAUAGAUUACCAAGUAGAAUUAAUUAUGCAUGCACGCUUGCAGUAAUUGUCGCACCUAUUAGCCUUCCUUAUUUAGCGAGACUUCCUCGGGCAUCGAUGGUGUGCCGUUUCUAUAGUGAACGGUAAUGAAUGUGGACACUUUUAUGAGUGCUGACAUGAAAGGUUCAAUUUGUAUGAAUGAUCUUCUAUAGGUACACUAACCGCGCUUAGGUUACGUUAACAAAAGGUUAGAGAAUUGACUAGUUAUUAUAGGAAGAGCCGUAAACUGUUGCCUCGCCACCAGCACUAACCCCGUAAGUCCAAGUAAUUGGCAGUUUUUUCAUUUGUGAGGACGCAUAGGUCAUGCAUGCAUCAUGUUAAAAACUUGCAAAUUAGAAAUUGGAACAACUUUCCUAUAGAUGAUUGGGAGGACUAAUGUCACUCUCAAAAAAAAUUUUGCCAAAUCACCUAAGGAUUUUCUAGUUGUCUCGAACUGCAGCUAACUACUGUCAGAAAUUUUUUUCUCCGAGCUCUUAAAUGGUCUUGGUUCCAGAAUUUAGUAAAUGAUAUGCUGUAAAAGUUUCAUAAAUUUUGGUCAAGUGAAACUCGAGUUAUGCUUCAAUAAAUUCCCGGGUUGACUCGUACCCAAAGGAGGAAGUUGCAGAGGUUAAGGCUGCAGGAGAAGAGGGAACAGAAGCUGGAGAAGCGAAGGAAUGAGGCAUUCAACACGAAUAGACCCAUAGUCCCUCAGAAGAAGGAGUGGAGAGUUAAGGCCGAUACCCCCAACUCCACCAGUCAGACCGGCAGAAGGACCGGUCGGACCUAGUGCGGUCGGCACGGUCGGGGCGGUCACUGGCACAGUCGGCGUGGUUGAUGAUUCGGUCGGCGCGGUUGUCGGCGCAGUCAGACCGGUUGGGGGGUCAGCGAGGAGCGACGGCGGGGCAACAAAGUAACCGUGAGCGUGGCGGGGCGGAGCUUGAGCGGCGGAGGCGGAUGGGAGGGGUGGAGGCGGCGGUGGAUGUGGAGGGGAGGUAGCGGAGGGGGAGGAGGAUGAGGAGGCAGAGGAGGUCGGCGGUGGGCGGAGGAGGUGGAGGAGGGUGAGGAGGAGGAGGAGGCGGAGGGAGGUCAGGGCUGGCGGGGGGAUUUUCUUUUUUUAAGAACGUUCAGCUUUAUUAUCACCUAGCGGAGGCAGAUGGAGUUCCACAACAUGGUGUAUCGGAUGGGCAUUUCAUUGAAGUCCCUAGGGGCGUCCAAUGGGCGGCUGUAGUGGGUGUACAUCAGGACGAGCGUCUGUAGCCAUUGCGACAGCCUAGAGCACGACAACGAGGCAGAAGACCCCAUCACGGGUGCAGAUGGCCAGCGUUUUUUUAAAAAAAACUUACAGGUGGCCAGUGUGGUGGGCGUGAUUGGGCUUAUCACCAGUGGCGGAGGAGGCGGACGCACGAAGUGACGGGAAUGGCGCCGAGUUUGGUCGAACCAUCUGGAAACCAGAGUUGCAACGCUUGCACUGGACGGCUGAGAUUUACGAUGCUCGAUAUCUGACGGGCGAAAAAGGGAGAGACUUGGCCCAAUCACUGCAGAGAAACUUCACCGGAUUUAGGUCUUUAAAGAAGAUUGUAAGGCCUGAUUGGUUGGGGGAUCAAAAUGUAUCAAACCAAAAUCAGGGUAAGCCUAAUAAUUUUGGCAGCUGUGUAUAUUUAGAUGCAUAUAAACAUUUAUAAACCUAAAAAAUUAAAACGACCUGCAAUUAAAACUCGAGGGGUAAAAAAGAAGGCCCUGACAAACGCGUCAGCACAUUCCUGCCUUUCUCCCCCGAAUGAGUAAACUCCAAUCCAAAAUUUGACUGUAUUUUGUUAACGGUUAUAUUUCAUAAGUUUCAUAACAAUAACCAGCUAGGGCUAAUGAUGAAAUGAAAUUGGCCACAAUUUUUGUUCUUGGGAGGUAUCUGUGAGGUGAGAAAAUGGGCAACAUGUGUGGAAAAUGCUAAUACGCCUACCGUGUGGCAUAUUUUGCGUUGUAUCAUAUACUUUCCGGAACAGUUGUAAUUGCCACAUCUUUUUUUCCCAGCAGAGUUGCCAAAAUGUGUUGGCGCCUUUUCCGACCAACACAUGAGUGCGCUAGCUUGCGUGUAGAUUGGAAAUCUCCUCGUUGAAGCUCCUGCACCUGGCCGGUCAGAUCGGUCAGGGGGUCCGAUCGGGCCGGUCGUCGUAGGGGCACCGUGAAAACCUACGUCCACCACCUCGGGAGGGACCCUAUCGGAGAUGGCGAACCUAGGGUUGCUCUGAGAUCGGCAGGCCACUUUAAACGUUCUCAAACACCGCCGGGACAAAAGAGGAAAGCAAGUGGGUUGGAAAAGCUAAGGUUUUGAGAUAAAAGGGUAAAAAGAUAUGUUUGACGAUUGGGUGAUACCCCUCAAUCCAACUUACCAAUACUGAUACAAGAUAUGCUCAACUUGUGAACUUAACUGAGGUAUAUGCUUUCUAUGUUCGUCCAUUCCAGCAAUUGUCUAAGGCAACGCGAAAUCCAGUUACUGUGGGCUAAUAACAACCUAUCUGUUGGUGUUUCUUGGUGUCUAUGGGUGUGCUUCUGAUUUGCAUGCUUUUUUUGUUUGUUGUGUGAUGAAAUAAGGCACUAUGUACAUCUUUGCUUAUUAUUUCCCACUGAUAUAUGGGUACGGACGUGUAAUCAUUAAUUGUGCUAUUCAUUCAGCUGACGACAGUCAGUUGACAUCACUUGAAAGUAUGCUUGAAUUCGUAAGGUGUCCCGUGCAAGUAGCGUGGCUACAACCGCGGCAAUAUUUUUUUCUGAUCAAAAUCGAUCGUCCUUUUUUGUUGAAAACAUAAGUAUGAUAUACUUCACGUGAUGUUAGACUUGAAAAUUUUUGAGUGCAAUAUAUGAGUAAGUAUUCAAUACUAACAUUUUUUCUCUAAACAUUAACUACCAACAUAGCUUAUCAGAUAAUGCAGCAUUGUUUAUCCGACAUGCAUAACCACCUAACACUCAGACACUGAGACACACCAUCCAUUACCGUCACUGAAUCUAUGUCAGCGUGCUGAGCCAGGGUUAGGAACCUCCACUAACUCGUUAGAGGCAAACCCAAGAUCUAGACUGCUUCUGCUUAAUUCCAUCACUAGCUUAAUCCACUAUGAAAUGUAAAUGCACAACACUCUUAGCAAUUCGCUCAUAAGAUUCUUGAAUUUGGCAAAUUUUUGGUGCAAUCUUCACUGCGAGAAAAACGACCUUUUGUCCAACAUAUUAGUACCGGCCACAUUUCAACCCGUACUAAUACCAACAUUAGUAUCGGAUCCAAUUUAGUAGCCACCGGAGACCUUUUAGUACCAGGUCAUAACACCACCCAAUACUAAAAUGUUGAAGAUAGGUUGCCAAUGGUGAGGUGGAGCGUGGGGUCGAUGACGGUAAUAGCGGCGGGGAACUUCAACCCCCAGCCGAAGGGGCCAUGGCAGGUGGCAGGGAGAGGUUGAGGCUGUAGAGGAGAGGGUGUUUGAGCUUUGGGGGUGGCGAUUUGGAUUUGUUGAAGGAUAGCGGUGGGAUUUGCUGCUCAUUGUGGUUCAGGUGGAGGAACAAAGUAGAAAGAAAGAGACGAAAAUGUGGCCAACACUUUCAAGGAAAAGCAUGAGGUGAGAUGGAGGAAUGCAUGAGUGAGGGUGUGGAUAGGCAACCCUUGAAAUGGAUUUCCAAGGACGGAUCACGGGAUGAACCAUCCCUGGAAAUGGGGCUAUUUUUAGGAGCGGAGGGAAACAUGGCCUGCAUCUAUAAAUAAGUAUUUUUAGGGGUAGGUCUUGUUUCUGUUCGUUCUAGGAAAUGUAUAUUUCUAGGGGUACCCCACCCCAUAAUUGUAACACCUGCUUUUAAAACAAAACCAAGUGUUACCUAUAUGUAUGCCAGGAUCUAGUUUCAUAUAUAUAGUGAUAUCAUCAGUGAAUAAUAGUAACAAUAUCACGUAAAAAAAUAUAAAUAAUGACUUACGAGUGUAUCAGAGAUAUACAACUUAAUCAUGGAAAUCAAGGCUCCAAACUUCACAAGCAAUCGACUGUGGGUUGCGUAUGUCUAGAACUCAGCAUCAUCUUGAGAAAACAUCACACACCUUCUUCUGAGCAGCAGUAAGUAAGGGUGAGUACACUUAUGGUUGGUACUCAGCAAAACCAUAUUGUGCCAAUCAGGCACUCAUCACACUACCGAGGUGUGACUACAUAGGGACACUACGAGACCUUUACAAAGAUUCCCUAAUAAGUGGUAACCUGCUAAGGUUUCAUGUCGAAGUAGAGCAUAAACCUCUCUCAAGAUUGCGAAGCUAACAUAGAGCAGAUCAGACUGAGGGACGGGUUAUACCUCAUCAACGCCUCCCCUCUUGUCCUUUCGGUAAGAUUACCUCAAGCUGGAGUCUCUAAUUAAUUAGCCAAGACCAGAGCCAUAUAGUCCUUGUAGUUGCACUAUUUUCCUGGGUGGUUCUUCAUGUUCCAAUUAAUGCAUGGUAUUCUUGUAAAAUAAGAAUAGAUAGAAGGAUGGUUAAGGACACCUACCUUUAUCCAACGAAAAGUUACUCUUACUGCUCUUUAGCUCUUGCUCUCUUGAAACUCUUAAUCUUCAAAUCUUUUGAACAACUAUCCUUCUAUUUGAAGAAAUCAUCGGCACAAACAUAUAAGCAAACAAAAAAAGUACAAUUAAGAACAAUACACCAAAACAAAAAAAAGCUUGAAAAGAGUAUAAAGGAUAUGGCUCAAUUCUAAGAUCGCGAGGAUGUAAGAAACGCUUAAAACCAAACUAAGGUUGAAAAGACAAAGCUAUUGAGAGAUUUGAAUUAUAAAAGAAAAAGAAAAGCCUACGUGCUUCAUAUAUUUUAAUAAAGAAAACAAUGUAAAGAUAUUUUAGAGAAAAAUCCUUAUCAAGUUAUAUUUAUAUAUGAAAAGAUCAAGGUAGAACUUCAUCAAAUUUUUAUUUAUAAACAUUAAAGUACAAUUUAGGCAAAUUAAACAUUUAAUUUGAAAAUAAAGUAAGAGCCGCAAGACUCAAGGAACAAGCUAAACCAUUCAGUGGAUCUUCGGGGGUCUAGAUGCAAAAAGCUCAGAGCUUUCUUCCUCAUGGCCGACGGUAGCUUGUACAGCCAAAUCACUGGCGCUACGGCGGCUGGGGUCUCCAGCGGACGGCACAGGAGGUGGAGGAGGUCCAGGGGAUCUAGUGGAGGCUCUUACCGGUGGGGGAGGUGAAGGGGGGCGGCCGAAAUUCGGAGGCGACAAUGACCGCAGCGGUGGCUCGAGCUCCGCGCGGUGGCAACGCUCCGGUGAUGGAGGGGCGUCGAGGGCUGGCGUCAGUUCUUCAUCUUGGAAGGAAAAUAAUUUCCCGUGGAAGGAAAAUCCAGAUAAAUCAAGAUAAUUCAAUAAAAGCUACAAAAAAUACUCUAAAAAUUCCCAAAAAUUUUAGGAAAAAUCCUAGUCGUAGAUUGGGACAUGAGGAAUCCAAAUAAAAUACUUGGAGCCCAUGAAAAAGGAAUUAGAGCCUUCUACUAAAUAGAUUUAUUUCUAGGAAAAUGAGAAUAAAUACCAGAAAGAUCUGGAAAAUUCUCAGGAGAAUUUGGUCGUCGUCUAAAUGCAUUUUUGAAACUUUUUCACUCAUGAAAUACUAUAAUGCAUCGGCAGGAAUGCAAAACACGUAGAAACAUUUUAUUUCUUUCAAAAUCAAUGAAUUGUUUUUCCUAUACUACAUUUCCUGUCAAAAAAAUAAAUGUUGAAAUUUUUUUAAAAUUAUGAGAAAAUCAUUGUUUAAUUAUUAUUUUUAUUUAAUCACAUCCUAAAAUCUAAAAAUUUCAGGGUGUGAAUAAUCCACCCCUAUAAAUCCAUUUUUAGAGGUGGAUGAAUUGCUACAGUAACACCUAUUUUUGGUUGGGGGGCUUCUCAUCCAGCCAAAAAAAUCAAGUGGCACCUAAAAAUCAUUUUUUAGUAGUGAUCGUACACGCGCUUCACUGCCAUGAACGCCGCCAUGCAUACCGCUCAACCAGCCGCCGGCGCCAUAGAUGGUGGCAUUCCGGUUCUUUCCCCAGUGUGGCAGGCCGCCGUACUUGCCCAUUGCCAUCUGCAUCUUGAUCUCGUCCACGACCUCCAAGUUUUGCACUGCACUAUGGACAAAAUAGUGCCCAUUAUCGUGCAGGGUUUUCCAUGUGAAUUGGCCCAAGGUACAUUCAACUUAUUUUGGCUGGCUUGGUCCCACAGUUUGAACCCAGAUUUUGGAUCUUUCCGCAUUUAAAUUGGUGCUGCUGCUGCAUUUAUUUGAUAAUGGUGCAAGAUAUGGAACCAUACAACAAAGGUAACUCAUCAUUAAUUUAGAAGGGUGCACAGAUUCAUGUAAUAAAUAAUCUACACCACCUAAGAUGUGUCUCUACCUCUAUAUAAACAAGAGCAAUCAAAGCAAUAUGUGCAUACUGGAACAAAAUAUCUACAGGCAUACCAAUAGUGUUCCUUUUCAUAUGGCAGUGAUCAAGAGCAGCGCAGUGAGGUCCAUGUGUGCUGCACUUUGCAUUCUUUUGAUAAUGUCUUCAGCCCUCUCAGAGCUGGUGGAAGUUGUGUAUCUAACUGCUUUUCUACUUCCCAUGGUUUCAUUAUAUUCGUGGGGUUUACUAGGUGCGAUGUGGAUUUCAUGCACAUGAUCACGCUGAGUGUGACCCUAUGGACUGAUGCACUGAUCCGAAAUGCGAGGAUGAAUGUCAGAACAAAAAUAUUGACCUACCUAUUGAACCUGAGUGCACCACACCUAAGGAGUGUUGCUGCACAUUUUAUCGGGAGGAAGAUAAUUCACUUCUUUGAAUAGAUUAAAAUGGUUGCCGAUGGCUAGAUUAAUUUCAUGGAUGCAGCCGAUACCAGAAUACUACGCUUGCAUGUAAUGCAUCCAUAAUAUGUUUCUACCCAAAUCUAAUAAAAUAAAUGUGUCCCAUUUGUCCUCUUUUCCUCUAGUGUUUUUUUUACUCCCAAAUUCCAUGCUAAUAAAUGCUGCAUACAUGAUUUUAUUUUAAAAACAUUUCUGAAUACAUUUAAUUUGAUAAGUUCAAACACCGAGUGAGUCUUCUAUCUAUUGUAGGCUUAUGUUUAGUGAAGUGUGCCGGGCCUACUACUUCGGUGUUGGGCUGAGCCCACAUGAGAGCAGCUCCAGCGUUGCUCUUUUGAGGGUGCUCCAAGGAGAGAGAAAAAUAUUCUCCGGCAGCUUCACGCUGGAUCAGAGGGUGCUAGGGAGGUGCUAGGGAGCAGCUGAUGAUGAGUUUUGCACCAGGCGCUACGCAUUCAAUAUAUUUUCUGAAGUAACGUGGUUGGAUGGAUAGUUGAGAUAGUGGGAAGAAAAGCUAGAUCAAUGAUUCUUUAUUCAGCUGGAUCAAUGAUUUCUGAGAUGAGGUACUCAGCAGAUUGAACCGCCACAAGUGCCCUUCUCUUCUUAUCAGCCCGGUGUGCCUUGGUAUUGUCUUCCUGAAUAAUGGCCUUAUUAACCAGAUUACUAGAGCUGUCGUAGUAACAACCAAACGAACUGCAGCUUAGUACCGAGGCCCCUUCUCAAGCAAGCCUACUUUUUAGCAUGACAGCUGGCGUACCGAGCAAGUUGAUUAACACUAUUAGCAUAUUGGAACACAGUUUGAUUUCUUUGUUUAAGUGACAUGACCUCUGACGGUUUUCUUUAGGCUGUGGAAAACGGCUCGUACCAACUCUGCCCGUUGAGAUGACCACACCCUGUUUCCAUUACCCCGUUAGGAAUGGAAACACAAACCAUUAUCUUGUACCCUAUCAUAACUCUGAAGUCUUCUUGGAAUAAUUUUCCGAUAAGGGAAGUUUUAUUGAUUUAAUAAAUGUUACAUCACGGUGAUAUAAUAAACUUGAAAUCCUCCCAGCAUGUGCAAGCACAGAGCCCUACAGGCAGAAACAAAUGCAGAUGCGCUAAUGACCAUCAAUCCGAGGACUCCGCCACCCAUGCACUUAGGUAAAAAAAUUCCUCGACCACUUUCACCAAGCACUGAGAUGAGAUGCCGCUGCAACGGAAACAUAUGCCGUAGACUUUUGGAGCAUAGCCCAUGUACGAAGCUAGUGGAUAACUCUAAAGAUAACCUGCAUUGGAUGAGAUAAGGGUUUGUUUUCAAAUACCAUAGCAUUCUUGCAGAGCAACAAUAACAACAUAGUAGCAAUCACCCCAAGUAAAUAAUGCCCGUCAACCAAGUGCCGAAAAUAUUUUCUAGGCUAAGGGGCUUGAGAAAGACUUCAGUUGCAAACAUAUCCGUAUUAUCCUCACUGAAUGGUCAUAAGUGUUUCCCUUCCGUUGCCGACACAAGACCAUCCGACGGCGAAGGGUGACUAACGCCACUAGCUGGUAAACUAAGUAUGCUGGAAUUUGUCCACUAAGGUUAGAGUCUAGCUAACUCAGCAUAGGUGCCCAUAUUUCUUAAUUAUGUUUCCGUUGGUUGAUAACAUACCCAUCGGCAUCCUAUCGUCAUGACUUAAUGAAUCCCAAUAUCUUCUAGACUAACGUUUACUUACAUGAGUAGGGUGUGUAUGCAUGUGUGGUUAACAGGUAUUUACUUUAAGGUCGGCUGGGCCGGCUUUCUGGAUGUGUCUAAUUAUGCUUAAGAAAAAGAACCACUAGUGGAAAACUGAGUUUUAGUCCCAUAUGCAGACACGCAUAGAUCUCAAAAAUCCAACCGGAACUAAUCAUUCGGACUGUAAUAAUAAAAUUUGUUUGAAAUUAAAUACAUUGCAUUUAAAUUUUCAUGGGCAUUUAAACCUUUUUCAAAAUAAAUUAAUGAAUCAUAGGAGUUCGUUGUUGCAUUCACGAUGGUGCAUUAUUUUUGGUUGCUUGAAUUCAAAUUUGUGUUUGAAUUCAUCUGUUUGACUCUUUUAAACAAAUAGGAAACCCCUUUUCUUUUCCCUCCCUUUUCUUUUCUUCCUUUCAGCCUGUUUCUUUCUUUGGGCCCACUUCCUUCUCUUUCGCCCAGCAGCAAAACUGAAUAUGCACUUUGAAGAUAAACAUGCGAACCAUCAAAGGGCAGCAGACAACUUACAUACACGAAGGAGCGUUGUAAAUGGCAGAGUAGCCUUGCUGCCAUGAUCCACUGAGAUCCAGCCCCACGUCGCACGAAUUCCUCCCUCCCCCCUCCACCCCCGACAACGGCUUCAGGCUCGGACCCGCUAUGACGACCAAGGACAAAUGCGCUCAAGGCUUGGGAAGAAAUUAACUUCCAUUGUCGGAACACUUGUUAAGGAUUACAAGAGACCAUAUCGCAAGUUUAUCUUCUUAGGUAUGGUCCACAAUGGAAGAGAGAUCUCCUAACUUGACCAAGCGGAUGUACACACUAUCAUUUGGCACGAAUCAGGCCAAGUCAGAUAGGUGCUAGUGGAGUUCCAUAUUCCACUACGUCCGGCAUGUAACUCAUAAUCGACCACUGGGGAGGGACAUGUGUGGGAUGGAUCGAAGACAAGACAAUGGCCAACACACGCGUGGACAUACCGGCCACAGGGUACCAUUACGUGUUUGUUGGACCCAACACAUGAAAAUAGCUGCGUUGGCCAUGAAAAUGUUUCCUAUACGUCAUGGGAGCGCGUAAACGGCCACACUGGCCACCGGAGACGAAAACAUGGGCGAUGGACCGAAGAAGGGAAGAUGGCCUCCGGACAUGUGUUCGGCCAUGAAAACGUUUCCUAUAGGUCACAGGAGCGCGAAAAUGGCCUCACCGGCCACCGGGGACGAAAACGUGGGAGAUGGACCGAAUACAUGAAAAUGCCUAACGAAUGUGUGUUCAGCCAUGAAAACGUGUGUUCUAGGUCACGGGAGCCUGAAAACGGCCUCACCAGCUAUCAAGGACGAAAACGUGGGGGAUGGACUGAUUGCAUGAAAAUGCCUAACGAACACGUGUUCGUCCAUGAAAACAUGUGUUAUAGGUCACGGGAGCCUGAAAAUGGCCUCACCGGCUAUCGGGGACAAAAACAUGGGGGAUGGACCGAAUACAUGAAAAUGCCUAACGAACGUGUGUUCGGUCAUGAAAAGGUGUGUUAUAGGUCACGGGAGCUUGAAAAAUAGCCUCACCGGCCUCCGGGUAUGAAAACGUGGGUGAUGGACCGAAUAUGUGAAAAUGCCUAACAAAAGCAUGUUCGGCCAUGAAAAUGCCCAACGAACAUGAGUUUGGCCAUGAACGGGUGAAAACGGCUCAAGAACGGGUGACAACGGACUCCAAAGGGGCUGGGAUGGAGUUUCCGUGUUGGCACCGAGCCCCCUACGUGCCCCCCUGUCAUCUCGGCCUAUCACACAGAUUUCAGGUGACCCCUAGAACUGUGCACCCUGUGGGACAAAAUUCCCCGGAACUUCUGGGUGGGGGGGAUGCCGCACAGGUAUAGUAGGGGGAGCUGGUGCGUCCUCUGGGUGCUUGAGAAAACGAUGUUCAGCCGUAUGAAUAACGUUGGUUUUGACAUGUUUUCGAGGUAUUCGGGGCGUACUCCCCCGGCCGCGGUGCGGCCGGACCGUGGCCGCACCGCAGCUCAUGUGGGAAGGCUUGGGGGCUGGCUACGGCUGGUCACAGUAGGCUGCGGCCGACUGUUGCUGGGCUGCGGGCGCCUGGAAUGUGCUUGCGCUUGCCGUUGGCUGGCCGUGGCCGCCCCAGGCGUGCUGCGGCCGGUCGUUAGCUUACCUUUUGCUGCUCGGGGCAUUCAGUUGCUGGCCGUUGGCAGGCUAAUGCCGUCCCAGGCGGGCUGCGGCCGGCCAUGAUGGAAGGGAUGAGGUUGUGUUUGUUAUAUGCACCGAAAUUGUUCAUUCUCAUGCUCUAUGGACCUUCGACCGUCGUCCUCACAAGUAGACUUGCCAUGCCUAGCGUGGUAGGAUGCUUAGGAUGGCUUGACCGUCGCGCUACACUAAUAUUGGACCUGUGACUGCUUGGAGGCCCUCCGCCCUAGUGUGGCCGACUCUUGGUGCCAGUUCCCUUCAGUUGUGUGGGCAUCAUGCUCGCGCCUCUGGCGAGUGCUUGCAUGCUGCUACCCGUUCUACGGGAAGUUGCAUUCGCUACGGGUUGCCUUCGUUGUGCCCACCCCCUGGGUGUGGCACUUUGGUUAUAGAGCACUUGCGGCGUCACCUCGUGGUACCUGCUACACCGGUCGGCACCACCAAGGUCAUCUCGCUUGUGCUCUUUGUCUCGGAUGGAGCUAUCGAUAUAGGGCGAGGCUGCUUCGGCACCUUGUUCCUUGCAAAUUCGGUACCUUCGGAAAAACGAAACCAACCCAGCCAACACCUCGUGCCGAAGCUAGCGACAGCUUGUCGAGGAGGACGUGCUAACCUGGUUGAUCCUGCCAGUAGUCAUAUGCUUGUCUCAAAGAUUAAGCCAUGCAUGUGCAAGUAUGAACUAACUCGAACUGUGAAACUGUCGUUUAAUGAUGUUUAAAAGUUGCAAGGGCCCCUCUGUAAAAACGUGUUCAAUCUUUUCUGAUUUAAAAUGAAUUAAAUGGCUGAAACUUUGUAAACGUGUAGAAAAUUGUAGAAAAAUGGUAAAAAUGUGAAAGAUGUCAUGCCCCUGCAAAAAGAACAAGUAGCUCAAUGGUUUGUGCGAUAAAUCCUAUCCUUGAGGUGCUCGUUUACCAAUUUGCACCGAAACAUUAUCUUAGCUCCCACAUGAUAUUAUCUAAAGGCAAAGAAGGUGACAUUGAACAUGAUACACCACGAGAUUUUACUGGAGAAUACAUUGAGAGGUACAGGAUAGGGUUUGUGUGGAAUGUGAUCGGUGCUUAUAAAUAUGACAUAGCAUCAGUACAUCACAACUGGUUGUAGACUGCAACCGACAAUUUUCUUAGACCCUUUGCAUUUUGUAAUAGUUAUAUUCCCUUUACUAAAGUUCUUAUUACAACCAGGUUUCAUAGUACCUAGUGGCAUCAAAACCAUUUAGCGCCACUAACUGGUUGUGAUGAUUGAUGUCACAAACGGUUCUUUGUGCGUAGCCAGUUUAUAGCUGUAAUUCAAUUGAACCUGUUCUAGUACCUUGAACAACUAGUUCUUGAUGAGUAGCCAGGAGUGACGUUCCAUUUGUAACUAUUUAUUCUCUAUUAGUCUAAUGUUGUGAUAAAUGAUUUGCGUUGUCAGUUUAUGCACUUUGGCAGCCUGGAUGUAUGUCUUUUGAAGUAUGUGUAACUUUCUCUAGAAUUGAGGAACUUUAAUUGACUAAGUGGUCUUGGAUUUACAGCAUCAACCACUAUAAUUAGCCAUUGCUCCAAUGGCCCAUUUUUUCCGUUAAUGCUAUAUGAUCCGACACCAAUAUGUGUACAAACAUAAGAGCAUCUGACGAGUAUCAUUUUACGGUGAAGACAUUGGAUCCCCACUCGCAGUAACACAUUUCAAAUGUGGAAAGCAGGACCGGGUCUCCCCCCUGCAAUAAAUGCCAUUUUAACUGGUCCUAUAAACUGUUUUCUAGUGGUGUGAUGUAGUCUGUUGGAAUCAGCACCGUGGAACCAUCUGACAUUCAUACAUUAGCUUCACCAAGCAAAUAUUCUUCUGUGCAUUAAAGCUUCAUACUUCAACAUGUACAAGUUCUCUAUGUAGGAUAUUUCAGCUAGAAGAUCUUCCCUUUCUUGAACUAGCCAUUUGAGCAUUAUUCAUUCUCAGGCCCAUUGUUCCAACGGCUUGCACGUUCUUGGAAUGUGUUAUCAUGGAAUGCUAGGGGUAUCGAUUCGUAGACAAGAUGGAAUGUCGUCAAGAGCAAAAUAUCUGAAUCCAACUGUGAUAUUGCCUGUUUACAAGACACCAAAAGGGAGUUUUUUGAUGCUAGAUAUAUUAGGAAUUUCUAUCCCCCACAGUUAGAUUCUUUCGAUUUCAUCCCAUCUAUUGGCAACUCAGGGAGAACUAUUAUAGUGUGGAAUGGUUCCAAAUUCAAGGGGGAACGUAUCUUUCAAAAUCUUUAUGCCCACUUUGUAGAUUUUCAGUGCAAGCUAUCAGGGGAACAUUGGAUCCUCACGAAUAUCUACGCCCCAUGUACUCCGGAGGGGAAGCUAUCCUUUAUUGACUGGUUCAAAAGGGUUGAAAUACCAGAGGAAAAAAAUUGGCUAAUAGUUGGGGACUUCAACCUUCUUAGGAAGCCGGAUGACAGAAACAAUCCAGGGGAAACAAUCCGGGAGGAAAUGUUCAGGAAAUGCUUCUCUUCAAUGAAGCUAUUAGCAGGCUUAGGCUCACAGAAAUUCAGCUCAAAGGAUGCAAGUACACUUGGUCCAACAAACAACAGAAUCCUCUUCUGGAGAGGCACGAUUGGUUCUUCAUAUCUAACCCUUGGACCAUCUCCUAUCCCAAUACUUAUGCCUCAUCGCUGUCCAGUGACUCCUCAUAUCAUGUUCCUUGUGUAGUCUCGAUCUCUAAUACCAUUCCAAGGCCACAAGUUUUUAGAUUUGAGAAUUAUUGGCUAGAACAUGAUCGGUUCCCAACCAUUCUCCAACAAGGUUGGGCAACUCCACUUCUAGGCACAGAUAGGGCAAAGAACAUUGGGGCCAAGUUCAAAAACCUGAGGAAGGUUUUCAGGAUCUAGAAAGCAUAGCUCCCCAGUCUGGCGAAAGCAAUCCAGAGCACCAAAGACACCAUUAAACUCCUUGACAUCAUCGAAGAACUUAGAGAUCUUACCCUGCAAGAAUGGAACUUUAGAGAAGUCAUCACAUCACAUCUGAAUAGCUUGCUCCACCAACAAAAAGUCUAUUGGCAGCAAAGAAGCUCCAUCAAUUGGGCCAAAAUGGGGGAUGAAUGUACAAAAUUCUGCCAUGCAAGGGCCUCAGUCAGAAAUAGAAUCAAUUAUAUCACUUCUUUAGUUGAUGCCAAUGGACAAAUUGUCUCUAAACAUGAAGCUAAAGCCAGGAUUCUUUGGGAAGCUUAUAAGGAAAGGAUGGGGAGAUUUGAAUUUACUCACAUGUACUUUGAUCUUUCUACUAUCUUGACAUCAGAUCCAAAUUUGGAAUGGCUAGAAUCUCCCUUUAUGAAAGCAGAGAUCGACACAAUUACAGGGGAACUUCCAAGUAACAAGUCCCAAGGCCUAGAUGGCUUGAAUGGAGAGUUUCUCAAGAGAUGUUGGGACUUGAUAGCUGAAGAUUUUUAUAGACUGUCUGAAGGUUUUCAUGACAUUAGUGUGUGUGUUCAGAGCAUGAAUGCUUCAUACAUCACACUAAUCCCCAAGAAAGAUUGUCCCUCUCAAGUGGGAGACUUCAGGCCAAUCUCCCUCCUAAACUCAACCAUCAAGCUAAUAACUAAAAUUCUAGCAGAAAGGCUACAACAGGUUAUGUUAAGACUAGUGCAUAAAAAACAGUAUGGUUUCAUAAAGUUUAGAUCCAUACAAGACUGUUUAGCAUGGGCUUUUGAAUAUCUUCACAUCUGUAAAGCCUCAAAGAGAGAAUUAAUCAUCAGCAAGCUAGACUUUGAAAAAGCCUUUGAUAGGAUUGAGCACCAAGCCAUUUUGGAUAUCUUAAAACAUAAGGGCUUUGGGGACAAAUGGAUUGGGUGGAUAAAGGACAUUCUCAACACUAGAACAUCUUCAGUACUCCUCAAUGGUGUACCAGGGAAAGUCUUUCAUUGCAGAAGAGGUGUCAGACAGGGGGAUCCUCUAUCCCCACUUCUAUUUGUGCUAGCAGCGGACCUUUUUCAGUCAAUCCUAAAUAAAGCCAAAGAGGAAGGAAGCUUACACCUACCGAUCCCUGAAAGAGCUGGACCUGACUUCCCAGUUAUACAAUAUGCAGAUGACACCCUUCUGGUCAUGGAAGCAGAUCCUUGCCUGUUGUUGCAUCUCAAGCAUCUGCUUAAUCAGUUUGCGGAGUCAACUGGUCUUAAAGUAAACUACAACAAGACUGUUAUGGUACCUCUGAACACUUCUGAGGAUAAACUCCGACAACUUUCGUCAAUGUUCGAUUGCCAUGUCGGAAGCUUGCCACUCACCUACUUGGGGCUACCACUUGGUGCAACAAAGCCUAACAUUGAGGAAUUCCUUCCAUUAAUACAGAAGGUGGAGCGAAGAUUGGGAGGCAUCUCUAACAUGUUAUCUCAAGGGGGCAAACUCGAACAGGUAAAUUCAGUCUUUUCUUCCUCACCAAUGUUUCAUAUGGCAACCUUAAAGCUUCUCAAGGGGGUUAUCACACAAUUAGAUAAAUAUAGGAAACACUAUCUCCGCAGAGGAUCUAAUUUGAAUUCUAGGAAACCCUCCAAGGCAGCUUGGCCUAUGGUGUGCCUACCAAAACAGCAAGGAGGACUUGGGGUUAUUAACCUGAACAGUCAAAAUGAUGCCCUUCUUCUCAUGUUCCUACACAAGUUCUUCACUAGAGCUGAUACUCCCUGGGUUCAUUUAUUCUAGGAUAACUAUUAUUCUAAUGGGAAACUGCCUGGACAGCACAAAAAGGGCUCAUUCUGGUGGAGAGAUUUAGUCAAGCUACUGGACAAAUACGAAGGAAUAGUGUCGGCAUGGGUAUCGGAUGGCUCUACUGUAUUGUUCUGCAUGGACACAUGGAUUGAGCAGGUCCUCUACCUGGAAUUCCCCCAGUUAUUCUCUUAUGACAAAAACAAACUGGUAUCAUAUAAGGAGGCUACAAGCAGAAUAUCACUGUCUCAAAAUUUUCACCUGCCACUUUCAGAAGAAGCUCAUCAGCAGUUGCUGAUUCUGCAGAAUAGAUUGAGGAAUACUGUGAGAGCUCAAGGCAGAGAUAAGUGGACUUACAUUUGGGGAAGGCCCCCGCUUUUCGGUAGCAAAAACUUAUAAAGUCAUAACGGGCACAAGAACCAUACAUCCAAUUCAUAGAUGGAUAUGGAAAUCUAAAUGCCAAAAGAAGCACAAGAUAUUUUUCUAGCUAUUAAUUAAAUUCAGACUGAGCACCAAAGACAUUCUAAGCAGAAAAACAAUGUAUUUGGAUACUUAUACUUGUGUGCUUUGCAUCCUCCAGGAAAAGGAGACAAUGCCGCACUUAUUCCUGAGAUGCAACUUCUCGAAAGCUUGUUGGAGCACUUCCUCCAGGCCACCCUUUCGGAUUUUUAACUCAAUCAAGGAUAAACUGAACGUUCCCUUCUACAUGGAGAUCAUCAUUUUAAUGGCCCGGAGCAUUUGGUCCGUGAGGAAUGACUGGACCUUUCAACAAUGUCCCCCCUCGGUACAGAGCUGCAAAAGGAAAUUCAUGGAAAAAAUGAAUACCGUCUGUCUACAUAGAGCGAAAUCUUCCCUAGCUCUUGCCAUGAUGGAAUGGUUGUAAUCUUUUCUUUCUUUUUUCUUCCUUUGUUGUUGCCUUUUCUACCUUCUACUUCUGUUGUUUCUUGGACUCGCCUUUCAUUUAAUAUAUUUCAGUAGGAGCUUGCCCCUCCUGUUCCUUCAAAAAAAAACUUCGAGCACUUCUCCAUGGGCUUCAUCACCAUAGUUUCGAUUUGGGCAAUUUUAUUGCACCGAACCUUCCAGCUUGCAUUUUCUUAACUGAAUCUCGAGCAUGGGGCAAUAUUCUGGCAUCUACAACGGACCUGCCAUCAAGCAUUCCAAUGUAUAGAUCUAUCCUUUUUGUUUGCCUAAUAUUCGGAUGCAAUACUCCGCCGUGUGUAAAAAAAUCCAAGGCCAACGGACCAUACCGUGUUAACAAUUUUAGUGCCUAAUCCAAUACAAAAUUAGUCCCAGUUUGUACGGCUACUCAUUCAUUGCAGUCUUCAGACGAACUCUACGGUGACACAUUUUUGGAAUACUCUGGCAUGUGCAACUGACCUGCCAUCAAGCACUCCGAUGCAUGGUUCUAUCCUCUUUGGUUGCCUUAUAUUCUGUAAAAAAAAAUAUUCAAGGCCAACAGACCAUACCGUGUUAAAAAUUUUAGUGCCCAAUCCAAUACAAAAUCAGUUCCAGCACCUCCACAGUGAUUAUAUUGUAAUUCAAUCACCAAAAUCCGAAACUAUGGUCUAGUGAAGCUAUACUGUGUACGAAAUAUCAAUUCAUGGGAUUUGUCAACGAUUUUAUGAAGCUGUAUAUAUGAUACCUUCCACUACGGGAUUUGUGUACAAAAUAUUAAUUCAUGAGAUUUGUCCAUGAUUUUAGGAAGCUACAAUAUCUUCAACUACCGGAUUGCGUAUAUAAGAUAAUCUUCACCAGUUAUCACAGGUGGAAGCACGCGUUAAAUAAUAAAUGACUAAUGCUGAUUCAACUCUGAGAUGAAAAGGAUUCUGUUCUCAAGAAUCGAAAAAAAGGUAACGUGCUCAUAACAAUGUCGACUCUUCACAUCUGAGAAGCUAGCUCCGUGAUGCUUAUCUGGCUAGUGAACUACCUACCGUAUGUUAUUAAAACAUUUUUGCUGCCUAUAAAUUGGGCAUCAUUUCAGCAGGCCACCACGGCACCUGAGCUUGCCAUCUUUUCCUGCUCUAUCUCACUCAUUUGUCCCGUAGCUACUAGCUAAGCCACCAUAUCAUCCAUGGCUUCUGGUGCCUCCACCACGCUGAAGAUGGCCUCUAUCGCCGCUUGCAUCCUGCUGGUCCUGCUGUCCAAUGGCCACCCUACCGCGGCGGCCGUUGAUUGUAUUGCGGCUUGCAAAGAACCGUGCCAGGGUUUUUCUAACGGGCUCUGCGCGGGUGGAGCCACCAGCGGUUGUACGACUACGGCAGCAGCUACAGCAUGCCGCAAUUUGGCGUUCUCGCAGUGUGCGAACACCUGCUUCACAGUUUGCACUGCUGUGAGCAUCGCGCCUUGCACUUGAAGAUGCAUUCGUGUUCCUACUUCCACAUUAUUGUUACUGCAGAAUAAUAUGGGUCAGUGCACACAAGCAUACAUGAUGAGCCACUGUCGUUUUUCCAUUUUGUCAUUUAUUUAUUGAAGGCAAUGUACGUUUUUCCAUUUGAUCAUUUACUUAUUGAAGGCAAUGUACGUGUCUAUCUCCUGUGUGGUUGAGCAUGUCAUCUUGGAAUUCUGUCCAAAGUUUUACAUACCACCUUGUAUUGUUGUGUGUGGGUAUCAAUAUAAUUUAUGAACUAUCUUCCUUUACCAUAGACAUAUCUAUGUUUAUUUGCAAGCGUUAGCUAAAUUUUUCCUUGAUUGUGUAUUAACCCAUACUGAACAGAUCAACUUUCCACUGCAAGAAACUAUUUAAUCUGUGACGAAACAAAAUUGUCACGUAUCACUAAAAAAUCGUCAUAAAGCAAUGCCUGUGAUGAUUUCAGAUAACGUCAUGUAUUGAGCAUCACAGAUUAAAUCGAUGACAUGGAGAGGCUUCACCAUAGUAUUUUGUAUCGACGUUAGACCUAUCGUUUAUUUCCGCUGCUUUUGAACUCUGAACACUACUUUUAUGCAUGUGAACUAUCGGCUUGUAAUAACUUAAUGUGGGACCUGUAAUAAUUUAUCUGGAUUGUUGUAAUCUUUGGACUCGUCUUCGUGCGAGUAUACUUUGUUUCGAUCCGAAACACGUGGUUGCAUCGGGUGAAACCCGACAGACUACCAGUUUAAUUCGAUUAAAGUGUCUAUUCACAUUUAAGGCAAUGUUGAAUAUACUUUAGCCGGGUUAACUUGGAUGGUUCUACCACACUGGCGCAUCCCUGAGGAUUCCUAUCUGCUUGCUCGAUGUCAUCUGUAUCUGGCCCUGUGAUAAGGGUGAAGAGUUCAUUGUCUAGAGACAGGCUUCCAGAACUUUGGGUGAUGACUUAUGUAGAGUCAUGAAGCGUGAUUCGUUGUCCUGGGCGAGGGCAGGUAGCCUCAUGCCAGGCCAGUAGAUGAAUCUGCCUUGAGGGGUUGAGGUGAUCACCAGGCCCUGCUGCGAACCUGUUAGUGGAGUCUCCUCGUCGGAAUCCAAGUAGUGAUCGUAGUUGUGGUCCUUAAUCGGACAUGAGUUAGAUUGCAACCCGGAUAAGGCUGCUUGAUAGGUGGAAGCUGCGUUACGGAGUCCGAAUGGGAGUUUGCUCGGAAUUUGACUUGAUUCGGACGAUGCAGAACCCGAUGGGAUAACCUACUGGGGUAUUACGUCAAUAGAUCAACCAAAAGAAUGCGCAAUAAUAUCUACCACCAAAGGCAACCCAAAAGCAUUAUCUACCUUCAGUGCCAGAUCAGUCAUCAACAAAGAUCUAUGGAGACCUUGUUUUCUCUUGCUUUGGAUUUGGAGAUAGCAUAGAACAAAAGCCUUGAACCUAAAUAAACAAAGAAAAAAAGUACUGCAGUGCUAAAAAUAAGAAAUACCUCGUAGAAAAAUACCAGUAAUGGGUUUAUGGGUUCCCACUCAUCCUUGGGUAGCCACUUCUCUAGAGAGAUUCUUGUGUGUUCCGGUGUUGUAGUUUUCUGCGCAUGAUACAUAGCAACAUAAGGGCUAUUCCCCAACCUCAUAAUCGAUAGUAAUGUACAUCUUCUGGAAAGGACCUCUUUCUGUUGCAAGUGUGACUGCCACGCUCAUGCCAUUAAAGAAGUUAGCAGUUCGGUUAGGCAAUUAGUUGCCCACAGGAGGAAAGUAAAGCAACCGUGGAGAGUGAAGAGGCGUCUUUCUAGCUCCAGCACCAAGCACACCACACCAGUCAUCAGCUAAUCUGAUGACAUGGCAGGAAAUUUAAGAGGGGAGAGAAGGAAUUAGUUUCAUCUAGAUGAAAUUCUUCUCGCACAAAACCAACUCUGAAUGUGUCAUGAAAUUAAAUGUACCCCAUGCCGCUUUUUAUGCGCUCUUAUUAAUGUUGCUUUGUCUAAGUUCAAUACACUUAUCAAGACUAUCGCAUUUGGUGACUGGCAGUCCACCUAAGGGUACCAAGAUGGUUGAUUUGUAAACAGAGAGGAUCACAAGACCAUGAACUACUUGAUGGUAAUGCAAGGCACAAGACAUAGAGAUUUAUACAUGUUCGAGCCGUUAGUGUAGCGUAAUACCCUACGUCCUGUUUUGGGGGAUUGUAUUGCGCUCUGCACUUGGGUGUUGGUUGUUAAGUUGAGGGAUUGGCCGUCCUCCUAGGGGUACCCCUACGUACCCUUAUAUACUCCCCUAAUAACUCUUCUUAAUAGGAUAGAUUACCAAGUAGAAUUAAUUAUGCAUGCACGCUUGCAGUAAUUGUCGCACCUAUUAGCCUUCCUUAUUUAGCGAGACUUCCUCGGGCAUCGAUGGUGUGCCGUUUCUAUAGUGAACGGUAAUGAAUGUGGACACUUUUAUGAGUGCUGACAUGAAAGGUUCAAUUUGUAUGAAUGAUCUUCUAUAGGUACACUAACCGCGCUUAGGUUACGUUAACAAAAGGUUAGAGAAUUGACUAGUUAUUAUAGGAAGAGCCGUAAACUGUUGCCUCGCCACCAGCACUAACCCCGUAAGUCCAAGUAAUUGGCAGUUUUUUCAUUUGUGAGGACGCAUAGGUCAUGCAUGCAUCAUGUUAAAAACUUGCAAAUUGGAAAUUGGAACAACUUUCCUAUAGAUGAUUGGGAGGACUAAUGUCACUCUCAAAAAAAAUUUUGCCAAAUCACCUAAGGAUUUUCUAGUUGUCUCGAACUGCAGCUAACUACUGUCAGAAUUUUUUUUCUCCGAGCUCUUAAAUGGUCUUGGUUCCAGAAUUUAGUAAAUGAUAUGCUGUAAAAAUUUCAUAAAUUUUGGUCAAGUGAAACUCGAGUUAUGCUUCAAUAAAUUCCCGGGUUGACUCGUACCCAAAGGAGGAAGUUGCAGAGGUUAAGGCUGCAGGAGAAGAGGGAACAGAAGCUGGAGAAGCGAAGGAAUGAGGCAUUCAACACGAAUAGACCCAUAGUCCCUCAGAAGAAGGAGUGGAGAGUUAAGGCCGAUACUCCCAACUCCACCAGUCAGACCUGCAGAAGGACCGGUCGGACCUAGUGCGGUCGGCACGGUCAGGGCGGUCACUGGCGCAGUCGUCGUGGUUGAUGACUCGGUCGGCGCGGUCGUCGGCGCAGUCAGACCGGUCGAGGGGUCGGCGAGGAGCGGCAGCGGGGUGACAAAGUAACUGCGAGCGCGGCGGGGCGGAGCUUGAGCGGCGGAGGCGGAUGGGAGGGGUGGAGGUGGCGGUGGAUGUGGAGGGGAGGUAGCGGAGGGGGAGGAGGAGGAGGAGGCAGAGGAGGCCGGCGGUGGGCGGAGGAGGUGGAGGAGGGUGAGGAGGAGGAGGAGGCGGAGGGAGGUCAGGGCUGGCGGGGGAAUUUUCUUUUUUUAAGAACGUUUAGCCUUAUUAUCACCUAGCGGAGGCGGAUGGAGUUCCACAACAUGGUGUAUCGGACGGGCAUUUCAUUGAAGUCCCUAGGGGCGUCCAAUGGGUGGCUGUAGUGGGUGUACAUCACGACGAGCGUCUGUAGCCAUUGCGACAGCCUAGAGCACGACAACGAGGCGGAAGACCCCGUCACGGGUGCAGAUGGCCAGCGUUUUUUUAAAAAAAAACUUACAGGUGGCCAGUGUGGUGGGCGUGAUUGGGCUUAUCACCAGUGGCGGAGGAGGCGGACGCACGAAGCGACAGGAAUGGCGCCGAGUUUGGUCGAACCAUCUGGAAACUAGAGUUGUAACGCUUGCACUGGACGGCUGAGAUUUACGAUGCUCGAUAUCUGACAGGCGAAAAAGGGAGAGACUUGGCCCAAUCAUUGCAGAGAAACUUCACCGGAGUUAGGUCUUUAAAGAAGAUUGUAAGGCCUGAUUGGUUUGGGGAUCAAAAUGUAUCAAACCAAAAUCAGGGUAAGCCUAAUAAUUUUGGCAGCUGUGUAUAUUUAGAUGCAUAUAAACAUUUAUAAACCUAAAAAAUUAAAACGACCUGCAAUUAAAAAUGGAGGGGUAAAAAAGAAGGCCCCGACAAACGCGUCAGCACAUUCCUGCCUUUCUCCCCCGAAUGAGUAAACUCCAAUCCAAAAUUUGACUGUAUUUUGUUAACGGUUAUAUAUCAUAAGUUUCAUAACAAUAACCAGCUAGGGCUAAUGAUGAUAUGAAUUUGGCCACAAUUUUUGUUCUUGGGAGGUAUCUGUGAGGUGAGAAAAUGGGCAACAUGUGUGGAAAAUGCUAAUACGCCUACUGUGUGGCAUAUUUUGCGUUGUAUCAUAUACUUUCCGGAACAGUUGUAAUUACCACAUCUUUUUUCCCCAGCGGAGUCGCCAAAAUGUGUUGGCGCCUUUUCCGACCAACACAUGAGUGCGCUAGCUCGCGUGUAGAUUGGAAUUCUCCUCGUUGAAGCUCCUGCACCUGGCCGGUCAGAUCGGUCAGGGGGUCCGAUCGGGCCGGUCCUCGUAGGGGCACCAUGAAAACCUACGUCCACCACCUCGGGAGGGACCCUUUCGGAGAUGGCGAACCUAGGGUUGCUCUGAGAUCGGCAGGCCAAUUUAAACGUUCUCAAACGCCGCCGGGACAAAAGAUGAAAGCAAGUGGGUUGGAAAAGCUAAGGUUUUGAGAUAAAAGGGUAAAAAGAUAUGUUUGACGAUUAGGUGAUGCCCCUCAAUCCAACUUACCAAUAUUGAUACAAGAUAUGCUCAACUUGUGAACUUAACUGAGGUAUAUGCUUCCUAUGUUCGUCCGUUCCAGUAAUUGUCUAAGGCAACGCGAAAUCCAGUUACUGUGGGCUAAUAACAACCUAUCUGUUGGUGUUUCUUGGUGUCUAUGGGUGUGCUUCUGAUUUGCAUGCUUUUUUUGUUUGUUGUGUGAUGAAAUAAGGCACUAUGUACAUCUUUGCUUAUUAUUUCCCACUGAUAUAUGGGUACGGACGUGUAAUCAUUAAUUGUGCUAUUCAUUCAGCUGACGACAGUCAGUUGACAUCACUUGAAAGUAUGCUUGAAUUCGUAAGGUGUCCCGUGCAAGUAGCGUGGCUACAACCGCAGCAAUAUUUUUUUCUGAUCAAAAUCGAUCGUCCUUUUUUGUUGAAAACAUAAGUAUGAUAUACUUCACGUGAUGUUAGACUUGAAAAUUUUUGAGUGCAAUAUAUGAGUAAGUAUUCAAUACUAACAUUUUUUCUCUAAACAUUAACUACCAACAUAGCUUAUCAGAUAAUGCAGCAUUGUUUAUCCGACAUGCAUAACCUCCUAACACUCAGACACUGAGACACACCAUCCAUUACCGUCACUGAAUCUAUGUCAGCGUGCUGAGCCAGGGUUAGGAACCUCCACUAACUCGUUAGAGGCAAACCCAAGAUCUAGACUGCUUCUGCUUAAUUCCAUCACUAGCUUAAUCCACUAUGAAAUGUAAAUGCACAACACUCUUAGCAAUUCGCUCAUAAGAUUCUUGAAUUUGGCAAAUUUUUGGUGCAAUCUUCACUGCGAGAAAAACGACCUUUUGUCCAACAUAUUAGUACCGGCCACAUUUCAACCCGUACUAAUACCAACAUUAGUAUCGGAUCCAAUUUAGUAGCCACCGGAGACCUUUUAGUACCAGGUCAUAACACCACCCAAUACUAAAAUGUUGAAGAUAGGUUGCCAAUGGUGAGGUGGAGCGUGGGGUCGAUGACGGUAAUAGCGGCGGGGAACUUCAACCCCCAGCCGAAGGGGCCAUGGCAGGUGGCAGGGAGAGGUUGAGGCUGUAGAGGAGAGGGUGUUUGAGCUUUGGGGGUGGCGAUUUGGAUUUGUUGAAGGAUAGCGGUGGGAUUUGCUGCUCAUUGUGGUUCAGGUGGAGGAACAAAGUAGAAAGAAAGAGACGAAAAUGUGGCCAACACUUUCAAGGAAAAGCAUGAGGUGACAUGGAGGAAUGCAUGAGCGAGGGUGUGGAUAGGCAACCCUUGAAAUGGAUUUCCAAGGACGGAUCACGGGAUGAACCAUCCCUGGAAAUGGGGCUAUUUUUAGGAGCGGAGGGAAACAUGGCCUGCAUCUAUAAAUAAGUAUUUUUAGGGGUAGGUCUUGUUUCUGUUCGUUCUAGGAAAUGUACAUUUCUAGGGGUACCCCACCCCAUAAUUGUAACACCUGGUUUUAAAACAAAACCAAGUGUUACCUAUAUGUAUGCCAGGAUCUAGUUUCAUAUAUAUAGUGAUAUCAUCAGUGAAUAAUAGUAACAAUAUCACGUAAAAAAAUAUAAAUAAUGACUUACGAGUCUAUCAGAGAUAUACAACUUAAUCAUGGAAAUCAAGGCUCCAAACUUCACAAGCAAUCGACUGUGGGUUGCGUACAUCUAGAACUCAGCAUCAUCUUGAGAAAACAUCACACACCUUCUUCUGAGCAGCAGUAAGUAAGGGUGAGUACACUUAUGGUUGGUACUCAGCAAAACCAUAUUGUGCCAAUCAUGCACUCAUCACACUACCGAGGUGUGACUACAUAGGGACACUACAAGAUCUUUACAAAGAUUCCCUAAUAAGUGGUAACCCGCUAAGGUUUCAUGUCGAAGUAGAGCAUAAACCUCUCUCAAGAUUGCGAAGCUAACAUAGAGCAGAUCAGACUGAGGGUCGGGUUACACCUCAUCAACGCCUCCCCUCUUGUCCUUUCGGUAAGAUUACCUCAAGCUGGAGUCUCUAAUUAAUUAGCCAAGACCAGAGCCAUAUAGUCCUUGUAGUUGCACUAUUUUCCUGGGUGGUUCUUCAUGUUCCAAUUAAUGCAUGGUAUUCUUGUAAAAUAAGAAUAGAUAGAAGGAUGGUUAAGGACACCUACCUUUAUCCAACGAAAAGUUACUCUUACUGCUCUUUAGCUCUUGCUCUCUUGAAACUCUUAAUCUUCAAAUCUUUUGAACAACUAUCCUUCUAUUUGAAGAAAUCAUCGGCACAAACAUAUAAGCAAACAAAAAAAGUACAAUUAAGAACAAUACACCAAAACAAAAAAAAUCUUGAAAAGAGUAUAAAGGAUAUGGCUCAAUUCUAAGAUCGCGAGGAUGUAAGAAACGCUUAAAACCAAACUAAGGUUGAAAAGACAAAGCUAUUGAGAGAUUUGAAUUAUAAAAGAAAAAGAAAAGCCUACGUGCUUCAUAUAUUUUAAUAAAGAAAACAAUGUAAAGAUAUUUUAGAGAAAAAUCCUUAUCAAGUUAUAUUUAUAUAUGAAAAGAUCAAGGUAGAACUUCGUCAAAUUUUUAUUUAUAAACAUUAAAGUACAAUUUAGGCAAAUUAAACAUUUAAUUUGAAAAUAAAGUAAGAGCCGCAAGACUCAAGGAACAAGCUAAACCAUUCAGUGGAUCUUCGGGGGUCUAGAUGCAAAAAGCUCAGAACUUUCUUCCUCAUGGCCGACGGUAGCUUGUACAGCCAAAUCACUGGCGCUACGGCGGCUGGGGUCUCCGGCGGACGGCACAGGAGGUGGAGGAGGUCCAGGGGAUCUAGUGGAGGCUCUUACCGGUGGCGGAGGUGAAGGGGGGCGGCCGAAAUUCGGAGGCGAUAAUGACCGCAGCGGUGGCUCGAGCUCCGCGCGGUGGCAACGCUCCGGUGAUGGAGGGGCGUCGAGGGCUGGCGUCAGUUCUUCAUCUUGGUGCAGGGACACUCCAGGUGGCAUCAGCAUGCUCCAGUUCGAACGUCAACCGCGACGAAACGGGCGGCCAACUCCUACGGCACUUCGGCUCUAGCGAUCGAUGGCGCACGGCGCUGCGCGAGCAGGCGAGGUGAGGCGCGAGGGAGGAAGAAGGGAUGAUGCGGAGCCUCAAGCUUGCUAUUUAUAGGGGCGUGGGAGGUGUGCCUUGGAGUGGCACGCACGAUGAGGAAACGACGGCAGUGGCGCAGUCCGCUUGGUGGCCGGGCUUAGAAGGGCCAAGCUGGGCCAACUAGUGGCGGACGGGUCAGAGCGGGCUGAUGCGAGUCAAGCCCAUAGCCUCGGCCCAAACUGAUAGGAUAGGUUUUUUUAUUAUUUUUAGAAAAUAAUUUCCCGUGGAAGGAAAAUCCAGAUAAAUCAAGAUAAUUCAAUAAAAGCUACAAAAAAUACUCUAAAAAUUCCCAAAAAUUUUAGGAAAAAUCCUAGUCGUAGAUUGGGACAUGAGGAAUCCAAAUAAAAUACUUGGAGCCCAUGAAAAAGGAAUUAGAGCCUUCUACUAAAUAGAUUUAUUUCUAGGAAAAUGAGAAUAAAUACCAGAAAGAUCUGGAAAAUUCUCAGGAGAAUUUGGUCGUCGUCUAAAUGCAUUUUUGAAACUUUUUCACUCAUGAAAUACUAUAAUGCAUCGGCAGGAAUGCAAAACACGUAGAAACAUUUUAUUUCUUUCAAAAUCAAUGAAUUGUUUUUCCUAUACUACAUUUCCUGUCAAAAAAAUAAAUGUUGAAAUUUUUUUAAAAUUAUGAGAAAAUCAUUGUUUAAUUAUUAUUUUUAUUUAAUCACAUCCUAAAAUCUAAAAAUUUCAGGGUGUGAAUAAUCCACCCCUAUAAAUCCAUUUUUAGAGGUGGAUGAAUUGCUACAGUAACACCUAUUUUUUGGUUGGGGGGCUUCUCAUCCAGCCAAAAAAAUCAAGUGGCACCUAAAAAUCAUUUUUUAGUAGUGAUCGUACACGCGCUUCACUGCCAUGAACGCCGCCAUGCAUACCGCUCAACCAGCCGCCGGCGCCAUAGAUGGUGGCAUUCCGGUUCUUUCCCCAGUGUGGCAGGCCGCCGUACUUGCCCAUUGCCAUCUGCAUCUUGAUCUCGUCCACGACCUCCAAGUUUUGCACUGCACUAUGGACAAAAUAGUGCCCAUUAUCGUGCAGGGUUUUCCAUGUGAAUUGGCCCAAGGUACAUUCAACUUAUUUUGGCUGGCUUGGUCCCACAGUUUGAACCCAGAUUUUGGAUCUUUCCGCAUUUAAAUUGGUGCUGCUGCUGCAUUUAUUUGAUAAUGGUGCAAGAUAUGGAACCAUACAACAAAGGUAACUCAUCAUUAAUUUAGAAGGGUGCACAGAUUCAUGUAAUAAAUAAUCUACACCACCUAAGAUGUGUCUCUACCUCUAUAUAAACAAGAGCAAUCAAAGCAAUAUGUGCAUACUGGAACAAAAUAUCUACAGGCAUACCAAUAGUGUUCCUUUUCAUAUGGCAGUGAUCAAGAGCAGCGCAGUGAGGUCCAUGUGUGCUGCACUUUGCAUUCUUUUGAUAAUGUCUUCAGCACUCUCAGAGCUGGUGGAAGUUGUGUAUCUAACUGCUUUUCUACUUCCCAUGGUUUCAUUAUAUUCGUGGGGUUUACUAGGUGCGAUGUGGAUUUCAUGCACAUGAUCACGCUGAGUGUGACCCUAUGGACUGAUGCACUGAUCCGAAAUGCGAGGAUGAAUGUCAGAACAAAAAUACUGACCUACCUAUUGAACCUGAGUGCACCACACCUAAGGAGUGUUGCUGCACAUUUUAUCGGGAGGAAGAUAAUUCACUUCUUUGAAUAGAUUAAAAUGGUUGCCGAUGGCUAGAUUCAUUUCAUGGAUGCAGCCGAUACCAGAAUAGUACGCUUGCAUGUAAUGCAUCCAUAAUAUGUUUCUACCCAAAUCUAAUAAAAUAAAUGUGUCCCAUUUGUCCUCUUUUCCUCUAGUGUUUUUUUUACUCCCAAAUUCCAUGCUAAUAAAUGCUGCAUACAUGAUUUUAUUUUAAAAACAUUUCUGAAUACAUUUAAUUUGAUAAGUUCAAACACCGAGUGAGUCUUCUAUCUAUUGUAGGCUUAUGUUUAGUGAAGUGUGCCGGGCCUACUACUUCGGUGUUGGGCUGAGCCCACAUGAGAGCAGCUCCAGCGUUGCUCUUUUGAGGGUGCUCCAAGGAGAGAGAAAAAUAUUCUCCGGCAGCUUCACGCUGGAUCAGAGGGUGCUAGGGAGGUGCUAGGGAGCAGCUGAUGAUGAGUUUUGCACCAGGCGCUACGCAUUCAAUAUAUUUUCUGAAGUAACGUGGUUGGAUGGAUAGGUGAGAUAGUGGGAAGAAAAGCUAGAUCAAUGAUUCUUUAUUCAGCUGGAUCAAUGAUUUCUGAGAUGAGGUACUCAGCAGAUUGAACCGCCACAAGUGCCCUUCUCUUCUUAUCAGCCCGGUGUGCCUUGGUAUUGUCUUCCUGAAUAAUGGCCUUAUUAACCAGAUUACUAGAGCUGUCGUAGUAACAACCAAACGAACUGCAGCUUAGUACCGAGGCCCCUUCUCAAGCAAGCCUACUUUUUAGCAUGACAACUGGCGUACCGAGCAAGUUGAUUAACACUAUUAGCAUAUUGGAACACAGUUUGAUUUCUUUGUUUAAGUGACAUGACCUCUGACGGUUUUCUUUAGGCUGUGGAAAACGGCUCGUACCAACUCUGCCCGUUGAGAUGACCACACCCUGUUUCCAUUACCCCGUUAGGAAUGGAAACACAAACCAUUAUCUUGUACCCUAUCUUAACUCUGAAGUCUUCUUGGAAUAAUUUUCCGAUAACGGAAGUUUUAUUGAUUUAAUAAAUGUUACAUCACGGUGAUAUAAUUAACUUGAAAUCCUCCCAGCAUGUGCAAGCACAGAGCCUUACAGGCAGAAACAAAUGCAGAUGCGCUAAUGACCAUCAAUCCGAGGACUCCGCCACCCAUGCACUUAGGUAAAAAAAUUCCUCGACCACUUUCACCAAGCACUGAGAUGAGAUGCCGCUGCAACGGAAACAUAUGCCGUAGACUUUUGGAGCAUAGCCCAUGUACGAAGCUAGUGGAUAACUCUAAAGAUAACCUGCAUUGGAUGAGAUAAGGGUUUGUUUUCAAAUACCAUAGCAUUCUUGCAGAGCAACAAUAACAACAUAGUAGCAAUCACCCCAAGUAAAUAAUGCCCGUCAACCAAGUGCCGAAAAUAUUUUCUAGGCUAAGGGGCUUGAGAAAGACUUCAGUUGCAAACAUAUCCGUAUUAUCCUCACUGAAUGGUCAUAAGUGUUUCCCUUCCGUUGCCGACACAAGACCAUCCGACGGCGAAGGGUGACUAACGCCACUAGCUGGUAAACUAAGUAUGCUGGAACUUGUCCACUAAGGUUAGAGUCUAGCUAACUCAGCAUGGGUGCCCAUAUUUCUUAAUUAUGUUUCCGUUGGUUGAUAACAUACCCAUCGGCAUCCUAUCGUCAUGACUUAAUGAAUCCCAAUAUCUUCUAGACUAACGUUUACUUACAUGAGUAGGGUGUGUAUGCAUGUGUGGUUAACAGGUAUUUACUUUAAGGUCGGCUGGGCCGGCUUUCUCGAUGUGUCUAAUUAUGCUUAAGAAAAAGAAUCACUAGUGGAAAACUGAGUUUUAGUCCCGGUUGCAGACACGCAUAGAUGUCAAAAAUCCAACCGGAACUAAUCAUUCGGACUGUAAUAAUAAAAUUUGUUUGAAAUUAAAUACAUUGCAUUUAAAUUUUCAUGGGCAUUUAAACCUUUUUCAAAAUAAAUUAAUGAAUCAUAGGAGUUCGUUGUUGCAUUCACGAUGGUGCAUUAUUUUUGGUUGCUUGAAUUCAAAUUUGUGUUUGAAUUCAUCUGUUUGACUCUUUUAAACAAAUAGGAAACCCCUUUUCUUUUCCCUCCCUUUUCUUUUCUUCCUUUCAGCCUGUUUCUUUCUUUGGGCCCACUUCCUUCUCUUUCGCCCAGCAGCAAAACUGAAUAUGCACUUUGAAGAUAAACAUGCGAACCAUCAAAGGGCAGCAGACAACUUACAUACGCGACGGAGCGUUCUAAAUGGCAGAGUAGCCUUGCUGCCACGAUCCACUAAGAUCCAGCCCCACGUCGCAUGAAUUCCUCCCUCCCCCCUCCACCCCCGACAACGGCUUCAGGCUUGGACCCGCUACGACGACCAAGGACAAAUGCGCUCAAGGCUUGGGAAGAAAUUAACUUCCAUUGUCGGAACACUUGUUAAGGAUUACAAGAGACCAUAUCGCAAGUUUAUCUUCUUAGGUAUGGUCCACAAUGGAAGAGAGAUCUCCUAACUUGACCAAGCGGAUGUACACACUAUCAUUUGGCACGAAUCAGGCCAAGUCAGAUAGGUGCUAGUGGAGUUCCAUAUUCCACUACGUCCGGUAUGUAACUCAUAAUCGACCACCGGGGAGGGACAUGUGUGGGAUGGAUCGAAGACAAGACAAUGGCCAACACACGCAUGGACAUACCGGCCACAGGGUACCAUUACGUGUUUGUUGGACCCAACACAUGAAAAUAGCUGCGUUGGCCAUGAAAAUGUUUCCUAUAGGUCACACCUAGUGGCAUCAAAACCAUUUAGUGCCACUAACUGGUUGUGAUGAUUGAUGUCACAAACGGUUCUUUGUGCGUAGCGAGUUUAUAGCUGUAAUUCAAUUGAACCUGUUCUAGUACCUUGAACAACUAGUUCUUGAUGAGUAGCCAGGAGUGACGUUCCAUUUGUAACUAUUUAUUCUCUAUUAGUCUAAUGUUGUGAUAAAUGAUUUGCGUUGUCAGUUUAUGCACUUUGGCAGCCUGGAUGUAUGUCUUUUGAAGUAUGUGUAACUUUCUCUAGAAUUGAGGAACUUUAAUUGACUAAGUGGUCUUGGAUUUACAGCAUCAACCACUAUAAUUAGCCAUUGCUCCAAUGGCCCAUUUUUUCCGUUAAUGCUAUAUGAUCCGACACCAAUAUGUGUACAAACAUAAGAGCAUCUGACGAGUAUCAUUUUACGGUGAAGACAUUGGAUCCCCACUCGCACUAACACAUUGCAAAUGCGAAAAGCAGGACCGGGUCUCCCCCCUGCAAUAAAUGCCAUUUUAACUGGUCCUAUAAACUGUUUUCUAGUGGUGUGAUGUAGUCUGUUGGAAUCAGCACCGUGGAACCAUCUGACAUUCAUACAUUAGCUUCACCAAACAAAUAUUCUUCUGUGCAUUAAAGCUUCAUACUUCAACAUGUACAAGUUCUCUAUGUAGGAUAUUUCAGCUAGAAGAUCUUCCCUUUCUUGAACUAGCCAUUUGAGCAUUAUUCAUUCUCAGGCCCAUUGUUCCAACGGCUUGCACGUUCUUGGAAUGUGUUAUCAUGGAAUGCUAGGGGUAUCGAUUCGUAGACAAGAUGGAAUGUCGUCAAGAGCAAAAUAUCUGAAUCCAACUGUGAUAUUGCCUGUUUACAAGACACCAAAAGGGAGUUUUUUUAUGCUAGAUAUAUUAGGAACUUCUAUCUCCCACAGUUAGAUUCUUUCGAUUUCCUCCCAUCUAUUGGCAACUCAGGGGGAACUAUUAUAGUGUGGAAUGGUUCCAAAUUCAAGGGGGAACCUAUCUUUCAAAAUCUUUAUGCCCACUUUGUAGAUUUUCAGUGCAAGCUAUCAGGGGAACGUUGGAUCCUCACGAAUAUCUACGCCCCAUGUACUCCGGAGGGGAAGCUAUCCUUUAUUGACUGGUUCAAAAGGGUUGAAAUACCAGAGGAAAAAAAUUGGCUAAUAGUUGGGGACUUCAACCUUCUUAGGAAGCCGGAUGACAGAAACAAUCCGGGGGAAACAAUCCGGGAGGAAAUGUUCAGGAAAUGCUUCUCUUCAAUGAAGCUAUUAGCAGGCUUAGGCUCACAAAAAUUCAGCUCAAAGGAUGCAAGUACACUUGGUCCAACAAACAGCAGAAUCCUCUUCUGGAGAGGCACGAUUGGUUCUUCAUAUCUAACCCUUGGACCAUCUCCUAUCCCAAUACUUAUGCCUCAUCGCUGUCCAGUGACUCCUCAUAUCAUGUUCCUUGUGUAGGCUCGAUCUCUAAUAGCAUUCCACAGCCACAAGUUUUUAGAUUUGAGAAUUAUUGGCUAGAACAUGAUCGGUUCCCAACCAUUCUCCAACAAGGUCGGGCAACUCCACUUCUAGGCACAGAUAGGGCAAAGAACAUCGGGGCCAAGUUCAAAAACCUGAGGAAGGUUUUCAGGAUCUAGAAAGCAUAGCUCCCCAGUUUGGCGAAAGCAAUCCAGAGCACCAAAGACACCAUUCAACUCCUUGACAUCAUCGAAGAACUUAGAGAUCUUACCCUGCAAGAAUGGAACUUUAGAGAAGUCAUCACAUCACAUCUGAAUAGCUUGCUCCACCAACAAAAAGUCUAUUGGCAGCAAAGAAGCUCCAUCAAUUGGGCCAAAAUGGGGGAUGAAUGUACAAAAUUCUGCCAUGCAAGGGCCUCAGUCAGAAAUAGAAUCAAUUAUAUCACUUCUUUAGUUGAUGCCAAUGGACAAAUUGUCUCUAAACAUGAAGCUAAAGCCAGGAUUCUUUGGGAAGCUUAUAAGGAAAGGAUGGGGAGAUUUGAAUUUACUCACAUGUACUUUGAUCUUUCUACUAUCUUGACAUCAGAUCCAAAUUUGGAAUGGCUAGAAUCUCCCUUUAUGAAAGCAGAGAUCGACACAAUUACAGGGGAACUUCCAAGUAACAAGUCCCAAGGCCUAGAUGGCUUGAAUGGAGAGUUUCUCAAGAGAUGUUGGGACUUGAUAGCUGAAGAUUUUUAUAGACUGUCUGAAGGUUUUCUUGACAUAAGUGUGUGUGUUCAGAGCAUUAAUGCUUCAUACAUCACACUAAUCCCCAUGAAAGACUGUCCCUCUCAAGUGGGAGACUUCACGCCAAUCUCCCUCCUAAACUCAACGAGCUAAUAACUAAAAUUCUAGCAGAAAGGCUACAACAGGUUAUCUUAAGACUAGUGUAUAAAAAUCAGUAUGGUUUCAUAAAGUCUAGAUCCAUACAAGACUGUUUAGCAUGGGCUUUUGAAUAUCUUCACAUCUGUAAAGCCUCAAAGAGAGAAUUAAUCAUCAGCAAGCUGGACUUUGAAAAAGCCUUUGAUAGGAUUGAGCACCAAGCCAUUUUGGAUAUCUUAAAACAUAAGGGCUUUGGGGACAGAUGGAUUGGGUGGAUAAAGGACAUUCUCAACACUAGAACAUCUUCAGUACUCCUCAAUGGUGUGCCAGGGAAAGUCUUUCAUUGCAGAAGAGGUGUCAGACAGGGGGAUCCUCUAUCCCCACUUCUAUUUGUGCUAGCACCGGACCUUUUUCAGUCAAUCCUAAAUAAAGCCAAAGAGGAAGGAAGCUUACACCUACCGAUCCCUGAAAGAGCUGGACCUGACUUCCCAGUUAUACAAUAUGCAGAUGACACCCUUCUGGUCAUGGAAGCAGAUCCUUCCCUGUUGUUGCAUCUCAAGCAUCUGCUUAAUCAGUUUGCGGAGUCAACUGGUCUUAAAGUAAACUACAACAAGACUGUUAUGGUACCUCUGAACACUUCUGAGGAUAAACUCCGACAACUUUCGUCAAUGUUCGAUUGCCAUGUCGGAAGCUUGCCACUCACCUACUUGGUGCUACCACUUGGUGCAACAAAGCCUAACAUUGAGGAAUUCCUUCCAUUAAUACAGAAGGUGGAGCGAAGAUUGGGAGGCAUCUCUAACAUGUUAUCUCAAGGGGGCAAACUCGAACAGGUAAAUUCAGUCUUUUCUUCCUCACCAAUGUUUCAUAUGGCAACCUUAAAGCUUCACAAGGGGGUUAUCACACAAUUAGAUAAAUAUAGGAAACACUAUCUCUGCAGAGGAUCUAAUUUGAAUUCUAGGAAACCCUCCAAGGCAGCUUGGCCUAUGGUGUGCCUACCAAAACAGCAAGGAGGACUUGGGGUUAUUAACCUGAACAGUCAAAAUGAUGCCCUUCUUCUCAAGUUCCUACACAAGUUCUUCACCAGAGCUGAUACUCCCUGGGUUCAUUUAUUCUAGGAUAAUUAUUAUUCUAAUGGGAAACUGCCUGGACAGCACAAAAAGGGCUCAUUCUGGUGGAGAGAUUUAGUCAAGCUACUGGACAAAUACGAAGGAAUAGUGUCGGCAUGGGUAUCGGAUGGCUCUACUGUAUUGUUCUGCAUGGACACAUGGAUUGAGCAGGUCCUCUACCUGGAAUUCCCCCAGUUAUUCUCUUAUGCCAAAAACAAACUGGUAUCAUAUAAGGAGGCUACAAGCAGAAUAUCACUGUCUCAAAAUUUUCACCUGCCACUCUCAGAAGAAGCUCAUCAGCAGUUGCUGAUUCUGCAGAAUAGAUUGAGGAAUACUGUGAGAGCUCAAGGCAGAGAUCAGUGGACUUACAUUUGGGGAAGCCCCCGCUUUUCGGUAGCAAAAACUUAUAAAGUCAUAACAGGCACAAGAACCAUACAUCCAAUUCAUAGAUGGAUAUGGAAAUCUAAAUGCCAAAAGAAGCACAAGAUAUUUUUCUAGCUAUUAAUUAAAUUCAGACUGAGCACCAAAGACAUUCUAAGCAGAAAAACAAUGUAUUUGGAUACUUAUGCUUAUGUGCUUUGCAUCCUCCAGAAAAAGGAGACAAUGCCGCACUUAUUCUUGAGAUGCAACUUCUCGAAAGCUUGUUGGAGCACUUCCUCCAGGCCACCCUUUCGGAUUUUUAACUCAAUCAAGGAUAAACUGAACGUUCCCUUCUACAUGGAGAUCAUUAUUUUAAUGGCCCGGAGCAUUUGGUCCGUGAGGAAUGACUGGACCUUCAACAAUGUCCCCCCUCGGUACAGAGCUGCAAAAGGAAAUUCAUGGAAAAAAUGAAUACCGUCUGUCUACAUAGAGCGAAAUCUUCCCUAGCUCUUGCCAUGAUGGAAUGGUUGUAAUCUUUUCUUUCUUUUUUCUUCCUUUGUUGUUGCCUUUUCUACCUUCUACUUCUGUUGUUUCUUGGACUCGCCUUUCAUUUAAUAUAUUUCAGUAGGAGCUUGCCCCUCCCGUUCCUUCAAAAAAAAAACUUCGAGCACUUCUCCAUGGGCUUCAUCACCAUAGUUUCGAUUUGGGCAAUUUCAUUGCACCGAACCUUCCAGCUUGCAUUUUCUUAACUGAAUCUCGAGCAUGGGGCAAUAUUCUGGCAUCUACAACGGACCUGCCAUCAAGCAUUCCAAUGUAUAGAUCUAUCCUGUUUGUUUGCCUAAUAUUCGGAUGCAAUACUCCGCCGUGUGUAAAAAAAUCCAAGGCCAACGGACCAUACCGUGUUAACAAUUUUAGUGCCUAAUCCAAUACAAAAUUAGUUCCAGUUUGUACGGCUACUCAUUCAUUGCAGUCUUCAGACCAAAUCUACGGUGACAUAUUUUUGGAAAUAAGCUUGUCGAAAUCACUAUAUUGUAAUUCAAUCACCAAAAUCUGAACUAUGGUCUGAUGGAGCCAAUUCUCCGUGGGCUUUAUUACCAAAGUUUCACCUUAGGCAAUUUCAUUUCACCUAACCUUCCAGCUUGCAUUUUCUUAACUGAAUGUUAAGCACGGUGCAAUACUCUGGCAUGUGCAACUGACCUGCCACCAAGCACUGCGAUGCAUGGUUCUAUCCUCUUUGGUUGCCUAAUAUUCUGUAAAAAAAAUAUUCAAGGCCAACAGACCAUACCGUGUUAAAAAUUUUAGUGCCCAAUCCGAUACAAAAUCAGUUCCAGCAAUGACGGCUAUUCAUCCAUUGCAGUGUUUGGAACACCUCCACAGUGACUAUAUUGUAAUUCAAUCACCAAAAUCCGAAACUAUGGUCUAGUGAAGCUAUAUUGUGUACGAAAUAUUAAUUCAUGGGAUUUGUCAACGAUUUUAUGAAGCUGUAUAUAUGAUACCUUCCACUACGGGAUUUGUGUACAAAAUAUUAAUUCAUGAGAUUUGUCCAUGAUUUUAGGAAGCUAUGAUAUCUUCAACUACCGGAUUGCGUAUAUAAGAUAAUCUUCACCAGUUAUCACAGGAGGAAGCACGCAUUAAAUAAUAAAUAACUAAUGCUGAUUCAACUCUGAGAUGAAAAGGAUUCCGUUCUCAAAAAUCGAAAAAAAGGUAACGUGCUCAUAACAAUGUCGACUCUUCACAUCUGAGAAGCUUAUAAGUGAACUACCUACCGUAUGUUAUUAAAACAUUUUUGCUGCCUAUAAAUUGGGCAUCAUUUCAGCAGACCACCACGGCACCUGAGCUUGCCAUCUUUUCCUGCUCAUCAUAUGUCCCGUAGCUACUAGCUACUAGCUAAGCCAUCUUUUCCUGCUCAUCAUAUGUCCCGUAGCUACUAGCUACUAGCUAAGCCAUCUUUUCCUGCUCACUCAUUUGUCCCGUAGCUACUAGCUAAGCCACCAUAUCAUCCAUGGCUUCUGGUGCCUCCACCACGCUGAAGAUGGCCUCUAUCGCCGCUUGCAUCCUGCUGGUCCUGCUGUCCAAUGGCCACCCUACCGCGGCAGCCGUUGAUUGUAUUGCGGCUUGCAAAGAACCGUGCCAGGGUUUUUCUAACGGGCUCUGCGCGGGUGGAGCCACCAGCGGUUGUACGACUACGGCAGCAGCUACAGCAUGCCGCAAUUUGGCGUUCUCGCAGUGUGCGAACACCUGCUUCACAGUUUGCACUGCUGUGAGCAUCGCGCCUUGCACUUGAAGAUGCAUUCGUGUUCCUACUUCCACAUUAUUGUUACUGCAGAAUAAUAUGGGUCAGUGCACACAAGCAUACAUGAUGAGCCACUGUCGUUUUUCCAUUUUGUCAUUUAUUUAUUGAAGGCAAUGUACGUUUUUCCAUUUGAUCAUUUACUUAUUGAAGGCAAUGUACGUGUCUAUCUCCUGUGUGGUUGAGCAUGUCAUCUUGGAAUUCUGUCCAAAGUUUUACAUACCACCUUGUAUUGUUGUGUGUGGGUAUCAAUAUAAUUUAUGAACUAUCUUCCUUUAUCAUAGACAUAUCAACUUUCCACUGCAAGAAACUAUUUAAUCUGUGACGAAACAAAAUUGUCACAUAUCACUAAAAAAUCGUCAUAAAGCAAUGCCCGUGAUGAUUUCAGAUAACGUCAUGUAUUGAGCGUCACAGAUUAAAUCGAUCGACGUUUUCUUCGAAAUCGUCACAGAUCAACACAAUCUAUGAUGUUUUUUACCUGUCACAAAACACCCUUAGGCCCGUGCAGCAGCCCAGGCCUAGUGUUUGUGACGAAAAUAAACAUCACAGAUGGUUGCCACGUGGCUGGUGAUGUGGUUGAUGACGUGGACGAGGACAUGGCUAGUGACGUCAUUGAUGAUGUGGCCAGUGACGUCGAUGACAUGGAGAGGCUUCACCAUAGUAUUUUGUAUCGCCGUUAGACCUAUCGUUUAUUUCCGCUGCUUUUGAACUCUGAACGCUACUUUUAUGCAUGUGAACUAUAGGCUUGUAAUAACUUAAUGUGGGACCUGUAAUAAUUUAUCUGGAUUGUUGUAAUCUUUGGACUCGUCUUCGUGCGAGUAUACUUUGUUUCGAUCCGAAACACAUGGUUGCAUCGGGUGAAACCCGACAGACUACCAAUUUAAUUCGAUUAAAGUGUCUAUUCACAUUUAAGGCUAUGUUGAAUAUACUUUAGCCGGGUUAACUUGGAUGGUUCUACCACACUGGCGCAUCCCUGAGGAUUCCUAUCUGCUUGCUCGAUGUCAUCUGUAUCUGGCCCUGUGAUAAGGGCGAAGAGUUCAUUGUCUAGAGAGAGGCUUCCAGAACUUUGGGUGAUGACUUAUUUAGAGUCAUUGUCUUCAUGGAUAGAAGACAAAGGUGAUCCCUCCUAGUACGGAAGAACGUUGAGAUGGGCCAUGAAGUGUGAUUCGUUGUCCUGGGCGAGGGUAGGUAGCCUCAUGCCAGGCUAGUAGAUGAAUCUGCCUUGAGGGGUUGAGGUGAUCACCAGGCCCUGCUGCGAACCUGUUAGUGGAGUCUCCUCGUCGGAAUCCAAGUAGUGAUCGUAGUUGUGGUCCUUAAUCGGACAUGAGUUAGAUUGCAACCCGGAUAAGGCUGCUUGAUAGGUGGAAGCUGCGUUACAGAGUCCGAAUGGGAGUUGGCUCGGAAUUUGACUUGAUUCGCACGAUGCAGAACCUGACAAGAUAACCUGCUGGGGUAUUACGUCAAUAGAUCAACCAAAAGAAUGCGCAAUAAUAUCUACCACCAAAGGCAACCCAAAAGCAUUAUCUACCUAUAGUGCCAGAUCAGUCAUCAACAAAGAUCUAUGGAGACCUUGUUUUCUCUUGCUUUGGAUUUGGAGAUAGCAUAGAACAAAAGCCUUGAACCUACAUAAACAAAGAAAAAAAGUACUGCAGUGCUAAAAAUAAGAAAUACCUCGUAGAAAAAUACCAGUAAUGGGUUUAUGGGUUCCCACUCAUCCUUGGGUAGCCACUUCUCUAGAGAGAUUCUUGUGUGUUCCGGUGUUGUAGUUUUCUGCGCAUGAUACAUAGCAACAUAAGGGCUAUUCCCCAACCUCAUAAUUGAUAGUAAUGUACAUCUUCUGGAAAGGACCUCUUUCUGUUGCAAGUGUGACUGCCACGCUCAUGCCAUUAAAGAAGUUAGCAGUUCGGUUAGGCAAUUAGUUGCCCACAGGAGGAAAGUAAAGCAACCGUGGAGAGUGCAGAGGCGUCUUUCUAGCUCCAGCAUCACCAAGCACACCACACCAGUCAUCAGCUAAUCUGAUGACAUGGCAGGAAAUUUAAGAGGGGAGAGAAGGAAUUAGUUUCAUCUAGAUGAAAUUCUUCUCGCAAUAAACCAACUCUGAAUGUGUCAUGAAAUUAAAUGUACCCCAUGCCGCUUUUUGUGCGCUCUUAUUAAUGUCGCUUUGUCUAAGUUCAAUACACUUACCAAGACUAUCGCAUUUGGUGACUGGCACUCCACCUAAGGGUACCCAGAUGGUUGAUUUGUAAACACAGAGGAUCGCAAGACCAUGAACUACUUGAUGGUAAUGCAAGGCACAAGACAUAGAGAUUUAUACAUGUUCGAGCCGUUAGUGUAGCGUAAUACCCUACGUCCUGUUUUGGGGGAUUGUAUUGCGCCCUGCGCUCGGGUGUUGGUUGUUGUGUUGAGGGAUUGGCCGUCCUCCUAGGGGUACCCCUACGUACCCUUAUAUACUCCCCUAAUAACUCUUCUUAAUAGGAUAGAUUACCAAGUAGAAUUAAUUAUGCAUGCACGCUUUCAGUAAUUGUCGCACCUAUUAGCCUUCCUUAUUUAGCGAGACUUCCUCGGGCAUCGAUGGUGUGCCGUUUCUAUAGUGAACGGUAAUGAAUGUGGACACUUUUAUGAGUGCUGACACGAAAGGUUCAAUUUGUAUGAAUGAUCUUCUGUAGGUACACUAACCGCGCUUACGUUACGUUAACAAAAGGUUAGAGAAUUGACUAGUUAUUAUAGGAAGAGCCGAAAACUGUUGCCUCGCCACCAGCACUAACCCCGUAAGUCCAAGUAAUUGGCAGUUCUUUCAUUUGUGAGGACGCAUAGGUCAUGCAUGCAUCAUGUUAAAAACUUGCAAAUUGGAAAUUGGAACAACUUUCCUAUAGAUGAUUGGGAGGACUAAUGUCACUCUCACAAAAAAUUUUGCCAAAUCACCUAAGGAUUUUCUAGUUGUCUCGAACUGCAGCUAACUACUGUCAGAAAUUUUUUUCUCCGAGCUCUUAAAUGGUCUUGGUUCCAGAAUUUAGUAAAUGAUAUGCUGUAAAAAUUUCAUAAAUUUUGGUCAAGUGAAACUCGAGUUAUGCUUGAAUAACUAACCCACUGUUUGCAAACUGCCACUAAGGUUCACAGGUAGCUCUGAAUGUUCGCUUCUCUGUUGAACAUUACUCUGAAACCUAGCAGAAAAGGGUCGAACAGGGACAGCCAGUGCAGCCAAGAAUCCAUGAACUAAGGUCAAUAUCAAGAAGUAUGUCUGAAGCUAGUAGCAGUGGUUCAGGCUCCAAGUACUUCUUGCCAAAAUUGUGUCCUCCCGGGUUGACUCGUACCCAAAGGAGGAAGUUGCAGAGGUUAAGGCUGCAGGAGAAGAGGGAACAGAAGCUGGAGAAGCGAAGGAAUGAGGCAUUCAACACGAAUAGACCCAUAGUCCCUCAGAAGAAGGAGUGGAGAGUUAAGGCCGAUACCCCCAACUCCACCAGUCAGACUUGCAGAAGGACCGGUCGGACCUAGUGCGGUCGGCAUGGUCGGGGCGGUCACUGGCGCAGUCGGCGUGGUUGAUGACUCGGUCGGCGCGGUCGUCGGCGCAGUCAGACCGGUCGAGGGGUCGGCGAGGAGCGACGGCGGGGCAACAAAGUAACCGUGAGCGUGGCGGGGCGGAGCUUGAGCGGCGGAGGCGGAUGGGAGGGGUGGAGGCGGCGGUGGAUGUGGAGGGGAGGUAGCGGAGGGGGAGGAGGAGGAGGAGGCAGAGGAGGCCGGCGGUGGGCGGAGGAGGUGGAGGAGGGUGAGGAGGAGGAGGAGGCAGAGGGAGGUCAGGGCUGGCGGGGGGAUUUUCUUUUUUUAAGAACAUUCAGCCUUAUUAUCACCUAGCGGAGGCGGAUGGAGUUCCACAACAUGGUGUAUCGGACGGGCAUUUCAUUGAAGUCCCUAGGGGCGUCUAAUGGGUGGCUGUAGUGGGUGUACAUCACGACGAGCGUCUGUAGCCAUUGCGACAGCCUAGAGCACGACAACGAGGCGGAAGACCCCGUCAUGGGUGAAGAUGGCCAGCGUUUUUUUAAAAAAACUUACAGGUGGCCAGUGUGGUGGGCAUGAUUGGGCUUAUCACCAGUGGCGGAGGAGGCGGACGCACGAAGCGAUGGGAAUGGCGCCGAGUUUGGUCGAACCAUCUGGAAACCAGAGUUGCAACGCUUGCACUGGACGGCUGAGAUUUACGAUGCUCGAUAUCUGACGGGCGAAAAAGGGAGAGACUUGGCCCAAUCACUGCAGAGAAACUUCACCGGAAAUCAGGGUAAGCCUAAUAAUUUUGGCAGCUGUGUAUAUUUAGAUGCAUAUAAACAUUUAUAAACCUAAAACAUUAAAAUGACCUGCAAUUAAAAAUGGAGGGGUAAAAAAGAAGGCCCCGACAAACGUGUCAGCACAUUCCUGCCUUUCUCCCCCCAAUGAGUAAACUCCAAUCCAAAAUUUGACUGUAUUUUGUUAACGGUUAUAUUUCAUAAGUUUGAUAACAAUACCCAGCUAGGGCUAAUGAUGAUAUGAAAUUGGCCACAAUUUUUGUUCUUGGGAGGUAUCUGUGAGGUGAGAAAAUGGGCAACAUGUGUGGAAAAUGCUAAUACGCCUACCGUGUGGCAUAUUUUGCGUUGUACCACAUACUUACCAAUACUGAUACAAGAUAUGCUCAAUACCCCUCAAUCCAACUUACCAAUACUGAUACAAGAUAUGCUCAACUUGUGAACUUAACUGAGGUAUAUGCUUUCUAUGUUCGUCCGUUCCAGCAAUUGUCUAAGGCAACGCGAAAUCCAGUUACUGUGGGCUAAUAACAACCUAUCUGUUGGUGUUUCUUGGUGUCUAUGGGUGUGCUUCUGAUUUGCAUGCUUUUUUUGUUUGUUGUGUGAUGAAAUAAGGCACUAUGUACAUCUUUGCUUAUUAUUUCCCACUGAUAUAUGGGUACGGACGUGUAAUCAUUAAUUGUGAUAUUCAUUCAGCUGACGACAGUCAGUUGACAUCACUUGAAAGUAUGCUUGAAUUCGUAAGGUGUCCCGUGCAAGUAGCGUGGCUACAACCGCGGCAAUAUUUUUUUCUGAUCAAAAUCGAUCGUCCUUUUUUGUUGAAAAGAUAAGUAUGAUAUACUUCACGUGGUGUUAGACUUGCAAAUUUUUGAGUGCAAUAUAUGAGUAAGUAUUCAAUACUAACAUUUUUUCUCUAAACAUUAACUACCAACAUAGCUUAUCAGAUAAUGCAGCAUUGUUUAUCCGACAUGCAUAACCACCUAACACUCAGACACUGAGACACACCAUCCAUUACCGUCACUGAAUCUAUGUCAGCGCGCUGAGCCAGGGUUAGGAACCUCCACUAACUCGUUAGAGGCAAACCCAAGAUCUAGACUGCUUCUGCUUAAUUCCCUCACUAGCUUAAUCCACUAUGAAAUGUAAAUGCACAACACUCUUAGCAAUUCGCUCAUAAGAUUCUUGAAUUUGGCAAAUUUUUGGUGCAAUCUUCACUGCGAGAAAAACGACCUUUUGUCCAACAUAUUAGUACCGGCCACAUUUCAACCCGGUACUAAUACCAACAUUAGUAUGGGAUCCAAUUUAGUAGCCACCGGAGACCUUUUAGUACCAGGUCAUAACACCACCCAAUACUAAAAUGUUGAAGAUAGGUUGCCAACGAAAAGUUACUCUUACUGCUCUUUAGCUCUUGCUCUCUUGAAACUAUUAAUCUUCUAAUCUUUUGAACAACUAUCCUUCUAUUUGAAGCAAUCAUCGGCACAAACAUAUAAGCAAACAAAAAAAGUACAAUUAAGAACAAUACACCAAAACAAAAAAAAGCUUUAAAAGAGUAUAAAGGAUAUGGCUCAAUUCUAAGAUCGCGAGGAUGUAAGAAACACUUAAAACCAAACUAAGGUUGAAAAGACAAAGCUAUUGAGAGAUUUGAAUUAUAAAAGAAAAAGAAAAGCCUACAUGCUUCAUAUAUUUUAAUAAAGAAAACAAUGUAAAGAUAUUUUAGACAAACAUCCUUAUCAAGUUAUAUUUAUAUAUGAAAAGAUCAAUGUAGAACUUCGUCAAAUUUUUAUUUAUAAACAUUAAAGUACAAUUUAGGAAAAUUAAACAUUUAAUUUGAAAAUAAAGUAUAGGUAAACAUCUAAGCGCAUAACUUUAUGAUUCAGGUUGAACUAACCAAAUAUAAUUAAAAAAACACAUUUCUAUUUAUAUUUGUCAAAAUAAAAUUUAAUAAAUAAAACUUGAGAUAUAACCUAUGUAGCUUUUAUUUAUAAAACAAAAUCAAGACACAUUAAUCAAGUUGAGUUUAAUUGAUGAAAAGCUGAGGUAUAUCUCUAAUUAGCUUUUAGUUGGAAGAGUUGCUUAAAUAAGCAUUAACCAAAUUUACAUUAGUUAUCAAAAUACGAGGUUGAACUUUAAUUAGAUUUUAAUUAGAAAAGCAAGUAUAUAAAUACUUAAUCAUAUUAAUAUUUUAAAUAAAUUAUAAAAUAGGGAACAUGAUUAACAUUGCUUCUAACACAUUGUGUUAAGUUGAUAUGAAUCUAACGCAAUAAGAACGAGGUUAAACGGAGGUAAAACAUGGAAUCUAUGGAUUAAACAAGGUUCUAAGGAUCUAAAUAGAAUUAACUAUAGAUCUCAGGGGCUAGCAGAGAAGAUUCACAAGACAUGGAAAUGUGCUUCAAAAAGGCUGAAAGAUCAAGGUUAGAUUCAUAAAUGGAGCUUGGGUUGGACUAGGUUGUAGGAACCUCAUCUAACCAGGGGGUUCUAUGUAAGAGCCGCAAGACUCAAGGAACAAGCUAAACCAUUAAGUGGACCUUCGAGGGUCUAGAUGCAAAAAGCUCAGAGCUUUCUUCCUCAUGGCCGACGGUAGCUUGUACAGCCAAAUCACUGGCGCUACGGGCGGCUGGGGUCUCCGGCGGACGGCACAGGAGCUGGAGGAGGUCCAGGGGAUCUAGUGGAGGCUCUUACCGGUGGCGGAGGUGAAGGGGGCCGGCCGAAAUUCGGAGGCGACAAUGACCGCAGCGGUGGCUCGGGCUCCGCGUGGUGGCAACGCUCCGGUGAUGGAGGGGCGUCGAGGGCUGGCGUCAGUUCUUCGUCUUGGCGCAGGGACACUCCAGGUGGCAUCAGCAUGCUCCAGUUCGAACGUUAACCGCGACAAAACAGGCGGCCAACUCCUACGGCACUUCGGCUCUGGCGAUCGACGGCGCACGGCGCUGCGUGAGCAGGCAAGGUGAGGCGCAGGGCGAGGGAGGAAGAAGGGACGACGCGGAGCCUCAAGCUUGCUAUUUAUAGGGGCGUGGGAGGUGUGCCUUGGAGUGGCGCGCACGAUGAGGAAACGACGGCAGUGGCGCAGUCCGCUUGGUGGCUGGGCUUAGAAGGGCCAAGCUGGGCCAACUAGCGGCGGACAGGUCUCAGCGGGCUGACGCGAGUCAAGCCCACAGCCUCGGCCCAAACUGAUAGGAUAGGUUUUUUUAUUAUUUUUAGAAAAUAAUUUCCUGUGGAAGGAAAAUCCAGAUAAAUCAAGAUAAUUCAAUAAAACCUACAAAAAAUACUCUAAAAAUGCCCAAAAAUUUCAGAAAAAAUCCUAGUGGUAGAUUGGGACACGAGGAAUCCAAAUAAAAUACUUGGAGCCCAUGAAAAAGGAAUUAGAGCCUUCUACUAAAUAGAUUUAUUUCUAGGAAAAUGAGAAUAAAUACCAGAAAGAUCUAGAAAAUUCUGAGGAGAAUUUGGUCGUCGUCUAAAUGCAUUUUUGAAACUUUUUCACUCAUAAAAUACUAUAAUGCAUCGGCAGGAAUGCAAAACACGUAGAAACAUUUUAUUUCUUUCAAAAUCAAUCAAUUGUUUUCCUAUACUACAUUUCCUGUCAAAAAAAUAAAUGUUGAAAUUUUUUUAAAAUUAUGAGAAAAUCAUUGUUUAAUUAUUAUUUUUAUUUAAUCACAUCCUAAAAUCUAAAAAUUUCAGGGUGUGAAUAAUCCACCCCUAUAAAUCCAUUUUUAGAGGUGGAUGAAUUGCUACAGUAACACCUAUUUUUUGGUUGGGGGGAUUUCUCAUCCAGCCAAAAAAAAUCAAGUGACACCUAAAAAUCAUUUUUUAGUAGUGAUCGUACACGCGCUUCACUGCCAUGAACGCCGCCAUGCAUACCGAUCAACCAGCCGUCGGCGCCAUAGAUGGUGGCAUUCCGGUUCUUUCCCCAGUGUGGCAGGCCGCCGUACUUGCCCAUUGCCAUCUGCAUCUUGAUCUCGUCCACGACGUCCAAGUUUUGCACUGCACUAUGGACAAAAUAGUGCCCAUUAGGUUUUCCAUGUGAAUUGGCCCAAGGUACAUUCAACUUAUUUUGGCUGGCUUGGUCCCAUAGUUUGAACCCAGAUUUUGGAUCUUUCCGCAUUUAAAUUGGUGCUGCUGCUGCAUUUAUUUGAUAAUGGUUCAAGAUAUGGAACCAUACCACAAAGGUAACUCAUCAUUAAUUUAGAAGGGUGCACAGAUUCAUGUAAUAAAUAAUCUACACCACCUAAGAUGUGUCUCUACCUCUAUAUAAACAAGAGCAAUCAAAGCAAUAUGUGCAUACUGGAACAAAAUAUCUACAGGCAUACCAAUAGUGUUCCUUUUCAUACGGCAGUGAUCAAGAGCAACGCAGUGAGGUCUAUGUGUGCUGCACUUUGCAUUCUUUUGAUAAUGUCUUCAGCCCUCUCAGAGCUGGUGGAAGUUGUGUAUCUAACUGCUUUUCUACUUCCCAUGGUUUCAUUAUAUUCGUGGGGUUUACUAGGUGCGAUGUGGAUUUCAUGCACAUGAUCACGCUGAGUGUGACCCUAUGGACUGAUGCACUGAUCCGAAAUGCGAGGAUGAAUGUCAGAACAAAAAUAUUGACCUACCUAUUGAACCUGAGUGCACCACACCUAAGGAGUGUUGCUGCACAUUUUAUCGGGAGGAAGAUAAUUCACUUCUUUGAAUAGAUUAAAAUGGUUGCCGAUGGCUAGAUUAAUUUCAUGGAUGCAGCCGAUACCAGAAUACUACGCUUGCAUGUAAUGCAUCCAUAAUAUGUUUCUACCCAAAUCUAAUAAAAUAAAUGUGUCCCAUUUGUCCUCUUUUCCUCUAGUGUUUUUUUACUCCCAAAUUCCAUGCUAAUAAAUGCUGUAUACAUGAUUUUAUUUUAAAAGCAUUUCUGAAUACAUUUAAUUUGAUAAGUUCAAACACCGAGUGAGUCUUCUAUCUAUUGUAGGCUUAUGUUUAGUGAAGUGUGCCGGGCCUACUACUUCGGUGUUGGGCUGAGCCCACAUGAGAGCAGCUCCAGCGUUGCUCUUUUGAGGGUGCUCCAAGGAGAGAGAAAAAUAUUCUCCGGCAGCUUCACGCUGGAUCAGAGGGUGCUAGGGAGGUGCUAGGGAGCAGCUGAUGAUGAGUUUUGCACCAGGCGCUACGCAUUCAAUAUAUUUUCUGAAGUAACGUGGUUGGAUGGAUAGUUGAGAUAGUGGGAAACAAAUGCAGAUGCGCUAAUGACCAUCAAUCCGAGGACUCCGCCACCCAUGCACUUAGGUAAAAAAAUUCCUCAACCACUUUCACCAAGCACUGAGAUGCCACUGCAACCGAAACAUAUGCCGUAGACUUUUGGAGCAUAGCCCAUGUACGAAGCUAGUGGAUAACUGUAAAGAUAACCUGCAUUGGAUGAGAUAAGGGUUUGUUUUCAAAUACCAUAGCAUUCUUGCAGAGCAACAAUAACAACAUAGUAGCAAUCACCCCAAGUAAAUAAUGCCCGUCAACCAAGUGCCAAAAAUAUUUUCUAGGCUAAGGGGCUUGAGAAAGACUUCAGGUGCAAACAUAUCCGUAUUAUCCUCACUGAAUGGUCAUAAGUGUUUCCCUUCGGUUGCCGACACAAGACAUCCGACGGGGAAGGGUGACUAACGCCACUACCUGGUAAACUAAGUAUGCUGGAACUUGUCCACUAAGGUUAUAGUCUAGCUAACUCAGCAUGGGUGCCCAUAUUUCUUAAUUAUGUUUCCGUUGGUUGAUAACAUACCCAUCGGCAUCCUAUCGUCAUGACUUAAUGAAUCCCAAUAUCUUCUAGACUAACGUUUACUUACAUGAGUAGGGUGUGUAUGCAUUUGUGGUUAACAGGUAUUUACUUUAAGGUCGGCUGGGCCGGCUUUCUCGAUGUGUCUAAUUAUGCUUAAGAAAAAGAACCACUAGUGGAAAACUCAGUUUUAGUCCCGGUUGCAGACACGCAUAGAUCUCAAAAAUCCAACCGGAACUAAUCAUUCAGACUGUAAUAAUAAAAUUUGUUUGAAAUCAAAUGCAUUGCAUUUAAAUUUUCAUGGGCAUUUAAACCUUUUUCAAAAUAAAUUAAUGAAUCAUAGGAGUUCGUUGUUGCAUUCACGAUGGUGCAUUAUUUUUGGUUGCUUGAAUUCAAAUUUGUGUUUGAAUUCAUUUGUUUGACUCUUUUAAACAAAUAGGAAACCCUUUUCUUUUCUUCCUUUCAGCCUAUUUCUUUCUUUGGGCCCACUUCCUUCUCUUUCGCCCAGCAGCAAAACUGAAUAUGCACUUUGAAGAUAAACAUGCGAACCAUCAAAGGGCAGCAGACAACUUAAAUACGCGACGGAGCAUUGUAAAUGGCAGAGUAGCCUUGCUGCCACGAUCCACUGAGAUCCAGCCCCACAUCGCACGAAUUCCUCCCUCCCCCCUCCACCCCCGACAACGGCUUCAGGCUCGGACCCGCUACGACGACCAAGGACAAAUGCGCUCAAGGCUUGGGAAGAAAUUAACUUCCAUUGUCGGAACACUUGUUAAGGAUUACAAGAGACCAUAUCGCAAGUUUAUCUUCUUAGGUAUGGUCCACAAUGGAAGAGAGACCUCCUAACUUGACCAAGCCGAUGUACACACUACCAUUUGGCACCAAUCAGGCCAAGUCAGAUAGGUGCCAGUGGAGUUCCAUAUUCCACUACGUCCGCCAUGUAACUCAUAAUCGACCACCAGGGAGGGACAUGUGUGGGAUGGAUCGAAGACAAGACAAUGGCCAACACACGCGUGGACAUACCGGCCACAGGGUACGAUUACGUGUUUGUUGGACCCAACACAUGAAAAUAGCUGCGUUGGCCAUGAAAAUGUUUCCUAUAGGUCACACCUAGUGGCAUCAAAACCAUUUAGUGCCACUAACUGGUUGUGAUGAUUGAUGUCACAAACGGUUCUUUGUGCGUAGCCAGUUUAUAGCUGUAAUUCCAUCGAACCUGUUCUAGUACCUUGAACAACUGGUUCUUGAUGAGUAGCCAGGAGUGACGUUCCAUUUGUAACUAUUUAUUCUCUAUUAGUCUAAUGUUGUCAUAAAUGAUUUGCGUUGUCAGUUUAUAUAUGCACUUUGGCAGCCUGGAUGUAUGUCUUUUGAAGUAUGUGUAACUUUCUCUAGAAUUGAGGAACUUUAAUUGACUAAGUGGUCUUGGAUUUACAGCAUCAACCACUAUAAUUAGCCAUUGCUCCAAUGGCCCAUUUUUUCCGUUAAUGCUAUAUGAUCCGACACCAAUAUGUGUACAGACAUAAGAGCAUCUGACGAGUAUCAUUUUACGGUGAAGACAUUGGAUCCCCACUCGCAGUAACACAUUGCAAAUGCGAAAAGCAGGACCGGGUCUCCCCCUGCAAUAAAUGCCAUUUUAACUGGUCCUAUAAACUGUUUUCUAGUGGUGUGAUGUAGUCUGUUGGAAUCAGCACCGUGGAACCAUCUGACAUUCAUACAUUAGCUUCACCAAACAAAUAUUCUUCUGUGCAUUAAAGCUUCAUACUUCAACAUGUACAAGUUCUCUAUGUAGGAUAUUUCAGCUAGAAGAUCUUCCCUUUCUUGAACUAGCCAUUUGAGCAUUAUUCAUUCUCAGGCCCAUGGUUCCAACGGCUUGCACGUUCUUGGAAUGUGUUAUCAUGGAAUGCUAGGGGUAUCGAUUCGUAGACAAGAUGGAAUGUCGUCAAGAGCAAAAUAUCUGAAUCCAACUGUGAUAUUGCCUGUUUACAAGACACCAAAAAGGAGUUUUUUGAUGCUAGAUAUAUUAGGAAUUUCUAUCCCCCACAGUUAGAUUCUUUCGAUUUCAUCCCAUCUAUUGGCAACUCAGGGGGAACUAUUAUAGUGUGGAAUGGUUCCAAAUUCAAGGGGGAACCUAUCUUUCAAAAUCUUUAUGCCCACUUUGUAGAUUUUCAGUGCAAGCUAUCAGGGGAACGUUGGAUCCUCACGAAUAUCUACGCCCCAUGUACUCCGGAGGGGAAGCUAUCCUUUAUUGACUGGUUCAAAAGGGUUGAAAUACCAGAGGAAAAAAAUUGGCUAAUAGUUGGGGACUUCAACCUUCUUAGGAAGCCGGAUGACAGAAACAAUCAGGGGGAAACAAUCCGGGAGGAAAUGUUCAGGAAAUGCUUCUCUUCAAUGAAGCUAUUAGCAGGCUUAGGCUCAUAGAAAUUCAGCUCAAAGGAUGCAAGUACACUUGGUCCAACAAACAGCAGAAUCCUCUUCUGGAGAGGCACGAUUGGUUCUUCAUAUCUAACCCUUGGACCAUCUCCUAUCCCAAUACUUAUGCCUCAUCACUGUCCAGUGACUCCUCAUAUCAUGUUCCUUGUGUAGUCUCGAUCUCUAAUACCAUUCCAAGGCCACAAGUUUUUAGAUUUGAGAAUUAUUGGCUAGAACAUGAUCGGUUCCCAACCAUUCUCCAACAAGGUUGGGCAACUCCACUUCUAGGCACAGAUAGGGCAAAGAAUAUCGGGGCCAAGUUCAAAAACCUGAGGAAGGUUUUCAGGAUCUAGAAAGCAUAGCUCCCCAGUCUGGCGAAAGCAAUCCAGAGCACCAAAGACACCAUUCAACUCCUUGACAUCAUUGAAGAACUUAGAGAUCUUACCCUGCAAGAACGGAACUUUAGAGAAGUCAUCACAUCACAUCUGAAUAGCUUGCUCCACCAACAAAAAGUCUAUUGGUAGCAAAGAAGCUCCAUCAAUUGGGUCAAAAUGGGGGAUGAAUGUACAAAAUUCUGCCAUGCAAGGGCCUCAGUCAGAAAUAGAAUCAAUUAUAUCACUUCUUUAGUUGAUGCCAAUGGACAAAUUGUCUCUAAACAUGAAGCUAAAGCCAGGAUUCUUUGGGAAGCUUAUAAGGAAAGGAUGGGGAGAUUUGAAUUUACUCACAUGUACUUUGAUCUUUCUACUAUCUUGACAUCAGAUCCAAAUUUGGAAUGGCUAGAAUCUCUCUUUAUGAAAGCAGAGAUCGACACAAUUACAGGGGAACUUCCAAGUAACAAGUCCCAAGGCCCAGAUGGCUUGAAUGGAGAGUUUCUCAAGAGAUGGUGGGACUUGAUAGCUGAAGAUUUUUAUAGACUGUCUGAAGGUUUUCAUGACAUAAGUGUGUGUGUUCAGAGCAUGAAUGCUUCAUACAUCACACGAAUCUCCCUCCUAAACUCAACCAUCAAGCUAAUAACUAAAAUUCUAGCAGAAAGGCUACAACAGGUAAUCUUAAGACUAGUGCAUAAAAAUCAGUAUGGUUUCAUAAAGUCUAGAUCCAUACAAGACUGUUUAGCAUGGGCUUUUGAAUAUCUUCACAUUUGUAAAGCCUCAAAGAGAGAAUUAAUCAUCAGCAAGCUGGACUUUGAAAAAAGCCUUUGAUAGGAUUGAGCACCAAGCCAUUUUGGAUAUCUUAAAACAUAAGUGCUUUGGGACAGAUGGAUUGGGUGGAUAAAGGACAUUCUCAACACUAGAACAUCUUCAAUACUCCUCAAUGGUGUGCCAGGGAAAGUCUUUCAUUGCAGAAGAGGUGUCAGACAGGGGGAUCCUCUAUCCGCACUUCUAUUUGUUCUAGCAGCGGACCUUUUUCAGUCAAUCCUAAAUAAAGCCAAAGAGGAAGGAAGCUUACACCUACCGAUCCCUGAAAGAGCUGGACCUGACUUCCCAGUUAUACAAUAUGCAGAUGACACCCUUCUGGUCAUGGAAGCAGAUCCUUCCCAGUUGUUGCAUCUCAAGCAUCUGCUUAAUCGGUUUGCGGAGUCAACUGGUCUUAAAGUAAACUACAACAAGACUGUUAUGGUACCUCUGAACACUUCUGAGGAUAAACUCCGACAACUUUCGUCAAUGUUCGAUUGCCAAGUCGGAAGCUUGCCACUCACCUACUUGGGGCUACCACUUGGUGCAACAAAGCCUAACAUUGAGGAAUUCCUUCCAUUAAUACAGAAGGUGGAGCGAAGAUUGGGAGGCAUCUCUAACAUGUUAUCUCAAGGGGGCAAACUCGAACAGGUAAAUUCAGUCUUUUCUUCCUCACCAAUGUUUCAUAUGGCAACCUUAAAGCUUCACAAGGGGGUUAUCACACAAUUAGAUAAUUUUGGCAGCUGUGUAUAUUUAGAUGCAUAUAAACAUUUAUAAACCUAAAACAUUAAAAUGACCUGCAAUUAAAAAUGGAGGGGUAAAAAAGAAGGCCCCGACAAACGUGUCAGCACAUUCCUGCCUUUCUCCCCCCAAUGAGUAAACUCCAAUCCAAAAUUUGACUGUAUUUUGUUAACGGUUAUAUUUCAUAAGUUUGAUAACAAUACCCAGCUAGGGCUAAUGAUGAUAUGAAAUUGGCCACAAUUUUUGUUCUUGGGAGGUAUCUGUGAGGUGAGAAAAUGGGCAACAUGUGUGGAAAAUGCUAAUACGCCUACCGUGUGGCAUAUUUUGCGUUGUACCACAUACUUACCAAUACUGAUACAAGAUAUGCUCAAUACCCCUCAAUCCAACUUACCAAUACUGAUACAAGAUAUGCUCAACUUGUGAACUUAACUGAGGUAUAUGCUUUCUAUGUUCGUCCGUUCCAGCAAUUGUCUAAGGCAACGCGAAAUCCAGUUACUGUGGGCUAAUAACAACCUAUCUGUUGGUGUUUCUUGGUGUCUAUGGGUGUGCUUCUGAUUUGCAUGCUUUUUUUGUUUGUUGUGUGAUGAAAUAAGGCACUAUGUACAUCUUUGCUUAUUAUUUCCCACUGAUAUAUGGGUACGGACGUGUAAUCAUUAAUUGUGAUAUUCAUUCAGCUGACGACAGUCAGUUGACAUCACUUGAAAGUAUGCUUGAAUUCGUAAGGUGUCCCGUGCAAGUAGCGUGGCUACAACCGCGGCAAUAUUUUUUUCUGAUCAAAAUCGAUCGUCCUUUUUUGUUGAAAAGAUAAGUAUGAUAUACUUCACGUGGUGUUAGACUUGCAAAUUUUUGAGUGCAAUAUAUGAGUAAGUAUUCAAUACUAACAUUUUUUCUCUAAACAUUAACUACCAACAUAGCUUAUCAGAUAAUGCAGCAUUGUUUAUCCGACAUGCAUAACCACCUAACACUCAGACACUGAGACACACCAUCCAUUACCGUCACUGAAUCUAUGUCAGCGCGCUGAGCCAGGGUUAGGAACCUCCACUAACUCGUUAGAGGCAAACCCAAGAUCUAGACUGCUUCUGCUUAAUUCCCUCACUAGCUUAAUCCACUAUGAAAUGUAAAUGCACAACACUCUUAGCAAUUCGCUCAUAAGAUUCUUGAAUUUGGCAAAUUUUUGGUGCAAUCUUCACUGCGAGAAAAACGACCUUUUGUCCAACAUAUUAGUACCGGCCACAUUUCAACCCGGUACUAAUACCAACAUUAGUAUGGGAUCCAAUUUAGUAGCCACCGGAGACCUUUUAGUACCAGGUCAUAACACCACCCAAUACUAAAAUGUUGAAGAUAGGUUGCCAACGAAAAGUUACUCUUACUGCUCUUUAGCUCUUGCUCUCUUGAAACUAUUAAUCUUCUAAUCUUUUGAACAACUAUCCUUCUAUUUGAAGCAAUCAUCGGCACAAACAUAUAAGCAAACAAAAAAAGUACAAUUAAGAACAAUACACCAAAACAAAAAAAAGCUUUAAAAGAGUAUAAAGGAUAUGGCUCAAUUCUAAGAUCGCGAGGAUGUAAGAAACACUUAAAACCAAACUAAGGUUGAAAAGACAAAGCUAUUGAGAGAUUUGAAUUAUAAAAGAAAAAGAAAAGCCUACAUGCUUCAUAUAUUUUAAUAAAGAAAACAAUGUAAAGAUAUUUUAGACAAACAUCCUUAUCAAGUUAUAUUUAUAUAUGAAAAGAUCAAUGUAGAACUUCGUCAAAUUUUUAUUUAUAAACAUUAAAGUACAAUUUAGGAAAAUUAAACAUUUAAUUUGAAAAUAAAGUAUAGGUAAACAUCUAAGCGCAUAACUUUAUGAUUCAGGUUGAACUAACCAAAUAUAAUUAAAAAAACACAUUUCUAUUUAUAUUUGUCAAAAUAAAAUUUAAUAAAUAAAACUUGAGAUAUAACCUAUGUAGCUUUUAUUUAUAAAACAAAAUCAAGACACAUUAAUCAAGUUGAGUUUAAUUGAUGAAAAGCUGAGGUAUAUCUCUAAUUAGCUUUUAGUUGGAAGAGUUGCUUAAAUAAGCAUUAACCAAAUUUACAUUAGUUAUCAAAAUACGAGGUUGAACUUUAAUUAGAUUUUAAUUAGAAAAGCAAGUAUAUAAAUACUUAAUCAUAUUAAUAUUUUAAAUAAAUUAUAAAAUAGGGAACAUGAUUAACAUUGCUUCUAACACAUUGUGUUAAGUUGAUAUGAAUCUAACGCAAUAAGAACGAGGUUAAACGGAGGUAAAACAUGGAAUCUAUGGAUUAAACAAGGUUCUAAGGAUCUAAAUAGAAUUAACUAUAGAUCUCAGGGGCUAGCAGAGAAGAUUCACAAGACAUGGAAAUGUGCUUCAAAAAGGCUGAAAGAUCAAGGUUAGAUUCAUAAAUGGAGCUUGGGUUGGACUAGGUUGUAGGAACCUCAUCUAACCAGGGGGUUCUAUGUAAGAGCCGCAAGACUCAAGGAACAAGCUAAACCAUUAAGUGGACCUUCGAGGGUCUAGAUGCAAAAAGCUCAGAGCUUUCUUCCUCAUGGCCGACGGUAGCUUGUACAGCCAAAUCACUGGCGCUACGGGCGGCUGGGGUCUCCGGCGGACGGCACAGGAGCUGGAGGAGGUCCAGGGGAUCUAGUGGAGGCUCUUACCGGUGGCGGAGGUGAAGGGGGCCGGCCGAAAUUCGGAGGCGACAAUGACCGCAGCGGUGGCUCGGGCUCCGCGUGGUGGCAACGCUCCGGUGAUGGAGGGGCGUCGAGGGCUGGCGUCAGUUCUUCGUCUUGGCGCAGGGACACUCCAGGUGGCAUCAGCAUGCUCCAGUUCGAACGUUAACCGCGACAAAACAGGCGGCCAACUCCUACGGCACUUCGGCUCUGGCGAUCGACGGCGCACGGCGCUGCGUGAGCAGGCAAGGUGAGGCGCAGGGCGAGGGAGGAAGAAGGGACGACGCGGAGCCUCAAGCUUGCUAUUUAUAGGGGCGUGGGAGGUGUGCCUUGGAGUGGCGCGCACGAUGAGGAAACGACGGCAGUGGCGCAGUCCGCUUGGUGGCUGGGCUUAGAAGGGCCAAGCUGGGCCAACUAGCGGCGGACAGGUCUCAGCGGGCUGACGCGAGUCAAGCCCACAGCCUCGGCCCAAACUGAUAGGAUAGGUUUUUUUAUUAUUUUUAGAAAAUAAUUUCCUGUGGAAGGAAAAUCCAGAUAAAUCAAGAUAAUUCAAUAAAACCUACAAAAAAUACUCUAAAAAUGCCCAAAAAUUUCAGAAAAAAUCCUAGUGGUAGAUUGGGACACGAGGAAUCCAAAUAAAAUACUUGGAGCCCAUGAAAAAGGAAUUAGAGCCUUCUACUAAAUAGAUUUAUUUCUAGGAAAAUGAGAAUAAAUACCAGAAAGAUCUAGAAAAUUCUGAGGAGAAUUUGGUCGUCGUCUAAAUGCAUUUUUGAAACUUUUUCACUCAUAAAAUACUAUAAUGCAUCGGCAGGAAUGCAAAACACGUAGAAACAUUUUAUUUCUUUCAAAAUCAAUCAAUUGUUUUCCUAUACUACAUUUCCUGUCAAAAAAAUAAAUGUUGAAAUUUUUUUAAAAUUAUGAGAAAAUCAUUGUUUAAUUAUUAUUUUUAUUUAAUCACAUCCUAAAAUCUAAAAAUUUCAGGGUGUGAAUAAUCCACCCCUAUAAAUCCAUUUUUAGAGGUGGAUGAAUUGCUACAGUAACACCUAUUUUUUGGUUGGGGGGAUUUCUCAUCCAGCCAAAAAAAAUCAAGUGACACCUAAAAAUCAUUUUUUAGUAGUGAUCGUACACGCGCUUCACUGCCAUGAACGCCGCCAUGCAUACCGAUCAACCAGCCGUCGGCGCCAUAGAUGGUGGCAUUCCGGUUCUUUCCCCAGUGUGGCAGGCCGCCGUACUUGCCCAUUGCCAUCUGCAUCUUGAUCUCGUCCACGACGUCCAAGUUUUGCACUGCACUAUGGACAAAAUAGUGCCCAUUAGGUUUUCCAUGUGAAUUGGCCCAAGGUACAUUCAACUUAUUUUGGCUGGCUUGGUCCCAUAGUUUGAACCCAGAUUUUGGAUCUUUCCGCAUUUAAAUUGGUGCUGCUGCUGCAUUUAUUUGAUAAUGGUUCAAGAUAUGGAACCAUACCACAAAGGUAACUCAUCAUUAAUUUAGAAGGGUGCACAGAUUCAUGUAAUAAAUAAUCUACACCACCUAAGAUGUGUCUCUACCUCUAUAUAAACAAGAGCAAUCAAAGCAAUAUGUGCAUACUGGAACAAAAUAUCUACAGGCAUACCAAUAGUGUUCCUUUUCAUACGGCAGUGAUCAAGAGCAACGCAGUGAGGUCUAUGUGUGCUGCACUUUGCAUUCUUUUGAUAAUGUCUUCAGCCCUCUCAGAGCUGGUGGAAGUUGUGUAUCUAACUGCUUUUCUACUUCCCAUGGUUUCAUUAUAUUCGUGGGGUUUACUAGGUGCGAUGUGGAUUUCAUGCACAUGAUCACGCUGAGUGUGACCCUAUGGACUGAUGCACUGAUCCGAAAUGCGAGGAUGAAUGUCAGAACAAAAAUAUUGACCUACCUAUUGAACCUGAGUGCACCACACCUAAGGAGUGUUGCUGCACAUUUUAUCGGGAGGAAGAUAAUUCACUUCUUUGAAUAGAUUAAAAUGGUUGCCGAUGGCUAGAUUAAUUUCAUGGAUGCAGCCGAUACCAGAAUACUACGCUUGCAUGUAAUGCAUCCAUAAUAUGUUUCUACCCAAAUCUAAUAAAAUAAAUGUGUCCCAUUUGUCCUCUUUUCCUCUAGUGUUUUUUUACUCCCAAAUUCCAUGCUAAUAAAUGCUGUAUACAUGAUUUUAUUUUAAAAGCAUUUCUGAAUACAUUUAAUUUGAUAAGUUCAAACACCGAGUGAGUCUUCUAUCUAUUGUAGGCUUAUGUUUAGUGAAGUGUGCCGGGCCUACUACUUCGGUGUUGGGCUGAGCCCACAUGAGAGCAGCUCCAGCGUUGCUCUUUUGAGGGUGCUCCAAGGAGAGAGAAAAAUAUUCUCCGGCAGCUUCACGCUGGAUCAGAGGGUGCUAGGGAGGUGCUAGGGAGCAGCUGAUGAUGAGUUUUGCACCAGGCGCUACGCAUUCAAUAUAUUUUCUGAAGUAACGUGGUUGGAUGGAUAGUUGAGAUAGUGGGAAACAAAUGCAGAUGCGCUAAUGACCAUCAAUCCGAGGACUCCGCCACCCAUGCACUUAGGUAAAAAAAUUCCUCAACCACUUUCACCAAGCACUGAGAUGCCACUGCAACCGAAACAUAUGCCGUAGACUUUUGGAGCAUAGCCCAUGUACGAAGCUAGUGGAUAACUGUAAAGAUAACCUGCAUUGGAUGAGAUAAGGGUUUGUUUUCAAAUACCAUAGCAUUCUUGCAGAGCAACAAUAACAACAUAGUAGCAAUCACCCCAAGUAAAUAAUGCCCGUCAACCAAGUGCCAAAAAUAUUUUCUAGGCUAAGGGGCUUGAGAAAGACUUCAGGUGCAAACAUAUCCGUAUUAUCCUCACUGAAUGGUCAUAAGUGUUUCCCUUCGGUUGCCGACACAAGACAUCCGACGGGGAAGGGUGACUAACGCCACUACCUGGUAAACUAAGUAUGCUGGAACUUGUCCACUAAGGUUAUAGUCUAGCUAACUCAGCAUGGGUGCCCAUAUUUCUUAAUUAUGUUUCCGUUGGUUGAUAACAUACCCAUCGGCAUCCUAUCGUCAUGACUUAAUGAAUCCCAAUAUCUUCUAGACUAACGUUUACUUACAUGAGUAGGGUGUGUAUGCAUUUGUGGUUAACAGGUAUUUACUUUAAGGUCGGCUGGGCCGGCUUUCUCGAUGUGUCUAAUUAUGCUUAAGAAAAAGAACCACUAGUGGAAAACUCAGUUUUAGUCCCGGUUGCAGACACGCAUAGAUCUCAAAAAUCCAACCGGAACUAAUCAUUCAGACUGUAAUAAUAAAAUUUGUUUGAAAUCAAAUGCAUUGCAUUUAAAUUUUCAUGGGCAUUUAAACCUUUUUCAAAAUAAAUUAAUGAAUCAUAGGAGUUCGUUGUUGCAUUCACGAUGGUGCAUUAUUUUUGGUUGCUUGAAUUCAAAUUUGUGUUUGAAUUCAUUUGUUUGACUCUUUUAAACAAAUAGGAAACCCUUUUCUUUUCUUCCUUUCAGCCUAUUUCUUUCUUUGGGCCCACUUCCUUCUCUUUCGCCCAGCAGCAAAACUGAAUAUGCACUUUGAAGAUAAACAUGCGAACCAUCAAAGGGCAGCAGACAACUUAAAUACGCGACGGAGCAUUGUAAAUGGCAGAGUAGCCUUGCUGCCACGAUCCACUGAGAUCCAGCCCCACAUCGCACGAAUUCCUCCCUCCCCCCUCCACCCCCGACAACGGCUUCAGGCUCGGACCCGCUACGACGACCAAGGACAAAUGCGCUCAAGGCUUGGGAAGAAAUUAACUUCCAUUGUCGGAACACUUGUUAAGGAUUACAAGAGACCAUAUCGCAAGUUUAUCUUCUUAGGUAUGGUCCACAAUGGAAGAGAGACCUCCUAACUUGACCAAGCCGAUGUACACACUACCAUUUGGCACCAAUCAGGCCAAGUCAGAUAGGUGCCAGUGGAGUUCCAUAUUCCACUACGUCCGCCAUGUAACUCAUAAUCGACCACCAGGGAGGGACAUGUGUGGGAUGGAUCGAAGACAAGACAAUGGCCAACACACGCGUGGACAUACCGGCCACAGGGUACGAUUACGUGUUUGUUGGACCCAACACAUGAAAAUAGCUGCGUUGGCCAUGAAAAUGUUUCCUAUAGGUCACACCUAGUGGCAUCAAAACCAUUUAGUGCCACUAACUGGUUGUGAUGAUUGAUGUCACAAACGGUUCUUUGUGCGUAGCCAGUUUAUAGCUGUAAUUCCAUCGAACCUGUUCUAGUACCUUGAACAACUGGUUCUUGAUGAGUAGCCAGGAGUGACGUUCCAUUUGUAACUAUUUAUUCUCUAUUAGUCUAAUGUUGUCAUAAAUGAUUUGCGUUGUCAGUUUAUAUAUGCACUUUGGCAGCCUGGAUGUAUGUCUUUUGAAGUAUGUGUAACUUUCUCUAGAAUUGAGGAACUUUAAUUGACUAAGUGGUCUUGGAUUUACAGCAUCAACCACUAUAAUUAGCCAUUGCUCCAAUGGCCCAUUUUUUCCGUUAAUGCUAUAUGAUCCGACACCAAUAUGUGUACAGACAUAAGAGCAUCUGACGAGUAUCAUUUUACGGUGAAGACAUUGGAUCCCCACUCGCAGUAACACAUUGCAAAUGCGAAAAGCAGGACCGGGUCUCCCCCUGCAAUAAAUGCCAUUUUAACUGGUCCUAUAAACUGUUUUCUAGUGGUGUGAUGUAGUCUGUUGGAAUCAGCACCGUGGAACCAUCUGACAUUCAUACAUUAGCUUCACCAAACAAAUAUUCUUCUGUGCAUUAAAGCUUCAUACUUCAACAUGUACAAGUUCUCUAUGUAGGAUAUUUCAGCUAGAAGAUCUUCCCUUUCUUGAACUAGCCAUUUGAGCAUUAUUCAUUCUCAGGCCCAUGGUUCCAACGGCUUGCACGUUCUUGGAAUGUGUUAUCAUGGAAUGCUAGGGGUAUCGAUUCGUAGACAAGAUGGAAUGUCGUCAAGAGCAAAAUAUCUGAAUCCAACUGUGAUAUUGCCUGUUUACAAGACACCAAAAAGAAGUUUUUUGAUGCUAGAUAUAUUAGGAAUUUCUAUCCCCCACAGUUAGAUUCUUUCGAUUUCAUCCCAUCUAUUGGCAACUCAGGGGGAACUAUUAUAGUGUGGAAUGGUUCCAAAUUCAAGGGGGAACCUAUCUUUCAAAAUCUUUAUGCCCACUUUGUAGAUUUUCAGUGCAAGCUAUCAGGGGAACGUUGGAUCCUCACGAAUAUCUACGCCCCAUGUACUCCGGAGGGGAAGCUAUCCUUUAUUGACUGGUUCAAAAGGGUUGAAAUACCAGAGGAAAAAAAUUGGCUAAUAGUUGGGGACUUCAACCUUCUUAGGAAGCCGGAUGACAGAAACAAUCAGGGGGAAACAAUCCGGGAGGAAAUGUUCAGGAAAUGCUUCUCUUCAAUGAAGCUAUUAGCAGGCUUAGGCUCAUAGAAAUUCAGCUCAAAGGAUGCAAGUACACUUGGUCCAACAAACAGCAGAAUCCUCUUCUGGAGAGGCACGAUUGGUUCUUCAUAUCUAACCCUUGGACCAUCUCCUAUCCCAAUACUUAUGCCUCAUCACUGUCCAGUGACUCCUCAUAUCAUGUUCCUUGUGUAGUCUCGAUCUCUAAUACCAUUCCAAGGCCACAAGUUUUUAGAUUUGAGAAUUAUUGGCUAGAACAUGAUCGGUUCCCAACCAUUCUCCAACAAGGUUGGGCAACUCCACUUCUAGGCACAGAUAGGGCAAAGAAUAUCGGGGCCAAGUUCAAAAACCUGAGGAAGGUUUUCAGGAUCUAGAAAGCAUAGCUCCCCAGUCUGGCGAAAGCAAUCCAGAGCACCAAAGACACCAUUCAACUCCUUGACAUCAUUGAAGAACUUAGAGAUCUUACCCUGCAAGAACGGAACUUUAGAGAAGUCAUCACAUCACAUCUGAAUAGCUUGCUCCACCAACAAAAAGUCUAUUGGUAGCAAAGAAGCUCCAUCAAUUGGGUCAAAAUGGGGGAUGAAUGUACAAAAUUCUGCCAUGCAAGGGCCUCAGUCAGAAAUAGAAUCAAUUAUAUCACUUCUUUAGUUGAUGCCAAUGGACAAAUUGUCUCUAAACAUGAAGCUAAAGCCAGGAUUCUUUGGGAAGCUUAUAAGGAAAGGAUGGGGAGAUUUGAAUUUACUCACAUGUACUUUGAUCUUUCUACUAUCUUGACAUCAGAUCCAAAUUUGGAAUGGCUAGAAUCUCUCUUUAUGAAAGCAGAGAUCGACACAAUUACAGGGGAACUUCCAAGUAACAAGUCCCAAGGCCCAGAUGGCUUGAAUGGAGAGUUUCUCAAGAGAUGGUGGGACUUGAUAGCUGAAGAUUUUUAUAGACUGUCUGAAGGUUUUCAUGACAUAAGUGUGUGUGUUCAGAGCAUGAAUGCUUCAUACAUCACACGAAUCUCCCUCCUAAACUCAACCAUCAAGCUAAUAACUAAAAUUCUAGCAGAAAGGCUACAACAGGUAAUCUUAAGACUAGUGCAUAAAAAUCAGUAUGGUUUCAUAAAGUCUAGAUCCAUACAAGACUGUUUAGCAUGGGCUUUUGAAUAUCUUCACAUUUGUAAAGCCUCAAAGAGAGAAUUAAUCAUCAGCAAGCUGGACUUUGAAAAAAGCCUUUGAUAGGAUUGAGCACCAAGCCAUUUUGGAUAUCUUAAAACAUAAGUGCUUUGGGACAGAUGGAUUGGGUGGAUAAAGGACAUUCUCAACACUAGAACAUCUUCAAUACUCCUCAAUGGUGUGCCAGGGAAAGUCUUUCAUUGCAGAAGAGGUGUCAGACAGGGGGAUCCUCUAUCCGCACUUCUAUUUGUUCUAGCAGCGGACCUUUUUCAGUCAAUCCUAAAUAAAGCCAAAGAGGAAGGAAGCUUACACCUACCGAUCCCUGAAAGAGCUGGACCUGACUUCCCAGUUAUACAAUAUGCAGAUGACACCCUUCUGGUCAUGGAAGCAGAUCCUUCCCAGUUGUUGCAUCUCAAGCAUCUGCUUAAUCGGUUUGCGGAGUCAACUGGUCUUAAAGUAAACUACAACAAGACUGUUAUGGUACCUCUGAACACUUCUGAGGAUAAACUCCGACAACUUUCGUCAAUGUUCGAUUGCCAAGUCGGAAGCUUGCCACUCACCUACUUGGGGCUACCACUUGGUGCAACAAAGCCUAACAUUGAGGAAUUCCUUCCAUUAAUACAGAAGGUGGAGCGAAGAUUGGGAGGCAUCUCUAACAUGUUAUCUCAAGGGGGCAAACUCGAACAGGUAAAUUCAGUCUUUUCUUCCUCACCAAUGUUUCAUAUGGCAACCUUAAAGCUUCACAAGGGGGUUAUCACACAAUUAGAUAAAUAUAGGAAACACUAUCUCUGCAGAGGAUCUAAUUUGAAUUCUAGGAAACCCUCCAAGGCAGCUUGGCCUAUGGUGUGCCUACCAAAACAGCAAGGAGGACUUGGGGUUAUUAACCUGAACAGUCAAAAUGAUGCCCUUCUUCUCAAGUUCCUACACAAGUUCUUCACCAGAGCUGAUACUCCCUGGGUUCAUUUAUUCUAGGAUAACUAUUAUUCUAAUGGGAAACUGCCUGGACAGCACAAAAAGGGCUCAUUCUGGUGGAGAGAUGUAGUCAAGCUACUGGACAAAUACAAAGGAAUAGUGUCGGCAUGGGUAUCGGAUGGCUCUACUGUAUUGUUCUGCAUGGACACAUGGAUUGAGCAGGUCCUCUACCUGGAAUUCCCCCAGUUAUUCUCUUAUGCCAAAAACAAACUGGUAUCAUAUAAGGAGGCUACAAGCAGAAUAUCACUGUCUCAAAAUUUUCACCCACCACUCUCAGAAGAAGCUCAUCAGCAGUUGCUGAUUCUGCAGAAUAGAUUGAGGAAUACUGUGAGAGCUCAAGGCAGAGAUAAGUGGACUUACAUUUGGGGAAGGCCCCCGCUUUUCGGUAGCAAAAACUUAUAAAGUCAUAACGGGCACAAGAACCAUACAUCCAAUUCAUAGAUGGAUAUGGAAAUCUAAAUGCCAAAAGAAGCACAAGAUAUUUUUCUAGCUAUUAAUUAAAUUCAGACUGAGCACCAAAGACAUUCUAAGCAGAAAAACAAUGUAUUUGGAUACUUAUACUUGUGUGCUUUGCAUCCUCCAGGAAAAGGAGACAAUGCCGCACUUAUUCCUGAGAUGCAACUUCUCGAAAGCUUGUUGGAGCACUUCCUCCAGGCCACCCUUUCGGAUUUUUAACUCAAUCAAGGAUAAACUGAACGUUCCCUUCUACAUGGAGAUCAUCAUUUUAAUGGCCCGGAGCAUUUGGUCCGUGAGGAAUGACUGGACCUUUCAACAAUGUCCCCCCUCGGUACAGAGCUGCAAAAGGAAAUUCAUGGAAAAAAUGAAUACCGUCUGUCUACAUAGAGCGAAAUCUUCCCUAGCUCCUACCAUGAUGGAAUGGUUGUAAUCUUUUCUUUCUUUUUUCUUCCUUUGUUGUUGCCUUUUCUACCUUCUACUUCUGUUGUUUCUUGGACUCGCCUUUCAUUUAAUAUAUUUCAGUAGGAGCUUGCCCCUCCUGUUCCUUCAAAAAAAAACUUCGAGCACUUCUCCAUGGGCUUCAUCACCAUAGUUUCGAUUUGGGCAAUUUCAUUGCACCGAACCUUCCAGCUUGCAUUUUCUUAACUGAAUCUCGAGCAUGGGGCAAUAUUCUGGCAUCUACAACGGACCUGCCAUCAAGCAUUCCAAUGUAUAGAUCUAUCCUUUUUGUUUGCCUAAUAUUCGGAUGCAAUACUCCGCCGUGUGUAAAAAAAUCCAAGGCCAACGGACCAUACCGUGUUAACAAUUUUAGUGCCUAAUCCAAUACAAAAUUAGUCCCAGUUUGUACGGCUACUCAUUCAUUGCAGUCUUCAGACGAACUCUACGGUGACACAUUUUUGGAAUACUCUGGCAUGUGCAACUGACCUGCCAUCAAGCACUCCGAUGCAUGGUUCUAUCCUCUUUGGUUGCCUUAUAUUCUGUAAAAAAAAAUAUUCAAGGCCAACAGACCAUACCGUGUUAAAAAUUUUAGUGCCCAAUCCAAUACAAAAUCAGUUCCAGCACCUCCACAGUGAUUAUAUUGUAAUUCAAUCACCAAAAUCCGAAACUAUGGUCUAGUGAAGCUAUACUGUGUACGAAAUAUCAAUUCAUGGGAUUUGUCAACGAUUUUAUGAAGCUGUAUAUAUGAUACCUUCCACUACGGGAUUUGUGUACAAAAUAUUAAUUCAUGAGAUUUGUCCAUGAUUUUAGGAAGCUACAAUAUCUUCAACUACCGGAUUGCGUAUAUAAGAUAAUCUUCACCAGUUAUCACAGGUGGAAGCACGCGUUAAAUAAUAAAUGACUAAUGCUGAUUCAACUCUGAGAUGAAAAGGAUUCUGUUCUCAAGAAUCGAAAAAAAGGUAACGUGCUCAUAACAAUGUCGACUCUUCACAUCUGAGAACUACCUACCGUAUGUUAUUAAAACAUUUUUGCUGCCUAUAAAUUGGGCAUCAUUUCAGCAGGCCACCACGGCACCUGAGCUUGCCAUCUUUUCCUGCUCUAUCUCACUCAUUUGUCCCGUAGCUACUAGCUAAGCCACCAUAUCAUCCAUGGCUUCUGGUGCCUCCACCACGCUGAAGAUGGCCUCUAUCGCCGCUUGCAUCCUGCUGGUCCUGCUGUCCAAUGGCCACCCCACCGCGGCGGCCGUUGAUUGUAUUGCGGCUUGCAAAGAACCGUGCCAGGGUUUUUCUAACGGGCUCUGCGCGGGUGGAGCCACCAGCGGUUGUACGACUACGGCAGCAGCUACAGCAUGCCGCAAUUUGGCGUUCUCGCAGUGUGCGAACACCUGCUUCACAGUUUGCACUGCUGUGAGCAUCGCGCCUUGCACUUGAAGAUGCAUUCGUGUUCCUACUUCCACAUUAUUGUUACUGCAGAAUAAUAUGGGUCAGUGCACACAAGCAUACAUGAUGAGCCACUGUCGUUUUUCCAUUUUGUCAUUUACUUAUUGAAGGCAAUGUACGUUUUUCCAUUUGAUCAUUUACUUAUUGAAGGCAAUGUACGUGUCUAUCUCCUGUGUGGUUGAGCAUGUCAUCUUGGAAUUCUAUCCAAAGUUUUACAUACCACCUUGUAUUGUUGUGUGUGGGUAUCAAUAUAAUUUAUGAACUAUCUUCCUUUACCAUAGACAUAUCUAUGUUUAUUUGCAAGCGUUAGCUAAAUUUUUCCUUGAUUGUGUAUUAAUCCCAACUGAACAGAUCAACUUUCCACUGCAAGAAACUAUUUAAUCUGUGACGAAACAAAAUUGUCACAUAUCACUAAAAAAUCGUCAUAAAGCAAUGCCCGUGACGAUUUUAGAUAACGUCAUGUAUUGAGCGUCACAGAUUAAAUCGAUCGACGUUUUCUUCGAAAUCGUCACAGAUCAACACAAUCUAUGAUGUUUUUUACCUGUCACAAAACACCCUUAGGCCCAUGCAGCAGCCCAGGCCUAGUGUUUGUGAUGAAAAUAAACAUCACAGAUGGUUGCCACGUGGCUGGUGACGUGGUUGAUGACGUGGACGAUGACAUGGCUAGUGACGUCAUUGAUGACGUGGCCAGUGACGUCGAUGACAUGGAGAGGCUUCACCAUAGUAUUUUGUAUCGACGUUAGACCUAUCGUUUAUUUCCGCUGCUUCUGAACUCUGAACGCUACUUUUAUGCAUGUGAACUAUCGGCUUGUAAUAACUUAAUGUGGGACCUGUAAUAAUUUAUCUGGAUUGUUGUAAUCUUUGGACUCGUCUUCGUGCGAGUAUACUUUGUUUCGAUCCGAAACACGUGGUUGCAUCGGGUGAAACCCGACAGACUACCAGUUUAAUUCGAUUAAAGUGUCUAUUCACAUUUAAGGCAAUGUUGAAUAUACUUUAGCCGGGUUAACUUGGAUGGUUCUACCACACUAGCGCAUCCCUGAUUGGUCUGGCGCCUUCAGGUUGUCGAGCUGAAGGAGCUGUAGGGGCUCUAUAGCUACUGUCGUGUUGACUUCGGUGUAGUUUGUAUCAAAUCUUGCAUGUCGAGUAGUUUGUAGGUGUGUUCUGUCAGCGCUGCCAACUGUUCUGUGUAUCUGUUCUGGGGCAUGGCUCGAGUGAUGAGAUCAAUGGAAGCAAUGGUGGCGAGAGGAGUAUGGUGCUGCUGCGUCUGGACUGCUUUGAAGGCGUUGUCUAGAUUCAUAAUCGGGAGCCUCUCUGCCAGCCGGUGGCGACAAUCCGCUCUCGUUGCGUUCCUUGCUCGUCGUCGGGUUCUCUGAGCUUCGGUCUCCUUCCCGACAACAUUGGCAGAUAGUUCAUCUUGCGAGACAUCAUCUGGAUGAUGCUCGUGUCGAGGAUUCAUAUCUGCUUGCUCGACGUCAUCUGUAUCUGGCCCUGUGAUAAGGGUGAAGAGUUCCUUGUCUAGAGAGAGGCUUCCAGAACUUUGGGUGAUGACUUAUGUAGAGUCAUUGUCUUCAUGGAUAGAAGACAAAGGUGAUCCCUCCUAGUACAGAAGAAUGUCGAGAUGGGCCAUGAAGCGUGAUUCGUUGUCCUGGGCGAGGGCAGGUAGCCUCAUGCUAGGCCAGUAGACGAAUCUGCCUUGAGGGGUUGAGGUGAUCAUCAGGCCCUGCUGCGAACCUGUUAGUGGAGUCUCCUCGUUGGAAUCCAAAUAGUGAUCGUAGUUGUGGUCCUUAAUCGGACCUGAGUUAGAUUGCAACCCGGAUAAGGCUGCUUGAUAGGUGGAAGCUGCGUUACGGAGUCCGAAGGGGAGUUGGCUCGGAAUUUGACUUGAUUCGCACGAUGCAGAACCCGACGAGAUAACCUGCUGGGGUAUUACGUCAAUAGAUCAACCAAAAGAAUGCCCAAUAAUAUCUACCACCAAAGGACAACCCAAAAGCAUUAUCUACCUUCGGUGCCAGCUCAGUCAUCAACGAAGUUCUAUGGAGACCUUGUUUUCUUUUGCUUUGGAUUUGGAGAUAGCAUAGAACAAAAGCCUUGAACCUAAAUAAACAAAGAAAAAAAGUACUGCAGUGCUAAAAAUAAGAAAUACCUCGUAGAAAAAUACCAGUAAUGGGUUUAUGGGUUCCCCACUCAUCCUUGGGUAGCCACUUCUCUAGAGAGAUUCUUGUCUGUUCCGGUGUUGUAGUUUUCUGCGCAUGAUACAUAGCAACAUAAGGGCUAUUCCCCAACCUCAUAAUUGAUAGUAAUGUACAUCUUCUGGAAAGGACCUCUUUCUGUUGCAAGUGUGACUGCCACGCUCAUGCCAUUAAAGAAGUUAGCAGUUCGGUUAGGCAACUAAUGUUGCCCACAGGAGGAAAGUAAAGCAACCGUGGAGAGUGAAGAGGCAUCUUUCUAGCUCCAGCAUCACCAAGCACACCACACCAGGCAUCAGCUAAUCUGAUGACAUGGCAGGAAAUUUAAGAGGGGAGAGAAGGAACCAGUUUCAUCUAGAUGAAACUCUUCUCGCACAAAAACUAACUCUGAAUGUGUCGUGAAAUUAAAUGUACCCUAUGCCGCUUUUCAUGCCCUCUUAUUCGUGUUGCGUUUUCUAAGUUCAAUACACUUAGCAAGACUAUCGCAUUUGGUGACUGGCAGUCCACCUAGUGGUACCUAGAUGGUUGAUUUGUAAGCAGAAAGGAUCACAAGACCCUGAACUACUUGAUGGUAAUGCAAGGCACAACACAUAGAGAUUUAUACAGGCUCGGGCCACUAGUGUAGCGUAAUACCCUACGUCCUAUUUUGGGGGAUUGUAUUACGCCAUGUGCUCGGGUGUUGGUUGUUGUGUUGAGGGAUUGGCCGUCCUCCUAGAGGUACCCCUACGUACCCUUAUAUACUCCCCUAAUAACUCUUCUUAAUAGGAUGGAUUACCGAGUAAAUUAAUUAUGCAUGCACGCCUGCAGUAAUUGUCGCACCUAUAAGCCUUAUUUAGCGAGACUUCCUCGGGCAUCGAUGGUGUGCCAUUUCUAUAGUGAACGGUAAUGAAUGUGGACACUUUUGUGAGUGCUGGCACGAAAGGUUCAAUUUGUAUGAAUGAUCUUCUGCAGGUACACUAACCGCGCUUAUGUUACAUUAACAAAAGGUUAGAGAAUCGACUAGUUAUUAUAGGGAGAGCCAUAAAUUAUUGCCUUGCCACAAGCACUAACCCCGUAAGUCCAAGUAAUUGGCAGUUCUUUGAUUUGUGAGGACACAUAGGUCGUGCAUGCAUCAUGUUUGGAAAUUGGAACAACUUUCCUAUAGAUGAUAUGUUAACCUAAUGUCACUCUCACAAAAAUUCUUGCCAAAUCACCUAAGGAUUUUCUAGUUGUCUUGAACUGCAACUAACUACUAUCAGAAUUUUUUUUCUCCAAGCUCUUAAAUGGUCUUGGUUCCAGAAUUUAGUAAAUGAUAUGCUGUAAAAAUUUCAUAAAAUUAAUGAUAUGCUGUAAAAAUUUCAUAAAAUUUGGUCUAGUGAAACUCGAGUUAUGCUUCAAUCAGUAACCCACUGUUUGCAAACUGCCACUAAGGUUCACAGGUAGCUCUGAAUGUUCGCUUCUCUGUUGAACGUUACUCUGAAACCUAGAAAAAAAUGGUGGAACAGGGACAGCCAGUGCAGCCAAGAAUCCAUGAACUAAGGUCAAUAUCAAGAAGUAUGUCUGAAGCUAGUAGCAGUGGUUCAGGCUUCAAGUACUUCUUGCCAAGAUGGUGUCCUCCCGGGUUGACUCGUACCCAAAGGAGGAACUUGCAAAGGUUAAGGUUGCAGGAGAAGAGGGAACAGGAGCUGGAGAAGCGAAGGGAUGAGGCAUUCAACACGUAUAGACCCAUAGUCCCUCAAAACAAAAAGUGGAGAGUCAAGGCCGACACCCCAACUCCACCAGUCAAACUGGCAGAAGGACCGGUCGGACCUGGUGCGGUCGGCACAGUCGCUGGCGCGGUCAGGGCGGUCGCUGGCGCAGUCGGCGUGGUCGAUGACUCGGUCGGCGCGGUCGCCAGCACAGUCAGACUGGUCGAGGGGUCGGCGAGGAGCGGCGGCGGGGCGGAGCUUCAGCAGCGGAGGCGGCGGCGGAUGUGGAGGGGAGGUAGCGGAGGAGGAGGAAGAGGCGGAGGGGUUUGUGUCGUGCACGUUAAUCAGAGUACGAGCAUCUUUUUAUAGACACAAGAGAAAAAGAUUCAACGAACUUGGACACUGUCACAGGUGAUUGAUAGUCAUUAACCAGCCAUCAGUUAGCAGUAACCUCCAGCCGUUACUAGUCAUUAGGGUCAGCCUUUUAAACCAUGUCAGUUACUAGUCACUAAACACAGCGUCAGUUACUAGUCAUCAACUCGUGAUUAAAAACGUCAGCUCGGCUCGGCUCGGCUCGGCACGGCUUGGCUCGGCGAGCGAGCAUGGCACCCUUUCUCUCUUUCUCAACUUCUCAAUUAGUGCAGAGAUAGUGCACCUAUUUAAGUUGGUUAAGAUACUCCUUAACUACACAUUUGGAAUUAACCACGUUAACCACCUAGCGUUAAUUGUGGGCCUUGAUACUAAAUGAAAUAAAUGGGCCUAGCCCAAAUAUUCCAACAAUUCCCACCAACAUAGCGUUAAUUGUGGGCCUUGAUACUAAAUGAAAUAAAUGGGCCUAGCCCAAAUAUUCCAACAAUUCCCACCAAAUUUCUAGACACACGAGAAAUGCUUUCAUUUCCACUACUGCUUUUAUAUACCAGUUUUCGAUGGAGACUGUCAAGUUGAACAUCCACUUAGAGGAGAGGCUACACUUAUUCACAACUAAUCAAUGGACUAUGUCUUGAAUUGACAUUCUUGUGCAAACAAGCUUUACCAAAAUCCUUUUCUGGUACAGGCUGCUUAAAAGCAUCCCCGCGAUUUGGAGCGUAUAAGUCAUACUCCGACCUUUCAUGAGUAUCUAGAGAUUACCCAAUUCUCAUAGACUGUGUCCAGCAGUCGAACUCAUAUAGGUGCAAUCCUUGGACUGUGACCAGCAGUCGAACUCAUAUAGCUGCAAUCCUGACAAGAUGUAAGCAGGACCGAGAUGUAACAAUUUCGCUCAGUUCAAUAGCGCGGGCUACUUCAUUCUGCGGAUGAACAUUUGACAGCAACAGAAGAAUAUAAAGUGAUAAGCAAACGCAUUUACAUGGUUUUAGGGAAGGCAACACAGCUGCAGGAAUACGAUGGCUACCUCCUUGAGUUUCUUGUUAAUAAGAUCGGAUAUGAGAUUGGAGAUGAAACCACCAGCAGCCGACAGCAACUGCACAACUCGAGGGGCGACAGCUCUUGGACGGUUACCCCAGUAGGCUGAUAUGAUUUCUGGGCUAUACACAAGUGGCAGCCCCUCCCUCAUUGUUGUCCGCAGUUUCUACCUUGAACCAAGGAAGAAAAACAACAGAAUUCAGUAACAACCUACUGUGUACUAAUUUUCUGCUGGAAGUGAUUCUCUUUUGUGAUUGGGUAAAGACAAGAGCACUCUGUGUGAGAGGUUAAUGGAAGUGGAUCAAAGGGGUUGCAGUUCGGACCUCGACGAGGCGAAGGCGGACAUUGUCGUCGGCGAACUGCUCGUCCCGGAGGUUCUGGACGCGGAGGCCACGCAUGAGCGUGGCAAGCUGCUCGUCCUGCUCCAUCUGCUUGCGCACGCGCUGGAUCUCCUUGGACACCCCUCCGAACCUCUGCGCCAUUCACAGGCAAGCAAACAUGUCAGCGAGGUCACAGCGACAACAGUGAAGGGGAAAAGCAGCAACGUUGGAGUGGCUCGAACUUACGGUGUUGGAGAGAUCAUUAUGGGUCCUGGGGCGAGAGGAGGAGGAGGAGGAGGUGGACGGUUUCGGCUCCGUGGCGACGGCGCGGACGCAGGGGAGCUACUGUCCUCGGCGGCGGCGGCGGCGACCGGGGAGCGCCGGGAGGUGCGCGACGCGGCCGAAACCGCCGUAGUGCAGGAGAUGCGGCGCCGCCGCCGCGGCCUCCAUGCUCAGCCGCGCGGAAGGCUCCGAGAACCUGGCCGCCGCGUCUCUCGUGGGAUGGUGUGAACCGAAGCCGGCGUGGCAGGCAUGGAGGGGGUGGGCGGUGGAUGCAACCAAAGAAGGUAACAAAGUGCGAAGUGGUGGUUGGGGAAGAAGAAGAAUUGGGGCCGGUCGGUCAAUCGGUGGUGGGAGCGGACAGCGGAGGCAGCAGUGCACUCAGGCCUCAGCGCCGUGGGGUGGGGCGGCUGGCUGGCGCGCGGCCACGAUGGCCUGCGCUUGUGGUUGGCGCGCGCGCUCCCUUCCCGAGGCCCGCGUGCGCAUGGGCGGCGCACAGAGGCCGCGCCGGACAAAGACCCCACCGUGGGCUCACGCUUGCGAUGUGUCCGCGUCCCAUUCGGACGUUCAGAUCUCCAACCACAAGCUACCAGCUGCAUUGUCUGUUGAUCGAUAGCAUUCGCCGAGCCAAUUCAACAACAGCUGACGAUAGCUGCAGGAUCAAACCCAGUUGUGGGGUUGGAACUGUUCCAGAUGCAAAUCUGUCGAGCCCGUGAUGCCGAGCAAAUUUUGUUUCCUGGGUGAACAGUUUGCCUGAUAGCAGAUGGCAGGCUCUACGGUGAGUUUGCUUUUGUCGCCAUCACCGCUCAAGAGUGGUGGACACUUUCGUAAAAAAUAAAAAUAAAGAGUGGUGGACACAAAAAUUCAGUCUCACAACUAAAAUGGAUAGAAUGUGAACCAUUUGCUAGCGCCUCCUAACACGCCUUAAUAAAACUAUAAAAUGUUGUAAUAUUAUACUAUUAUACAUGAGCAGGGGAAAGGUAACCUUUUUUAUUUUUUACAAAUAAAAUUGAUACUGAUACAUGCUGCUUAACACACAACAACAUGGAAAAUAACUUGGUAAACUUUCACUUCUACAACAACACAGUGCUACAAGUAAAUUUACAGACAUCGGAGAGACAGACACCGCAGCUUCUCUCGCGCACUCGAGGAUGCCGGAUGCGCCCGUACGUCGAGGUCCGAGUCCCGGGGGAGGAACUCGUCGAGCAGGCUGGCCACGACGUCGUCAUCGUCAGGUUCCUCCUGUUCUUGGAACCGCUGGUGGUGCUGGUACUGGGGCGGAACCAACCAGAUGAGGGUGUCGCGUCGGCCAUGGUGCUGUUGCAGUGUAGUGCAUCCGGGAGACGUGUUUAACGAGCUGCUACUGUUGCUAGCGUCACUACGGGAAAGCUAAAAAUUGCCAAGCGUAUUUUUUUUCGAGUGUUUUUUUUCGAGCACUCGGCAAACAAGCUCUUUGCCGAGUGCCAAGCCAAAAACAUUCGGCAAAGAAAAAACACUCGGCAAAUCGGGACUUUGCCGAGUAUCAAAUAAAAAACACUCGGCAAACCACAGUGUUUUUUUUUUGACACUCGGCAAAAAAAAAAUUCUCUUUUCACCUUGAAAUUUUUUCUACUCCCCACAUACAACAUGUGGUACUCCAUGUUAAAAUUUGGUAUAUUUUUGAAUUUAUUUGCUAUAUUUAUUUAAUUAAUUGCAUUUCAAGGGAAUUUUUGGUAUAAGUCAAAUUUGAAUUGCAAGUGAUUCAAAUUAUGGAACAAAAUGAGUAGAAAAAUGAUAUUCAUAUUAUUUGGCCCAAUUUGAGACCUGACCCAUGAAAUAAAAAGAAAUUUUGAACAUCUUGUUCAGGAAACACGACCAUGAACGUGUGGCAGUAGUAUUUUUAAAUUGUAAAAAAAACAAGCAAAGUCUGAAAAUCAUGAGAUUUGUCAUGAUGUGAUGAUAUAAUACGUGGAGGCUGUGGAAAAAAAUUGAGAAGGUUUUGCACAUUUCAUCAUGUACGAUGAUUACAAACCGAAGCAUUUCAGAAGAAGAAUAGUAACUUUGAGAAGGAUUCGAUAAAAUUUAGAGUCGAAGUGACGAUCGAGUUCGGUUUGACUACAAAACUUUUUGUAUAGUUAGUAGAGAACACAUAUUGUUUCGUGUGAAAAUUUGGUAUUUUUUUGAAACUGUUAGAUAUUUUUUAAUUUUUUUAAAAAAAACUUUGCCGAGUGUCCUAGGGUGAACACUUGGCAAAGAAACCCUUUACCGAGUGUCCACACUGGACACUCGGCGACGUUUUUUUCCCUGUACCGGCCGGGCCCGCCUCCUCUCACCGCCCCCGCCUACCCCCCCUCGAGACACCCCCUGCCCCCCACCCCCCACCCCGCCCCUCCCCCCACCCGCGCCUCCCCUUCACGCCGCCCCCCGGCCUCCCCUCACGCCGCCCCCCUCCUCCCCUCACGCCGCCCCCCCUCCUCCUCCCCUCCCGCCGCCCCUUCCCUCCCGCCGGACGCCGCCUCCCCUCCCUCUCCUCCGGCGGGCGGCGCCCCUCCCCUCCCUCUCCGGCGGGCGGCGCCCCCUCCCGGCCCCGAUCCCCACCGGUAGAUCUGGCGGCCGGGGCGGCCUCCUCCCUCCCUCCCUCCGCCGCCGGUCAGAUCCGGGCGGCUCGAGGGGAGGGGGCUCCGGUGGGGGCCAGAUCCGGGCGGCGGUCGCGGAUCGAGGGGAGGGGGCCUGGCGGCGGCGCGCCCCUGCCCCUCCCCUACCCCUCUCCGGCGGAUCCGGCGGCGCCGACCCUCCCCUCACCGGAUCCGGCGGCGCCGGCCCUUCUCUCACCGGAUCCGCAAGCCUGCUACUCCCAUAAGACCGUGGCUGCUGCUGCGGCCGUGGGCCUCGGCGGCUGGAGCGCGUCGGCGGCGUUGACGAGGCAGGACAGUUCGUCCACUUCCACCACCGCCGGCGACGGGUGCAAGCUGACGGGUUACAGGUACCCCUACUACUCCGAGCUGGGUUCGGUCGCCGACGGCGUCAUGAUGGUCGACGCGGACAACUUUUGGAAUGUCGUCGACAACUUCUGGGUGCGGGCGGAGCUAGCGGUGGUGGCGGCCGGUGGUGGCGGAGCUGGCGGCUGGUGGUGGCGGCGGCAGCGUAACAGGAUUUUUUUUUAUGUUUUUCAAAAAUUGAAUGCCGAGUGUUUUCUGGCCACUCGGCAACGACUUUGCCGAGUGCGCGACACAAAACACUCGGCAAAUCCAGGUUUGCCGACUCGAAAUUUGCCGUGUGCCAUUUGCCGAGUGUUACACUUAGCAAACAGUUCGCCGAGUGUAUUUUGCCCUUCGCCGAGUGCCCCUGGCACUCUGGUAAUUUUCCUGUGUCCCGUAGUGCGUUGAGUUUGGUUUCCGAAUCGGCAACUUAAUUUGACACACACGACUGCUCGUGCUUGUAAUAAAAUCGCAACGGAAGUGUUACGAAUCCGACACACGACAACAUGCGAUGCGAUGCGAUGCGCGAAUCCGGGUUAAUUAUUUUCUUCUCGAGUCCGAUAAGCGCGGGAUUCAUAUUUUUAAGUGGGCCGUGUAACCUCGAGCCCAGUAAUAAUGGAUGGGCUAACCAGCCAGGCCUUGAGUGGAUUGUAGCAGUCAGUGUACUGGGCUGGGCUAGACUGGUGGUGACAGGCUGCCUGCCAGCAGUGUAUCUAUAGAGCCGGCCCAAAGGUACAAAUGACUCAAGCGAAUUUAACGGGCCUGAAAAAAAAUGCAGAGGAUCAAAGCUUAUUCCGAUCGAGUUGAAGUUGCAACCAGCCCGGUAUGCCUGUAUGACUACAGGAUAUACGGUCUAUAUAGCAGGAUCGGAAUUCAGAGCAGACUGCACAAGUGCAGAUACUGGUAUAUACGCUCGGGACAACUUCCUCGGCUGUUGCAAUAAUGGAUCAGUUAUCAUGCUUGCUUACUCGUCACUUGGCAUGCUAGGUGCUAAUAGCUCACAGGUUGACACCUGAGGUGCUGCUAGGUCGGAGCCUGACAUCUUCUCUUUCUGAACACCGUCACACCCGCCACUUGCUGGAUUAGUUCCAUUUUCCAGUUCGAUGCCACUACGCUUUGUAUGGUCACCGUCACCGUCAACAAUCGAUGGAAACAAGUUAAACCGCGUCGUCCUGCCUAGCUAGCUAAGAGUUGAAAAGCUGAAAGCCCGAAUUUUUUUUUUUACCUUCGGAAAUUCACCCGGGCUCUCAAAUCUGGAUGAAAACCAGACGCACUUGUCGAAAAACACGUACGGCCGGAGUGCUACACGCAGACGCCUAGCGCAUGUUUAUAUCCGGCCGUAUGUAUACAUGUAUAUGGCAUGCAUGUACUUUGCGGCGCUAGGUGUGGUACGGCAUCCGGAUGUGCACACAUGCCGGCCACUGCUUGGCAUGGCCGGCCACUCAGUUCUGACCUGCAUGCCACUACAUUCACGUUGACCAUCAUGCAUGUUUAUCCUAACGCCCUAGCUACUGAUCUAUGCUACGUACCCAAUGCAACCACCACUGACCAAAUUAACUGAAUUUUCCGGUCCCCUGCAAAGACAGGCAUGAUCUACGAGCACUACAGUGUGCAAGAUCGAUCUCGAUCUCUGUCUGUCUGUCCGUGUGCACGAGGGCCGGUUGGCCGGGAUCGGAUAGUAGAUGAUUGUGCGGGCAAAAAGUGGUCACACCAAUAGCAACUUUGCAAGUGGCCGGCCUCUUUGCUUGUUCACAUUGACGGCCUGCCGGAAAAGAAGCAACUGCAACAAAGUGCCCAUCGUUUGAUCUAUAGCAUAUGUACUACAUACUAUACAAACAUCUAGUGCAAUAAUUAAGCUGGCAUGCUGCUUUAACCAAUAAAACCCCAACCCUGCGCACUAUAGCCUGAGCUGCUGCCCCAACCCUGCGCACUCUAGCCUGAGCUGCUGCCUCUAAACUAGUAUCCCUCCGUCCCAAAUUAAUAUUCGUUUUGAGUUUUCUAGAUAUAUGAUUUUUGCUAUGUAUCUAGACAUAGCAUAUAUCUAGAUGCAUAGCAAAAUUAUGAAUGUAGAAAAGCCAAAACGAAUAGUAAUUUAGGAUGGAGGGAGUGCUAGAAUUAAACAGUAGUACAGGGGACUGAUGAGGUCACUAGCUGAGCAGCUAGCUAGUAGCACUACUGAUGGUCACUCACUGUGCGCUUAGCUUGAUCAGAUAAUGGAGUGGGCACUAUUGGCCAUUGGCCACUCGACCUGCACAAACCAUAGGCAUGCAUUUCCAGCUAGGAUGAUUUCAAGUAAACAAGUGAUGGCACUACAACUCCCCUUUAUCAGUAGCAGUGUAGGUUGGUACUGAAGCAAGUAGGCCGUCUGGAAAUGGAACAUGUCCACUCAGCUGGCAACCUUGCAAAGUGCUGGCACAUGGUGUUUCACUUUCAUAUAUACUAUCACUUUGACUACUACUCAUAGCUCGAGGGCUUUCACAGAUACCACGGCGCAGUAUCUUCCUUUGUGAACAAAAAAAAGGUUGAGAAAAGCUUAAUCAGCUUGAUACUAUGCAGUUUGCAAUCCAGUAGUACUACUCCUUGUGUGAAAAACAAAAUGUGAAUGAUUGCCAUGGCUGUCAUGUGGGGACUGACGACUGAUCUGGUCUGAGGAGCAUCUUUGCAUGUCUCUCUUUGCCGCAGCAGUCAAGAGCCUUAGGCAUAAGAAAAUGAUGAGCUGUAGCGGCACGGUGCCAUGGUGUUGACUUUUUAUGCUCCGACCAUCAUGUGGAAUCUCGGGGAUAAUUUAGUACUGUAGAGUGUUGAGUAGCCACUGUAGCUUGAUCAACCACGAUGUUUGCUUUCUUGGGCUAGUAAUAACAAAAUGGUUAUUUUCGUGGAAGAAGAUCAGGGACAGGUAGAGAGAGGGAGAAACUGUUUACAAGAAGGAGAUCAUCAGAGAAUCUGACAGGGGUCGCAGUCUCACAGACCCGGAGGCGGGACAGGGAGACAGACAUUCAGGCGCACCCACCAUAAAACAAAUUAACACAAGUGUGCGUAGUAUACUAGGGUAAUUACCAUUUAAUUAAGAAGAAAACCACGGUCAUGAAUCUGCUCAUAACUUGAACUCCAUCUUUUUUUUUUACAAGGAGAACUACCGAUUAUAUUAAAAAUAACAUUAAAAAUAACGAGGAGAACUACUGAUUAUAUUAAAAAGAGAAUGAAGUCAAGACCGGAUGAAACAAACAAAAAUGAAAAAAAAAACACUACAAACACCGACAGGUUAGAUUGGGUCAUCAACAUAUACCGCACCACGCCAUCGCACUUAACUCAACUUAACAACACAUCGACCAGUUAGAUUGGGAUAUCAACGUGACCGUACCACUCCACUCGACAACGGCAGCUGAACCGAAACCUAAAUGCGGCCAUCACCAACAUUCCCGCUUUUAUGUAGUGGCCGAAACCUGUGUUAACAGGGACCGAGAGAAACAGACCGCACCACACUGAGAAGGCCAUCGUCAUGCGGGAUCCUUCGCCAUAAUACCGCUGCAACAUCACACCCCACCCGUCAGAGUGAUACCACCAGAUUCGGACCUCUUUCAUGUUGCUUCACAAACACGCGGGGGCCUCGUCGCAUCCGCCGUUGGCACCUCGCUCUUGUCACCUCGAAGACACACCGCGCGCAGGGGUCUCGUCACGCCCACCACAGUACUCCAUGUCACGGAUCCGUUUCUUUUGUCGCCAUCAAAAUGGCGAGCAAUGUUGCCGAUCUCCAUCAAACAGCCAAGCUGCCGCCGCAAGUCGACUUUGCCUCGUUGCUCCACCCACGCACAUGCCUCCACCGUUGUGUCAGCAAGUCAAAGUAGUUGCUUGCGCUGUCUUCCGACGAUGUAUCGCACCGGAGUAGCCCAGCAAAUCUGAGAAACCCGACACAGUCCGCUGCAAGCCUAGUCGUCUCAUGAUAUCGUCCUUCAAUGUAGUCCCACACCGCACUGACAGUUGCUAAGCAACACCAGCCGCCGCGAUCUGCUGCAAGCAGCUCACCCGAUAAAGAAAGCAACGACCCCUGGCCGCCAUCAGAACUGCGAUCCCCUCAACGUGAGCUUAGCAACCCUCGUCAAGCUUUCCAUCCUACACAUGCCACCUUGCUGAGCCGCAAGCCCGUCACGGCGAGGCCGCUGCCACCACGAUCGCGUCACCAACAAUGGCACAAGUUGAGUUGAGCCUCUAGAGAUGACGCUAGUGGUGCCGCCAUCGCUCAUUCAGAAACUAGACAGAGUUUUCACCCAGAGAUCCCGUGCAGCAGGGAUAGAUCUCCAAGGUGACACCCCAACAGGGAAAAUGACGCCCUAGGGCGCCGUUGCCAUCACCACCAGCAAGAUACCGGCAAAGGCUUUCACCCGAAGCAUCCCACCCUUAACUUGCACGGACACAACCCAGCACUCCCUAAACGACAAGCAUGGAAACCCACCCGGGGCGGCGCCACCCCCGCCGUGCCUCCUUGCGCCGCGCGUAGACCACCUUCGACUGCGCCACCACCUGGCCAGCCUCCUUCCAGCCACACCGCCGCCGCCAGCAACCACCCAUCGCGUCGCUCUCCACAGUGGCCUCGUCGCCCCUCGCCAGGCCACGCCCACGCCGACCGUCACCUCCCACACUCACCAUCCUCAACUGCCCCUUCUCCUCCGUUGCCGGGUCGGCCACAGGACCCCUUGGCUUGCUCCUCCGCCGCCGCAGGUGCGCCGCCGUCAGGACCCCUGCUCCCCUGCUUCUCGCGCCGCCGCAUGGGCUGGCCAACGCACGCCUACUCCUCGCGUCGCCGCUGAGCUUGGUCGACACGCCCCCUCCCCUACCCCAUGCACCGUCGUGCGGGGCCAACCGGAGGUCCCCUGCUCCUCACGCCUUGGCCAAUGCCUCCACCGCCUCGCGCAUGCAUAGGUUGCAGAGCCACCGGAUCCGGCCGACGCCAUGCUGGAUCUGUGGCCCCUCAUGCUCCGCCACCGCGGGAUGCCGCCCACGCUAGCAAGCCCCCUCAGGCUGCUCUGGCGGCCGCGCCAACCCAAAUCCACCGGAGGAAGGGGAAGAGGCCCUGCCGCCACCCUCAUCGUGAGCCGCAAGGGCUUCCGGCAGCCCGCUCGGUGGCGGCUCGGCGAGAGGGGGCGGCAGCUAGGGUUUCAGUAACCGCGCGAGUCGGGGGCGACGCAGUUGGCUAGCCCUUGCUAGGAUGGCCCCCUUUCCAGUAACUUGAACUCCAUCGCACCAACACAAACCAAAUAAGUAGAGCUAGGCAGUAGGCACUCCUACAUUUGUUAGAAGCCACUCGCAUGGCAUGGCAGUAUGGCACACAUGAAUAAACCUGAUCAGCUUUACAAUCUCAUACUGCGCCGAUUACAAUCAAAAGCCUUGAAGAAAAUAGUGGUAACCCAUGCAUGUAUUAUAGACGACUAAGAGAUGUACAAACGAGGUGACGGAUCGGACACACGCGUAUACUAAUCCUAGAGAUGGAUCACGGAUACUAAUUAGUGGCAGAACUUAUAAUUAACCUAGCAGAAGGUAGAUGUACUAGCUAGAUGAGAUUCCCUGUGUCAACUUUGCAGCAUGUACUCGUCAUCAGAGACUCAAGUCCCAACCAACCGAGAUGAGGAUCUGCAGCUGCCGGUCCUCACCCUCACACGUACGUCACACGGGUUCACGGCUUGCCCUUGUGCUGGGUGUAGAUGUAGUCGAGGUGCGCGUCCCGGAGCAGCCGCCUCUGCAUGCAGUCAUCGUCGUUCCCCUCCUCGCACGCCGGCUCCUCCGCCUCCUCCUCUGCUCCCAUCACCUCAGCCUCAGCGACCGAUGAGAGCUCAUCGCCACUACCAGCGGCGCCUUUCUGAAUCACCGGCUCAUCAUCUGCAGCCACCUUGGCUCCAUUCUCUGCAAAAGAGGUUCACAAACAUUAAUUAGAGCAACUCUGAGCAGGAUCGGUCAGCAAAGAGGUUCAGAAACAUUAGAGCAACGCACCUUGGUUAACCAGAGGAGGAACAGAAACAGGCAGGGGGCGAGCCGCUGCCGCGCCGUGGAAGAAGAUGAGGAGGAGGAGCAGGGCAAGAGCCGCGAGCGGCGAAGUGAUACGGCAGCUGCAACGCCUCAUCUCUGCCGUGGCUCCAACAGUUGAAACUGCCUGCUUGGAUAGAGCGCUAGCUGGUUGGCUGCUGGUGGAUUUGGCCUCUGGGUGAUGGUGGUGGGCUGGUGGCGCCGAGCUCUAUUUAUAAUGCGAAAGCGGCGAGCGAGGAGCCGAGGAGACGGGAGGCAUCUUGCAAAUCGCAACGCCGGCACAGGGCACAUCUUCAAGUCGCACGCGCACUCGAGUCGGCAACACGUUUGUCCAUAACACGUAUUACUAGUAGAUGUAGAGAUUUGGCCGGAUGUGUGGUUCCAACCUUCCACUACCACAGUGUGCCAAACAAAAUAGUGCCUAAAAAAUAGCUUCCAUACCAGCGCUUCUUGCAGAGAUAAAAAAUUGACAUUAAUUUGAAAGAGACCAAAUAACUUCCUUUCCUUAGGGUUAAGUUGAGAAUAAAAGGAUGAGUAGGCUACACUUUCGUUUCUCAAUUGGCUAGAAUUGUCACGCCAACAAGAGCAAAUGAAAAUAGGGUAGGAAAAAAAUUACUAGAAGUACUUUGAAUAUGGGACUGAGAAGUACUGUUGUACACCUUCAAACGCAAAGUAAUGGUCCUGUUUGGAUAUACUUCUCCUAGUCACGCUUGGAUUAUAAUCUAAGCGAAUAUUUUCUCGCUUCUCACUUUUCGCUUAUCGUAGUUCAAAUCUCUGAAGCGACUUACCACAUAAGCGAGAAUCGGUGAAAAUAAGCAAAAUGUUUGGCGGGAUUCUCGCUUAUUUCCGCCGAUAAGCCGCUUAUAAGCGGAAACAAACGGACCUAUCUUUUGCUCUAACUUUUUAGCAACGCGGAGAAAAAGGAGGACGAAACAGCAGGCAAAAAUGGUGAAAGACCUAGAAGUCAAAUGUUUGCACAUGGUGUGUUAGUCUGAUUCUAGAAAUUCCAGAACAGAAACGCUUACGCACAGCUGCCGUCUUAUCGAUGGAUGCCAGCAUUUGACGCGGAGAAGAUGGGCUUGAAAAGCCAAGAGUUUUUCCUCUUCGCUCUCUCCCUUCAUCACUGCAUGAAUGCAGGAAAAACCGCAUCAUCCCUUUGCUCGUUUUUUGCAUCAAAGAAUAUUCUUGCUUAGUGUGCGUGUCACUUUUUACAUUUUUUUGUGAACCAAUCGGAAACGAGUAGAGCUUGUGGUGCUGAUCAGAAUAUGGAACUGGUGAGUACUGCUGUACACCUUCAAACGCAAAGAACAUCCUUGCUUUAACUUUUGUAGCAACUCAGAAAAAGGAGGAUAAGGCAGUAAGAAAGAAUGGCGAAAUACAUCUGGUUAGAAGAGAACUAAACUCCUCAUCCACUAGAGAUUCCAGAAACGCUUACGUCUCAUAGAUAGAUGCAGGCAUGGCAGCACAUCAGAGGCGGAGGAGGUGAGGAGGAGGAGCUUGAAAAGGCAGGAAGUUUUGGACCUUUUUCCGAACUUGGAGCCACUCAAGUCGCGUAAAGCCUGAUGCGUGGUGUGCCGUGUGCGAGAGCAAGUUCGCCUUCGCCCGCGUCGACCCUGCCCUUUUAGUGUCAACAGAAACCCAUGGCCUCUCGCAUUGCUAUCAAGAGACGUGCAGCAUGUAGUCUUGCAGAAGUGCAGAAACUCGGGAAGCGUUUUUCCGCCCUCUGUUCGUUUGCAAGGGAGGAGGCAGGCGAUGAGCAGAUUCAGGAACUGCAAGCGUAAUCGCUGCUGCGAUGCUGAGCUGAAUCCGCCGAGUGUUGACAUCGAUCGUAUACUAUUCUAGUGCAUGCAUGUUGCGUGGACCCCCCAUGCACCAUUGACCACCAUGUGUGUCCUGAGGGCCCAGAGAGGGGGUACGUCCCACUCUCACAUGCACAGCAAACCCAUGCCACGUAUAGCAAAGUCUUUUGGCACUGUCCACUCAGCUGGGCACUAGACUAGCUACUGGCAGGGCCGCCAUGCUGUGUCCUGCUGCUGCAUCUGCGGACUGCGCUCUACCUCCCCCCACUCGCUUGGGGCCAUCGGCCACCAUUUCCCUGCAACAUCAUCCAUCAUUUCCUGGAUCGGCGCCACUUUCUGGCUCCAGUCUCCUCGAUCUCGUGCGUGCUCACUGCUCGGCGAUCGGCGGUGCCCACCACCCACGGUGGGGCGACGAGCUAGAGACCGAGACGAGAGAGAGGAAGAAGUUGCGUGCAUCACUGCAUCAGCACUCGCGCGUGUGCGUUCCGGCCGUUCAUGCAUGUUCGUGCUCGUCAUUGUCGUCGUCUCCCAGCCAGCCAGACUGGGAAGUCAGUGCAUGCGGUCGCCUGCUGCUGCUGCUGGUGGUCUUACUGUGCUGGCGCGGCGCGUGAUCGAGGACGGACGGUGCGCUCGGCUGCUUGCCCGGUCUUUUCGCUCACCGUCGUCGUCUCGAUCGUCUUUUCGGGCCGCUGCUCGUACGAGUCAACGGCUCCUGGAUCGAUACGUUCCAUCCGGCCUCUGUAGCUUUCUGCAGGAUUCCACAUGUGCAUACAGCUAGCUGAUGAGAGCUAGCUGAGCGAGUCCGGGACGCUGGACGCGGACGUGGGUGCGCUGAGAGACAGCCGCGGCGCCCCACACGACGAGAUCGAUCUCAUCAUCAUCUUCAUUUCAUCUUGUUGCCGAAUCCUCGCACGGUCACGCCGGAGCUGACGCGCGUAUUUUGGUGGAAAUUAAAGGGGACCAAGUCCAAUUCCUCCGGCUAUCUAUACCCCGCGAAAGAACUUCUUACCCUAUUCUUUCCUACUGCUACGGUGGUUUGCCGGCGGCGGCCGCACCCUUAGGCUGGGGUGCUCAGAUCCGACACCGGCAGGUCCGGAUCCGGCAUCGUCCAUGACGUUUAGGGCUUUCCCUGGUUGAUCCAUGGGGCACUAGCGGAGUCGGAUGUUCAGAUUCGCAGCGGUGUGGCUCGUGGCGGUGAUGGCCCGCUACGGGGCGGCAGCACCGCGUCGGCGACGACCGAAGGCGGCGGGCCACCCACACUUGGAGCCUACCUCUCCUGGGCUAAGCUCGGGGAGGGCAUCUUAGA